GAGAGAGAGAGAGAGAGAGAGACAAAGAGAGGUUUGUGCCGACCCAUCGGCGUUUUCCUACGCCCCCCAUGCAACGACAUUCUCUAAUUUUGGGCGGCCUUUGCAGAUUUCUCAGUCCUGGAGGAGUAUACUAUUCAUUUACUCCCUCCACUAAAAUAUCUGCCACUAAUAUCUUUUGGGAUGUAAUUUCCCGAUUUACUAUAGAAAACCUAAUGAUUCUAAUUCUAAAUUAAAUAGAUAUGAUCUAAUUUUUUUGAAGGGCAAGAUCUAAAAGUCACAAAACUCAAAAUUUUGAAUUUUUUAUUUUGAAAAUAAUCCCAAAAUUUUAGAUUAAAAAACGUUUUUCUUUUCAGAUGUUUGGAAGAGGGAGUACAAAUGAUCCCGCGGGAGCAUAAUAUACUCCCUAUCAAGUAAAAUAUCGCGGUUAACUCCUGUCUCUCUCAUACACAAUCUUGAGAAAUUAUUACUCCAUAUUUUCUUUGUCCGCUUCCUUGUACUUAGUUUCCUUUGAUCAUUACCAUUUACAAAUAAUUGCAGUCUUUAUAUUGGCAUGCACUCUCUCUAUAUCUUUCUAAAUAUUUCUAAAAUUAUUCCCCCUCUCUCUCUCUCUACUAAUAUCUUCCCAAUUAUUUUCUCUCUCCAGGAUGUUUCCCUUGUAUAUUGCUAAAUAUGAUGCCUUUCAUCUUGUCCUCUCUCUCUCUCUUCCUUUUCUUUCUUUUUCUUGAUUUCCAAAAAUAUUGCAAACAAUUCAUGACGUUAAAAAGCAUAUCAUGUUUGUAAAUUUUUAGGUGAAUCGUGCCCCUUUAUUUCAAAGAUUUGAGAAUCUCUCCAGCUUAGAUUCAAAAAAGAUUAUGAUGCACUCCAAUAUCUUGAUAGAAUUUAUUCGUGCCUAUUUUUAUCAAAUGAUAAGGAUCCUUCUUGUCAAAAUAAUAAUAAUAAUAACAAUAUCCCGAUCUACGAACUUCCAAUUGGGCAUCUACCUUGCUUCUCUAGACUUUUUUUUAAUGAAAAAAUCAUAAAAUAAUAAUAAUGAUCUCUAUUUGGUUUGAUUUUAUGCUAGUCCUAGGAUCCAAUCAAAUUAGUAAUAUAUUUUUAGACCUCUCUCAUUUUGAAUUAAGAUAUAUGUUUUAAACAAAAAAGCAAUUAAAAAUAAAAUUAUCAAUUUUGAAUGUUCAUUUCCAUAUUGUAUGUGAAUUUUUUUAUUAUAUUAGAACACCACUAAGUGUGGUAAGUAAUUUUUUGAAUCGCUUAAUUUUUAAAUAGUUAAAAUUUUCUAUCAGUUGAAAUCAAUAAUUAACAAUUUAAAGGUUUAAACAGUUAUGAAAGUGUUAUUUUUUAUUACACAUUUGGAAAUAUUAAAAAUUGAGAAAUUAUAUUAUUCUUAUUAUUACAUAGUAAUAUGGGUAAAAAUUCCACUAUUAGGACAGAAGCAUAAUAAAUUAACAGAAGGAAUUUUCAACAUUAAAAACUGAAAUUUAAAUCCUUUAAAUCAUUACACUUUUAAUGAUAAAUUUCAUAAUUAGGAAUUUAAAAAGUAAAGAAUGUGUAAUUUCGUUUGCAAAUAAAUAAAUAAGAAUUCUUAAUUUAAUUUUGUUUGGAUGGAAACCUAAUAUUAGAAUUCUCCAUAAGUAAUUAAUUUCUUAUCAUUCAAAAUGUAACUAAAAUUUUGAAAAAGUUAAGAAAGGUCAUCAUUUUACUUCUUAAUUGCAAAUAAACAGUAAAAAGGAAUUUUGUCGUUCUCCUAUAUAUGCACAAAACCUUAUUUAUUAGGACUCCAUGACCAAAGAAUUUUACUAAACUCUUAUUUUAAAUAAAUAGGAAAUAUUCUUAAUUAGUACAAGUAUUUAUUAUGAAAUUACAAUAAGAAACAAUCAUUUUUAAUUUAUAUAAUCAAAAUUUAGAACUUCUCAAAAGUUUAGAAAAUCUCAUUUCUUACUUUUAUUUAUAAAUAAAAGUAAGAAAAAGGGCUCCAAGAGAAUCUUAGUAUAUUCAUGGACACAUUAUUAACUCGAUUCUUCAUUCAAUUCUCAAAAUGGUAGGUACAUCUUUGUAUAGAUACGAGGAAUCUCUUUAUUUAGGGGAUAAAAUACUUUUUCUUUCAACGGUUGGAAUCAAAUCAUUUGAGAUGCAAGAAUAUUAUUGCUAAGAAACUUAGUACAUCAUAGUAUAUAAUAUAGAAUUACAUUAUCCUUUGGGUGCAGUUCGCAUACGGAUGCAUAUGUAACUGUAGAGGUAAGGUGCACCUUCAAACUUUAUCAUGGUAUUUAAUUUUGAUGUAAAAUGUUAUUAGGAUUAUCUCAAAACUUUUACAUCUAAUUAUAAAAUUUUAAAUUUCAAAAAUGGUUAAAAUCAAGUAAAUCUAUAAACAUAUGAAAAUCCUGAAAAUGGACGGUGUAGAUAAUAUGUUGUAAAACGUACUAUUUAUGAGACUUAAAAUCUUUUUAUUUUUCAUGGUCAUACAUCUCGAUGUCGAGAUGAUCAAUCAAAAAGUUUUUCAACAUUAAAACUACCUUUUCCGAUGGAUUUUUGAGGUGCAUCCGUAGUUCUAUAUGUUAUAAGGUUGCAUCCGUAUAUAAACUUUUUCCUCAUCCUUAAACUUUUGCAUUAUAGGUACUUUUAUUCUUGCAGUAACAUCCAUUUUCGUUUUAGACUUUUGACAUGAUAAUAAGCUUUUUACCCUUUAGAGAGAGAGAGAGCGAGAGAGGGGUUAUGGAUAAAUGAUAUAUAGGUGGAAAAAAAAAAAAAUAGGUAAUUUAGUGGAGAAGACGUGCCCUAUCCGUUUUUUCAAAGGAAAAUUGUUUGGUGCGUUCAAACCCGGACUUGGUACUAUGCGGACUUGGAGAUCUACACUGUUCACCAAAAUCGGGUCUCAUAAAUAAUAGUGCCCUAAAUAAAAAGUAAAAUCAACGGUUCAAAUAUUUUUCCAAAAAAUACCAAUUCUAAUUUUAAAAUUUAUUUAUUUUUACAGAUUAAUAAUCUCUAUGUUAAAGAUUAUAUAUUUUCUAAAAAUUAGGAUUAAAUUUUAUUUUAAAAAUAGAUUACUAAGAGGCUUGUAUUUUUACAUAUGAGUAAGUGGAGUUAUAGAAACCGUGUCCUUUUUCAAAUAGUGUAAGAGUUAGUUCUUUGAAAGUAUUAGUGGGGUGAUGUUAGUGGGAAUGGAUACGUGGAGGUGCUACCACCUCCGCCCUAGCCUUAGCCCUUGUCCUUUUUCGGAAGGAAUGGUAAUUGAUUAGAAAUAAAUUAAUGGUAAAUUUUAUUCCUAAACUCAACUUCAUGUCUAAACAUUUUACGUUUUCCAAGUACAAAAUCCUCAUCACGUUAACUAACUAAAAAAUUGCACGCCUUUGCACGACCAUUCUUCGUCAUCUCAUCGAAUACUAUUAAUUUAGUGAACAUGUAUACCAUGCUCCUAUAAGAGCAUAUACUGUACACCUGCUCCCUUGAUCACAAGUCUUACUUAUGAGGAUUUUUUCAAUAUAAAAUUUUAAGGAUCACUUAUUAUCAUUAGAUGAUUAUUUUCAAAAGAAAAAAAAUAAAUUUUUGAGUUUUCUAAUACUUAUAUAUUACCCUCCCAAAAUUUGGAGUUCUCUAUUCAAUCUCGAGAGAUUAUUUUUUCAUCUGUGUAGAGCAUGCAUCUUGGAUUAUUAUUUUUUUGUUAAUUGAUUUUAGUCUAUCGGUUGGAGAGGUAAUAUACCCAACAUUUAGGGUUUUAAAAUUACUCCUAAAUUGAGUUUUUCCCAAGGAAGUAAAUGGAUAGUAUAGUUUCUUGUACGCAUGAAACCAUUUGGCUAAUUCAGCAAGAUACAGCUUUUAAUCCACUAUCUAUUUUACUGAAUAAAACACUCAAAAUAUACUUUAUAAUAAUAUAUGUUAAAGCAAUUAAAGUAUUAAACCCCUAUAUCAUAAGCCAUUAUUAAUAAAAACGGAUAGAGGGCCUUCUCCCCCACUGAUUUACCCAAAAAAAAAAAAUGUCAUAAGCCAUUAAAGUAUUAAUCCCUAUCUCACACACCUUUAAGAACACACGUAAAACGUCCCUUAGUUAUAAGUCUGUCUCUUAUUUUAAUGUUUCAACUGACCGAAAUUUUUAUUCUACAAAAAAAUUAAAAUAAUGAUUAUUUACCAAUAUAUAGAAAGUUGUUUUUCUUAAAAAAGGAGGCGUUACUGGGGGGACCAUUUUUUAUUGACACUUUUAUUUUUGGUGAUAUAUUAUUAAUUUAUUGAAAUUGGAUAGUUUAGUGAAGUUUCCAACCUUAGACAAUUGCUCCAAAAUCAUGCUUUUUAGUUGCAAUCUAUUGUUGGAUAAGUUUGAUGGGAACCAAAAGGGAGGUUGCUUUUGCAGCCCGAGACGAUUUGAUUUUUCAUGAAAGAGUAAAAUAUAUAUACUCAAAUUAUUUUGUUGUCCAUUGACUCCCUCUACUCUUUGGAAGUCAUUAUAAAGCAAUGACACAUGAAUAAAAUUCUCCCAAAUUUCAACUAUGAUAUACUCGUUGUUGACUCUCUCUCUCUCUCUCUCAUUUUAUCCAUUUACAUGUGCUUACUUUUUAAGUUUGGCAAUGGGUCGGGCCUGGGCCUGAACAGCCUUGCCCUAGGCCUGACCCUUGUCCCCAUAGGGCCAACUCAGGCCCGGCCGAAUUGAGACAAAAAACAAAUGGAACAGAAAUAAAAAGAAAAACAAGGAAAAAAGAGGGCUGUGCCAGGCCAAACCGGGAUAGCACCGGCCAUAGCCCUACCCUUGGGCCAUAGUUUGUGACCCAGGCCUACUUUUUUUUGGGCCAAGCUGGGCCAGGACGCUUGGCCAAUUGCUAGCCCUACGUACUUUUAUGACCAUCCAUCUCCCUCUUUCUUACAUUUUUUCCAUUUGCGUGUUUUUAUAUUUUAUCUAUUUACGUAUCUACUUUUAUCAAAUUUUCACAAAGGCAGCCGAGUUACUUGGGCUCCGGCCCCUUGUCGAGUCUGAGUUGGGCGUCCAACUUGGAGAUAAUGAAAAAAAAAUCUAAAAAUAAAAAAACCUAAAAAGUAAAGAAUUUAUUUGGAAUUUUUUUUUUUUAUGUUUUAUAUUAUGUUGGUGAAGACUGGAAAGUGUUUUGACUAUAAAUGGUUAUUUUUAUAUUUAUUAUUAUUUUGAAAAUACCUAGGUACAAGUUAAUUUUUUAAAAUCUAUUUUUUUACUACUUUUUUAAUCUCAUUUUGAUGUGUUAGGCUUAAUCUUACUUUAAACAUAAAAUUCUUAUUUUUUAUAAUUUUGAACACGAUUUUUUUGUUGUUUCUGUACUCAGCACAAUUUGAGAAAUAACUCCAUCGGAGUACUCGGAUUGGGCACGGGCCAAGUAAUUAGCCCGACUGCGGGUGUCCAAAUCUGACUUUUAUGACUUCUCUCUCUCUCAUUUUAUCAUUUAUACAUGCCUACUUAGAUGACCAUCUUUCUCUCUCAUCCUUUUCCAUCAUCGCAUGUUUAACGGUACGUGUGCGCAUGUUGACGUGAAGUGCGAAAUAUAUGUUAUUUAUAUCAAAAUUGACCUUUUCACACCUAAAAACCUACUGCUUGCAUGCCUUGCCAUGGAAAUGUAUGUGAAGCGCUUUUAGGAAGUUAAUAAUCAUUAUGGCUGAGAAUUUAUUUGGUUUGGAUUUGAAACCUAAAUUUUAGUUGGUUUGGAUUUGAAACCUAAAUUUCAAACCCUAUUUGAAAUUGAGUAUGGAUUUAAGAUUUGGAUCAGUCAGAUCAAACUCAAAUCUAAAAUUUGGAUCCAAAUAGUAAUUUGGAUCCGAUUUAAGUGCAGGUAGAUUCGAUCUGAAUCCAACCCAAUUAUUAAAUUAUUAUAUAUAAUUAUAUAGAUAUACACAUGUUAUAUAAUAUUUUAGGUUAUAUAUUAUUCUAUUAAAAUACUAAAUACUAUAUAUAUUAUAUGGAAAAAAUUUAUAUAAGCAUCAAAAAUCCAUUGGAAAGGUUUUAAGUUGAAAAACCCUUUAAUUGAUCAUCUUGACAUCGAAAUGUAUAAAUAUAAAUGAAAAAAAAAAACGAAAUUGUGUCUUAGAAAUAGUACAUCUUGCUAUACAUUAUCUAAACCGUCCAUUUUCAAGAUUUUCAUAUGUUUAUAGAUCUACUUGAUUUUAACCAUUUUUGGAGUUUAAAAUUUUAUAAUUAGAGAUGAAAAUAUAUUUUAAGAUAAUCCUAAGAAUUUUUUACACCAAAAUUACAUGUUAUGAUAAAAUUUGGAGGUGCGUUUUAAUUGGAUUAUGUAAGGUUGCAACCUUACAAAAACCGCAUUAUGUGUGUGCGUGUAUAUAUAUAUAUAUAUAUAUGUGUGUGUGUGUGUGUGUGUGUGUGUGUGCGUGUGUGUGUGUGUAUGUGUGUGUGGAUUAAGCGAAAGUGAAUAGUGAUUUCGCCUACCCUCAUCACCGUCCAAAGUUCAUCACACGAUCACGAUUAUCCGGUAGUGUUAUAUUUUUCAUUUUUUUUUUACAAAGCGGAAUGACCUAAAAUUUGGAUCAUGUGUUCAUCAAAAAUACGUGACAAAAAAUAUUAAAAACAUAUUUUACAUGAAACAAAUUGACCAAAAUACCCCCAAAAUGUUUCAAGGGUAUUUUGAUCAAUUUAUUUUUUGUAAAUUAUUUUUUUUAUAUUUUUUAUUAGGUGCACCUCACUAAGAUGUACACACACCAAAUUUCAGAUUAUUUUUUAUUUGUAGAAAAAACAAUGAAAAACGAAACACUACCAGACAAUCGUGACAGUGCGAUGAACNNNNNNNNNNNNNNNNNNNNNNNNNNNNNNNNNNNNNNNNNNNNNNNNNNNNNNNNNNNNNNNNNNNNNNNNNNNNNNNNNNNNNNNNNNNNNNNNNNNNNNNNNNNNNNNNNNNNNNNNNNNNNNNNNNNNNNNNNNNNNNNNNNNNNNNNNNNNNNNNNNNNNNNNNNNNNNNNNNNNNNNNNNNNNNNNNNNNNNNNNNNNNNNNNNNNNNNNNNNNNNNNNNNNNNNNNNNNNNNNNNNNNNNNNNNNNNNNNNNNNNNNNNNNNNNNNNNNNNNNNNNNNNNNNNNNNNNNNNNNNNNNNNNNNNNNNNNNNNNNNNNNNNNNNNNNNNNNNNNNNNNNNNNNNNNNNNNNNNNNNNNNNNNNNNNNNNNNNNNNNNNNNNNNNNNNNNNNNNNNNNNCCCCCACUGCAUGUGUAUAGGACCCCAAAGGAUCACCAUUAAAUUUGGCACAGAUCUAUAGAAAAGUCACGUCCCACACCCAUGUGAUAACUUUUUUAGAGAUCCGUGCCAACUUUAAUGAUGAUCAUUUGGGGUCCUACACAUAUGGGUGAGGGAGGGUCCUAUAGAAUUAUUUACUUAUAUAUAUAUAUUGGAAUGAAUCUGACUGUUACAACUUCAUUUCGUAUUUGAAUUUUUCAUUUUUUUCUACAAUUCAAAAUCACUUGAAAUUUUAGAAGUUCAUUCUUCUCAUCAAGGCGUACUUAAUUAAAAUAUAAAAAUAAUAAUUCAUAAAAUAUAAAUUGACCAAAAUAGCCCCAAAGAUAAUUGACAUAAAAAUAUAAAAACUAAUCAUUUAUAAAAUAUAAAUUGACCAAAAUAGCCCCAAAGAUAUUUUGGUCAAUUUAUAUUUUGUAAAUUAUUUUUUUAUUUUUUUAUUAGAUUAUCCUACUUUUGAAAAAUAGACACUCAAAAUUUUAAGUGAUUUGGAUUUGUAUAAAUAAAAUGAAAAUUCAAAUACGAAAUGAGGUCGUGACCAUUGGAUUGGACACAAAUUCAAUGUGGGCCGUUGGCUGGUAGGAUCCUCUCUCUCUCCCCUAUAUAUAUAUAUAUAUAUAAGUCUAAUAAUUGGGUUAGAUCCGGAUCGGAUCCACUUGUAUAUUUUGGGUCUAUAUCUGACCCUAAUCCAAAUCUUGAAUCAAUACUCGGAUCCAGAUAGAUCCAAAAUUCAAAUUUCGAAUCCCUAAAUUUUCCCCAAGCCCCUUGCUAACACUGUGCCUCUCGACUACUGAUUUGGAGGCAGAGAUGCAAGCACAACCAAGCCAAUUGAACCAAUAAAAAGACAUAGAGGAGUGUGCCACUUUAGAGAGAGAAAGCAACUCAACCAAUCAAGAGAGACAAACAGAGCAAGUCUACCAAUCAAGAGAGAGAAAGAGGCUCAAAUCUACCAAUCAUGAGAUAGAGGAAGAGAGAGGAUGACCAGGUCUUCCAAUCAACACGGAAGUGCUAUGUGCAUACUAGAGAGAGAAAGAGGAGAGAGAGAGAAAGAGAGCAUAGCCACAAAUCGUGGGGCGUUGGAGGACCACGGGGGAGAAGUGGGCAUUUGAUGCCCUGCCAUUAAAGUCACCCGCCAAUGCACGUAGGGAUGAGUGCUUUUUUUAUUCCUAUGGUUGAGCACUGGGCUACAACCAUUACUUUCCUAUAACAUGGGAACAUCACAUCUUUUUCUUUUGCUUUACCAUCACAUGUUUUAAGAAAAUUAAAUUAUGGAAAAAAAAAGUGGUGCCAAAAUUUUAUCAAUAGUAGUCUUGGGAUUAGGCUUGUUGCAGCCAGAUGAACAACAAAAUAAGGUGCCCACAUGGGUUUUUAAUGUUCUUCAAAUAGAUUUAGUACUUGGAAUCAUAGUUGUCAAGGCUACACGAUCGGACUUUCGACCCGUGCUUUGGUCUAUCCAGUUCUAAGCAAAAACUAGGUUUGGUCAAGAACUAAUCAAAAAAUAAUGUUUGACUAGUUUUGACACAUCAUUCCCACCAGUUUUGAUAUGUUAUAUUGGUUGAACAAAGUUGGACGAUUUCUAUGUAUAACAUAUUUCACGAUUCAUAAAUGACUUAGGUUAAACAAAGUUUUGAUGUCAAAAAACUACGAUAAUUUGAAAAUCCAUGUUCAACCCUAAUUAUAGUAUUUAAAAUUUAAAAAAUGACGCAGAUCUAUAAAUAAUGUAAAAAUAUUGAAAAUAGGUAUUCUAGAUACAAGAAUCACUAUUUUUAGGACUUAAAUUUCUUCUAUUCUAUAUGUCCAUACAUCUAGAGGUUGAGAUUAAUUGAAAAGUUUUUCAACUUCAAAACACUCUCUCCUUGAUUUUUUAGGUGCACCUUACUUCUAAAGUAUAAGGUUACAACCGUAAAUAAACUCUUUCCUAUAAAUAAAUUCCCCAUAAGUGUUUAAUUGUGGUAUAAAUAUAUGAAAUAAAUAGGGAAAUUAUCACAAAUAUACCUUAAUUUUCGUCUAUUUAGAAAAAACAUUUAAUUUUCAUAAACCUUGUCCAUACUCUUUUUAUUCAAUUUUGACAUUUUUUUUACCAAAAUAACCUUCACGGUAGUCGUUUUCACAAAACUAAAAUGUUAUACGGCAUUUUAAGUAUUGUAAAAACUUACUCAUGUUUUACGGCAUUUUGAGUAUCCUAAAAACUCAUGUUUUACGACAUUUUGAGUAUGUAAAAACUAGCCCAUGUAAUACGGUAUUUUAAAUACCGUAAAAACUAACACAUGUAAUACGGUAUUUUAAGUACCGUAAAAAUUAAUCUAUGUUGUACUGGCACUGUAAACCUUUUUCUGUUGUUUAUAUUUAUCUCUUUCAUCCUAUUUAUAUUUAUCUUUUUUAUGUCUCUAAUUAUUUUUAUGUUUAUCUCUUCUUUCACUCUCUAAUUCUUUUUAAUAUUUAUCUCUUCUUUCUCUCUCUAAUUUUUUUUUAUCUCUUCCUCCUCUCUCUAAGUUUUUUCUAUCUCUAACUCUCUUUCUCUCUCCAAAGAGAUUUGUAUAACAACCUAUGUGUACCUUAUCAUCCCAUAUAAAAACUCCCUUCAACCCCAUCCCCUAGGAAAAUUAGUGUUUGUUGAGUUGAUGAAGUAAGUAGAGAAAGAAAGAGAGUGAGUAAGAAAAAAUAUUUAGAGAGAGAAAGAAAAAAAUAUUUAGAGAGAGAAAGAAGAGAUAAACAUAAAUUUUAUUUUAGAUAAAUGAAAAAGAUAAACAUGAACAGGAGAAAAGGGUUACGGCAUUUUGAGUGCCGUAUAACAUAGGUCAGUUUUUACGAUACUUAAAAUGUUGUAUAACAUGGGUUAGUUUUUAGUGUGCCUAUAAUAUGGAUUAGUUUUUAGGAUACUUGAAAUGCCGUAUAGCAUGGAUUAGUUUUUAAGAUACUUAAAAAUACCAUAUAACAUGGAUUAGUUUGUACGGUAAUUAAAGUUAUGUAAUUGGCUUCACGGUAAUAUGACUACCGUGAAGGUUAUUUUGGUGUGUUACCGUUGAGGUUAUUUUGGUCAAAAAAUGCACAAAAUUGACAAAAAAUAGUACGGGUGAGGUUUAUAAAAGUUGAACGAUUUUUCUAAAUAAAAAUUAAAGUAUAUUUGUAAUAAUUUCUCAAAUAAAUACAAUCAGAUCAGUUAUUUUUAAUAUAAGGAAGUCACAAUUACUAUUUAUGGGUAGAUUUAAACUCAUAUGGUCGAAAAUGCAAGGUACAAAACCCAAAAUAACAUCUAUAGAAUGUUGUAAGAUACUUAAGUUUUUGAAUUUCAAUUCUAAUGGCUAAAAGUAAUUGUGAACUUUUAGUGCUAAAAAGUAAAUUAUCUUUUACUGUACAAUCCGAUAGAGGCAUAUACCCAAUCAUCCAAGAAUUGAAUGAAUAGGCUUAUGCCCUGAUCACCAAAGGGCUGCGCCGUUGCACUUACAAGUAGUUAUGUUCUGCCCCAUCCAACAUAGGGCUUGCAAAAUCUUCAAUACUAUGAGCUAAUAAUUUCCCAAUGACCGUUACAGUGCAACUGCAUAUAAUAUAUGUGAGUCUACUUGUAGUCAUUUUGAUUCUCUCAGGUUCUUUGGGGGUGGUAUCUCUUGAAUGGCUGUGAUCUUCACGGAAUUAAUUUCAAUGCUCCAUGUUAAAUAAUGGGCCAUAAGAACUUCGCUCAUGAGACUCCAAAUACAAACACGAAGGGAUUCAUCUUCAACUGAUGGGCAUGGAAUUUCUUGAUGGUAAUAUGAAGAUAUACAUGGUGCUCCACAAUAUUAUAUAGGCUGUCAUCUAAGAUUCAUCAUCAUCGUCAAAUCCUUGUCCCAACUAAUUAGGGUUAUCUAUCAUUACAGUCAUUGCUCAUUGUAAUGUCGUUCCUGUAUUCUUAAGCCAAAGCCAAAUGACAUUACUGUGUAACAGAGAUGCCAUUAUGUAUGCAUAAUUUGACCUUUUUUACUUGAUUAUAUAAUGAGUAUCCAUAAUCAAUCAAUAUUUAGUUGUUAAGGAGGGAAAUUAUCGUUUAAAUGUGCGGUAUUCAGUCGUGAAAGUCAAUACAAACUCGACUCUAUUUUUCUUUUUCUUUAUUUAAAUUGACAGAGUAUCGACAAGUUUGACAGUUUCAACUUCUGCCCAAGCCAUGAAUUCCGGGUAAUUGCCUUCAUUGUGAGGAUCGACAACCAUGUUAUGAGUGGCUAGGAUCUCUUUAUAUGCCCAUUGAGGAUACCGCAGCACCACUCCUCCCAAAAAAAUGUGGAGCACUCCUCAUUAUCAAAUAGGGAAGUGCUACAAUAUUAGGAAGUAACGGUUUCCAAUACCGCCCACCUCCAAAAAUCAAACACACCCUACAUAAUCAUGAUCCUGGCUCACGUGCUGCACAGCUUCUGGCACACGGGUGAUAUGUUUUCCAGCAAUUAGAAUCUGCAGAUGAUUUCACAUGAAACAAAAGAGGCCUCUCUUCCUAGCAUACCAAGUGGGUCUAAUCUCCAACCUAUGAUCCAUAACGUAUGAAAGGACUGCUCUUAGUAGAAUUGUAAAGGCAUUCCUAGGAAAGUCAGUGGGAGAGGUGGCAACAAGUCGGGAGCACCCGGACCCGGACCAGGAUCCGAAGUUAUUGGACCCGGACUGAGCCUAGGUCUAAUCUCCAACCUAUGAUCCAUAACAUAUGAAAGGACUUCUCUUAGUAGAAUUGUAAAGGCAUUCCUAAGAAAGUCAGUGGGAGAGGUGGCAACAAGUCGGGAGCACCGAGACGUAGACCAGGAUUUGAAGUUAUUGGACCCGGAUAGAGCCUGUAUCUGAUUGGACCAGACCCAAAAAUAAAACUAUAUUUUAUAUAUAUAUAUAUAUAUAUAUAUGUAUAUACAUGCGUUAUUUAAAUAUUAUAACUAAAAUAUAUAGUUAUAUUUAAUAAAUAAUAUUAAGAUAUUAUAUAUUAAAUAUUAUUUAUAUAAUAACACUAUUCGGGUCGGGUCCCAGUCGAGUCCACAUGUAGUGUUUGGUCCAAUAUUUGGACCUAGACCUGACCCACCAAGUCCAAUUCUUGGACCCAUUCUCAGGACAGUAGGUCGUAGGUGCAGGUCCAUUACCACCCCUAGACAGUUGCAGUUGAAAGUUUUCGUCCCUUAGUAAAAACUAUUUGGGUCUUGCAAAGUUUUUUCUCUUAUUCUCCAAGCCUUCAAUCUUCGAUCUUUGCCUUCUCUUAAGUGAGACAACAUUCACCAAGUGGGCAUUAACCAACUUAGCCUUAGCCUUAACUAUGAAUGGGGGAGGAAACCCCAAUUCUUCAAUAUUAGAGUGUCUUCCUUUUUUUAAAAUCAUUAAUAUGGUACCUUCUUCCAACAUUUUCUUUGGCUUGAAGGGAGCUAUCAGUCCUCUUCCAUUCGCCAUGCCUUCCUUCUUCAAGAUAUCAUAGUUCAUAUCGUGCAUAAUGCAAUUAGCCUUGCAACUAUAACAGUGUCAUUCAUGAUUAAACUGAAAAGAAUAGAAAUUACAUUUGAAUUGUAAUUGUGCUUGGGCUUGAGUGGUUAGUUAUUUAUGAUUGGAAUACUACGUCUUGAGUUCGAUUCCUAUUUCUGCACUACCAAAAAAAAAAUGACAUUCACGUUUCAAGUUGCCGCCUUUGAGAUGAUUAACAUUGUGUAUGUUUCAAGAGCUCGAAAAGCUUCACUUUUGGGAAUGGAGAGCCACAUUUUAUUUUUAGAGGUCUUUUUUCUUGCAAGGGAGUUUUUGGUAGUUGUUUGUAAGUAAUUGGGGUUACCAAAAAUAAGUUCCCCGUGGAUAUUGCUUGCUUGGGGUGGCAAUUGGGUACGCAUGUCGGAUCUACGCAUAAGUAUUAGACCAAAUGGGUCUGGUCUAGAUUCGAAUAUCCUAGAUUUUAUUGGAUUAGAUUGGGUCCAAGUCAUAGUCAAACCGACCCGACGUAAACCUAACCCAACCCAAUAGUUAUGUAAAAUAUAUGUGUAUGUAAUUAAAUACGUUUUUCUUUUAUCUAUACCCGGAUCCAACCUUGUGGAUCACGUCUACAUCUAGCUAGGACCUAAUUGGUUGGGGUUGACCAGACCCGAACCAACCCAACCCAUGAACACCCUGUGGAGCAGGAUCGGAUGUUUAAAAUCGUUAAAUGGGUGGAAAGAAAGAUGAUGCUAUUCUUAAAAGUUUGUGCAUCCAAACAUGGCCGCUAUUUCAAAAGAGUUGUCACGUGAUUUACUAGUGGUUUAUAGCGGGAUGUUAAUUAUUUUGGUUAAAUCGCCACUUUUUGAAACUUUUGAAGUCUACGAGGGAUUCAAAAAACUUUUGAACGUUCCUAAAUUUCAAAAACAACAAAAUGAAAAAUAUUUUUUGAAGAUGUCCAAAUCUAUUGCCACGAGUGAUCGAAAAAUGGAACCAGCCUCGGAAACCAGCCAACGGCUACGUCUGAGUAAUCAAUAAACCGGCCGGUUCCCAACCUAAUCGGGCAGGUCCUAGCCGGUCCAAAAAGUGUUAAAAAAAAUAAAAAAAUUGUUUUUGGACAAAAGGCAGUUUCAUAGCCCAAAAAUCAAACUGGCCUUAAAAAUUGAUUUGUGCCCAAAUAUAUUUAUGAAAUUUUCUAAAAAAGAUGGGAAAAUGUAAAAAUAAAUAUUCAUUGCCAAAACACUAUCCAAUCUUUGCUAAAAUGAUAAAAAAAAAAUCCAAAAACACAUAACAAACAAAUCCCUUCGUUUUUUGAGAUUUCUUUUAAAAUAUUCAGCCCACCAAAACCGGAUUGGCCAGUGCUCGGUUCCAGUUAGACCGGUUGGUUUCAAGUUGGACCGGCCAACACUGAUUGCCUCUUUUCAAAAUCACAUAUGGUAUUCAUUCAUGUUGGUCGUUGAUUGAGUUGACACUAGAACUAUAAUUGAAGCUAUUUUGGGCUCCAAAUCAAUUUUUUCUUUGGAGAAGCCAUUCCAUAAUCAAUCUCUUCGAAAAUGAAAAUUCAUUUAGAAUUCGAGGUUCAAAUUAGUAAGAACAAUAUCUUUUACUAUCCCUGUGGGAACAUCAAAAGUUCUCUUGAAACCUGUAAUACUUGAUGGAAUAUUUAAUGAAAUCUAAAUAAAAUUGGAUCGAAUGGGCUUGAGAAAAUUUUGCAUUUAGAAUUUAAGCAAUCGAUAUGGAAAGCUUACUGCUUGUUUGGCUGUUUAGGAGUUUGCAUCAGUUUUAACCGAAAAGCGACCAAAACGUACAUGGGGCGCAUUUUGCGGCGACAUCCAAACAAGCCAUUAUCUUGAAAUAGAAAUAUGUGGAAGAGUUCACGUUCAAUGGCAGCACUCAAGUUUUCUACAAUGUGAUCACAUCACCUCAGACCUCAGAUAUCAAUAAACGAUCCUAAAAACUUUAGUGCUCUCAAUGAGCACAUUUUCCACAUGGAAUUUCUAUUGACAAUGAUAAUCCUACUUGUGCAUAAGUGCCUUGAAGAUAAUUGGCAUGGGAUGGGCCAAGCUGAGGCUAGUUCAGUAUGACCUAACCCUUUUUUUUAUUUUUUUUUAAUUGUAUUUUCCUUAGUCCCGACAAAGCCAGGUCGGCUCUAUAGGGACAAGGGCCAAGCAACGGCUAGCCUAGCUCAGACCUGGCCCGCUGCCAUUCCUAUGCAUGAGUGCCCCCAUAUAAGCAUGUAAAAUGUCUGUUUGGUCACAAAUUUAUUGAUACAUGAGGUCACGUUUAGGCCUAGAGGUUUAAGAGCUCAAAAUGAUAUUCCCUGAUAGAACUGGCCGGCCUAGUUCUUGACGGGAACCGAUCGGUUUCUUUAUUUGGUAGGAACCAAACAGUUCUCCCAAUCCGGAUAGAGCAAUUAUGAUCCAAAUUUUUUUAAAAAACCCUGGUUGCAAUUGAGGAAACGCUUUAGUGGAGAUUUUUGGAAAGCCUUAUGGAUCUUCUAAACUAGUAUGCCUCUCGAAAUGUUUCAAAAUAAAAUCCUACCAAAUAUGAGAAAAAUACUUUCUACCUCUUUGUUUCCAUUGUACAAAAGCGAUAACCUCUCAAAUUUCAUAAGAAUUUCAAAACGGAUAAAAAAUUACAAGAAUAAAAACAUGUAGAAUCGGUUUUGAGGGGGACAAUUAUUAUUACAUCACGUAGUUUUUUUAUUCAAAUAGGAAAAAAUAGUAGAAGAAGAGUUGAAUUUUGACUAUGAGAAAAGGGUUGACGUAUAUGGUCUUUUUCUCAAAAAGAUUGGGAUCUUGUUUUAGAUUUAAAUUAAAUUAAAGUAGUAACUUAAUGCACCAUCUUAACGUAAAAUGGAAAAAUGCCCUUGUUCUUAAUUUUUAAUAGGGAAAAUUUCAUAUAGAAUCUCAAUUUCUCAUCUUAUUUCAUGGUAGACUUUCCUUCCAUUUUUCUUUCAAGCAGCAUAAAGAAACCCCUAAAGAUUUCACUGCAUCCCUCUCUUAAUUGACUUUUGACUAUAAAAAUUAGCCCCCAAUAAAUUUUUUUAUAUCAUUUCAACUCAAAAACUUUUUAACCCUCUUUUUCCCUUUUCACCAAUUAAAAACUUUUUUGGGUUAAAAUGAUAUAAAAGAUUUUUUGGGGUAAAUUUUUAUGAUCAAAUUUCAAUAAAAGAGGGAGAUAAGAAAUGAUGGGGCAUGGUGAAAUUUCCUUAAACAGCAUGAAAGAAAAAGAGAAAGAGGGUCUACCAUAAAAUAAUAUGAGGAAUUAGGGUUCUAUAUGAAAUUUUCCAUUUUUAAUAUGGGGUGAGCUCGUAUACUAUUCAAGUAAGGCUCAUCUCAAAACUAUAUCGAUGCAGUUUUGGUAUCGGAAAAACUUGUAAAUGCAUAAAAAUAUAUUGUCACCUCUAAUAAUGAAAUUUAAAGUUCCAAAACUAAUGCAAAUUGAGCAAAUAUAUAUACUAUUAAGUUUUUUUUUAAAUAGACUGUCUAGAUAAUGCGUUACAAGAUGCAUUACUUUCAUGACUUUAAAAAAAAUUAAAUCCCACAUUCAUACAUCUUGAUGUUGAGAUGAUCAAUUUGAAGAUGUUUUUCAACAUUUUAACAACUUAUUUUUUUUUAUGAAAUUUUGAGUUGCGCCUUACUUCAAUAGUAUAAGGUUAACACCUCAUAUAAACUUUUACCUUUAGGAAGCAUAAAAUCCCCCAAAUUUUAAAAUUGAUACCCUCUGUUUUAACCAUGGUUUACCAAAACUACUUUAUUAAAAAGGGAAAAUAUCUCUAUAUCCCCUAUUUUAAGUUUCAUUUAUUGAUAUACCCAUAGUUUCAAUAUCUUCUAACCCUCUAGCCACUUUAAACUAAUUUUUUAACCUAAACAAAUGUGAGAAAGACAUGUUAUUUUUAAACCCAAUCAUUUCUCUCUCUUCACUUAUAUACUCUAAACUUCUCUCAUUCUCUCUCUUCCUACAUCUCUCUCACUCUCUCUCUUCCUACAUCUCUCUCACUCUCUCUCUUCUCCCAUAUUUCUCCAAACACCUCUCUCUCUCUUCCCGAUAGCCUCUCACCUCCAUGAAGCCUUUCUCUCCCUCUAAAAGUUUGGAAAGAUAGCUUUUAGAAAAGAUGUCUUUUUAGAUUUGUUUGACCUAAAAAAAUAGGUUUAAAUUAGCUUAAGGGAUUAGAAGAAGUAAAAUUUACAAUUUUUAUUCCCCAAGAUAUCUUUUAAAACCUUGGGUCUAUUGUGAAAUGAAAUUUAAAAAUAGGAAGUAUGAAGAUAUUUUCCCUAUUAAAAAAAUGGUCCUGCUUUUUAAAUCGUUUAUAAGGUUUGAUUCCCAUCAAGAAACUUGAAUUGUUGAAAGAAAAAAAAAUUUAUUCAAACUAUAUAGUUUUUAAAAGCAAAAGCAUUUAAAGAGACCAUUUACCUUAGGUAUAUCAAGGGCGCAAUCAACUUUGGCCAUUUGAUACAAAAUCAGGCGGUUAGGGGCGUCCCAUUGACUGAGCUCAUUGAUUGAUUCUAAAAAGAAAAUUUUUUGAAAAUUUGUAAUACACGACAAGUUGACACAUUUAUCGUAUUAUUGCUAUGAAUGAUUAUGACAUUGUAACAAAAAUAAAUGGUGACCCUUAAAGACUCAUUAGAGAACUAUACAAGUUUUCUUAAAGUUUUUAUUUUUUUUCAGUUUUGAGGUGGGUCGGCCAUGUGUUGCACAUACUUAAUAGAAUACAACACAUGUUAAAACAUGCCAUUUGGUUCGAGUGGAAGGCUUAAAAAUGGCAAGGGGAAUGUCCAAAAAGGACAUGAAUGGAAGUAGUAAGAAAAGUUAUAGAGACUUACGGUCUUACUGAGGGUAUGACUCUUGAUAAAACAAGAUUCGUAAAGCCAAUCCCAAAUAAUUGGGAUAAGGCUUUCAUGAUGUUGAUGAUCUGAAGACUCAUUUGGACAUGGAUCACUUUGAGCAACAUAAGAUACUAAUAUUAAUACUGGUAUUUUAAAACUUGUAUCGGUGGAGCGAAUCAUUUGAUCGGUGAUCUAGAUUGGGUAUAGAUCGAUCCAAAUCAAUGAUUGAAAAAAUAUUAAAAAUAAAGAAAAUAAAAUACAAUUAUAAUAGGGUUUAUAGGGCGAGGAUUUAGAGAGGAUCUAAAAAAACAUUAGAUAUGCUUUUAAAAAAAAAAAAUACAAUUUUUUUUUUCUAUUUUUUUUCUUUUUGGGUGGGGGAGAGGUGUGUGUUUAGGGGGGAACCAGCUAACAUGCGUACUAUCUCAGAAAUGGUUUGGUCCCCAUCAAUUCGCAUCGAUAAAAAAUGGCAGGGCUUUAAAACACUAAUUUAUACAUUAGUUGAUCACUUGCAUCAUGUACCGGAAUUCUUUAAUUUUCGUUAGAGUUAAUGGAAUCCAGCAUCCUUCACUUAUGUAAGUACACAUGUUUACAAUCAAUGAUGUUUUGGCUCUUCGUUUUCUACUACUUGAAUUACUUACUCAGGAAAGCCUUGCGCAAUGCGGCGAAACUGAAUAGUAUUUUUGCCUAUAAGCUUGCUACCGUCCGAAUUUUUUUUGGACAGUGGGGAAAAAUCGACUAUCACAGACCUAAUAUAUCUGUCGCAAUACUGUCAGGGAUAUAAUAGGUCUGUAACAGACAUAGUAGGUCCGUAGCGGUCGAUUUUUCACGUUAAACCACAACAGACGUAUUAUGUCUGGUGAAACUACUAUUCACUUCGUCUAUGGGCAUUAGAAAUUGUUUUUCAAUUACUUAUUUUACUCUUGUUACUAAUUAUAUUCUAACUGUUACAAAGUUGAUCACUGAGGAUAUCCAUUUGGAGAGGUAUUACCGUGUAUGAAAUCGGUUGUCAGAAAAGAGUGUUUGGUGAUGUUAUUUCUACUUAAUUUAUUCACUUUUAUGGAGACAAGACAUGAUCCCCUCCUACCUCCAUCUUUUAAAUCUAGUAGAUGCAUGUUCUCCCCCGUCCUCAUGUUUUGAUAGUGGGAGUCCUAAAGAUUGUGGUCGAGGAAAGAUUGAAAAGUCAUUUUCAUGGCCCACAUUUGACACAAUGGUUACAUCUUCAUUAUGAUUUCUUAUCAUUUAACGAAAACUAAUUAGCUUUUGUAUCAUGAGAAGAGAAGCUUUGUUUAGGUUGAAGUUUCUUUGAGGCAGUAUGUGAUCCAUUUGAAAUAAUGUUAUCAUGCAUAUAUCAUAAAAUCGUUUUUUUAUAUAAACUUGUAAAUUACAAGGAAAAGUAUUUGGUGAGUCGGCCAACCCAUGUGUCUGCUCUAGUUUUUUUAGGGUUUUAGAACCUGAAACAUAUUUCAAAAUACUACAAAUUUGUUUCCAUUAUAGCAUUGCAUAUUUUAUGAUCUUUGAAUGAUUGAAAUAAAUGGUAUGAAAAAGAGCGUACAAGUUGAAUCAUUUUAAAGGAAAAAGUUUAUAUAAAGAUGUUGUUAGGUUUAUGUGGCCAUUAAAGACCUUAUGAGUGCUUGUAAGAUGAAAUGAUAUAGUGGAAUAUAAACUCAGUGGGAAUGUGAUUCCUCGUGGACUAUACUAAAUAAAUGAUGUUUGCUGAUACCGAUCUGUACUUGACGAUUUAGGCCAGUUGGUUGGGAAAAACCCAUAUUACCUGGGCAUAAAGAACAAAUCGAGAAUGGUUCUAAUGGGUUAGCCCUUGAUGAAGUCGGAGCAUAUGCCCAAAUGAGUGAGCCGAGGGACUGUAUGACCCUUGUGUGUGAUGGUGGCCUACAAAGACGGGGACCAAAGCCUCAUCCAUGUGUCAUCACACGGCAUGCAUAUCAAUAGAUUGUUCGGAAAAAUCAGAAAUCCAUCUUUUAGAGUGAAGCAUAUAUAUGUGCGAGAGAUACCCCUAUGCGCCAUUGAGUUAUGGUUGUAUCAGGUCUCGAUGACUUUUACUCGUCUCUAUGGGAAGACCUGUAAUCCACGGAUUGGGAUUGCGACCCUUUGGCUCAUCGGCCAGACUUUGGAGACACACUAAUGAGCCCUUGCUUGGACUGUGGGUCAUGAAAAACACUGGGUCGGUCUGAUAAAGCAAGUGUGGUUUGUAGUCCACAGUUGAAGGUGGAGUGCCCCAUGAUUUUUUAUUCAAUUUUUAAACCAUAUGGAUCAUUUUCGCAUCAGAUUAAUUUAAUUGUAUCUGUUUUAUGAUAAUAAUUAUUUUAGAAUUAUUAUUUGAAUUUUUAUGAACCACUGGGUAUUAUUUUUUGGAUUUAUAAAAUUAAAUAUAUUAAUUUUACAUUUGUAUAAAUAUUCAAAUAAAUACCAAAAAUUAUUUUAUUAAUUUUAAUGCAUAAAAACAUCAUGGAGGCCCAUUGUGCACAUGGGCCCACCAUGUUUCUAGAAGGUGGAGUCCAUAUGUACGUCUUAUGGGUGGCACACCCCACCCCUUGAAUUCUUUUUAUUAAGUUUUGGUAAUGUUGAAUUGUCACAUGUAGUCAAAUAUGACUUGGACCAUAUGUUGGCUUAAUAUGGAAGUGCAUAUUGACUUAAUAUAUCUUUGAUAGAUUUUAUGGAAAAUAUGAGUAGUAAUGUGCUAUAUUAUGGAAUGCACAAUAUUUAAUUAAGAUUAAUUUGACUUAUUUUUUAAUGGAUAAAUGGUUUAGGAAAGGGAGAUAAGGUACAUGCACUUUCUAUAAUGUUGAUGGCCCAUCUAUAGAAUGGAUGGCUCAGAUCUCUCACCCCACAAGUCACCCUUGAUCGACGGUCCAUGUUCAAUCUCACAAGAAGAGGCAAGCCAAGGAAAACCCUGAGAAACCAUAAUCUUGAUCAAGCCUAUAAAAAAAUAGAUUGUCUCUAUCCAAAAUCUCUACACCUUAUUUUCCUAUCUCUCUCUCUUAAGAAAUUUUUUCUCUCUCAUGUUUGAUCUCUCUUUCCUAUAUUGUAAAAAGGGGCUCAGGGUCUAGGCUAUGGAUUUCUUCUCUCUCUCAUCUCUCAACUAUGGAUUUAUGGCUCGGGGUUUUAGGGUUAGCAAAAGAAGAAUCAAUCUCUUUCGAACUAGGUUGUUAAGGGAAUUCACAUAAGGUUUGAGUUUGUGAUCAAAUGGGUUCAUGUUCCAUUGGUGUGGUUUGGCCGAAAUUUGUUUUUCUGGUUCGAGAUUGAAGCUAGACCGUUGAUCCCGCACCAUCGGAUGACGGUGACUCGGUGUGAGGUAUAAUAAGUCCGGUUAAGGUAAUCUUUGACACCUUUCCCUUCUAUUUUUUGCAAUCUUGCAUUUUAUUCUCAAGCAUAGUGCAUAGUUAUAUCAAUGGCAUCAAGUUUUAAAAUCAUGGUUUUAUUGUUAUAUUGAUUUUAUUUUGAAGUAUAUGUUGUAGUAAUAAGACCACCUGUAAAUGAUUUUUUACCAAAACAAAAAGGGUAAAAUUAAAAAAAAAAAUGUAUUAUUCCUCGUUAAAAGAUCGCAUAGGCUUUCUUUCAGAUGCAACCUUAUAAUGUAGAACUACGGAUGCACCUCAAAAAUUCAUCGAAAAAUGUAGUUUUAAUGUUGAAAAACCCUUUGAUUGAUCAUCCCGACAUCAAAAUGUAUGACCAUGAAAAAUAAGAAGAUUUUAAGUCUCAGAAGUAAUGCAUUUUACAACAUAUUAUCUACACCAUCCAUUUUCAAUAUUUCAUAUGUUUAUAGAUCUACCUGAUUUUAACUAUUUUUGAAAUUUAAAAUUUUAUAAUUAGAUAUAAAAAUAGAUUUUGAGAUAAUACUAAGAACAUUUUACAUCAAAAUUAUAUAUCAUGAUAGAAUUUGAAGGUGCACCUUACCUCUACAACUAUGGAUGCAUAUGUAUGCCAACUGCACCCCAUUUUAAAUGCGUGAAUUUUUUUUUUUUUUCAUACUUAUGAUCAUGGUGGUUGAGAUGAUACACAUGUUAUAUCUUUGGAUUUAAAAUCCAUGUCGAAGAUAGAUUUUGGAUGGGUAGAGUUGAGACUCAUUGUAACAUGAUUUCCUAAAUAAAUAAAAAUGAACAUUGAAAACUUUCUUUCUCACCUUGGAUUGGGGAAUUCCACCCAAGUUUCAAGAUUCUUUCAUAUUUUUUUUUAAAUAAGGUUUACCAAUUUCUUCUAAAGUUGCCCUUAAAAGUAGUGGCCAAACUAUCAGUUAAAUAUCCUAGUUAUUUUAUAAUUAUUCAACUGGUGGAAUCAUUCCAUUUAACAUUAUAAUAAUUAAUUUUUAAGUCUCGUAUAAUAUAUAUAUAUNNNNNNNNNNNNNNNNNNNNNNNNNNNNNNNNNNNNNNNNNNNNNNNNNNNNNNNNNNNNNNNNNNNNNNNNNNNNNNNNNNNNNNNNNNNNNNNNNNNNNNNNNNNNNNNNNNNNNNNNNNNNNNNNNNNNNNNNNNNNNNNNNNNNNNNNNNNNNNNNNNNNNNNNNNNNNNNNNNNNNNNNNNNNNNNNNNNNNNNNNNNNNNNNNNNNNNNNNNNNNNNNNNNNNNNNNNNNNNNNNNNNNNNNNNNNNNNNNNNNNNNNNNNNNNNNNNNNNNNNNNNNNNNNNNNNNNNNNNNNNNNNNNNNNNNNNNNNNNNNNNNNNNNNNNNNNNNNNNNNNNNNNNNNNNNNNNNNNNNNNNNNNNNNNNNNNNNNNNNNNNNNNNNNNNNNNNNNNNNNNNNNNNNNNNNNNNNNNNNNNNNNNNNNNNNNNNNNNNNNNNNNNNNNNNNNNNNNNNNNNNNNNNNNNNNNNNNNNNNNNNNNNNNNNNNNNNNNNNNNNNNNNNNNNNNNNNNNNNNNNNNNNNNNNNNNNNNNNNNNNNNNNNNNNNNNNNNNNNNNNNNNNNNNNNNNNNNNNNNNNNNNNNNNNNNNNNNNNNNNNNNNNNNNNNNNNNNNNNNNNNNNNNNNNNNNNNNNNNNNNNNNNNNNNNNNNNNNNNNNNNNNNNNNNNNNNNNNNNNNNNNNNNNNNNNNNNNNNNNNNNNNNNNNNNNNNNNNNNNNNNNNNNNNNNNNNNNNNNNNNNNNNNNNNNNNNNNNNNNNNNNNNNNNNNNNNNNNNNNNNNNNNNNNNNNNNNNNNNNNNNNNNNNNNNNNNNNNNNNNNNNUGAAGGUCACCAACAUUCCCACGCAUUUAUCUUUAGCCUCAUUGUCUCAUUUUACUCAAACACUUUUGCAAAAAAAUAUGUUUAAAAAUGACUUGAUCAGGCCAAUUUUGGAUUCAAAAUCCUGAACAAAUUAAGAUAUAUUGGUAGUUUAGUCUCACAUAAGUGACUGGAGUUCAAUGAUGAUGACACCCUCAGAUGUUCAGGUCAACGACACAAAUAUGUGAAAUAUCAGUAAUACUUUUGUUAUUUGAGCUUAGCAACACAAAAUUCGUAUUUUUCAUUGUAAACGCUUUUGCCGAAUUGCUAAUUCUGAACAAUCAAGAGAAUUUCAUUUGACUUAGGCCAUUUAUACGGAUAAAAUUUAUUGAAAUGUCCCCUACUCGUUCGUACUUUUCAAUACUGGACAAGACAAUUUAAUUAUUUUUAAGCAUAUUUUUUAAGGAGGUGCUUAGUCAAAUGAAGCUUAGAAAAAUAGCCAUCCUAAUCUUAAUUUUCAAUGGGAUUUGACAGCCAUAAUAAUUUUGUAUGGCAAUUUGAUCAUUUAGUUAAUAUUAUCUCAAAGUAACGAUUUAAAAAAAAAAAAAAACCUAUUGACACCAUGCCCAAUCCUUUUCUAAGACUUUGUUUGUAUCUUAUCCUAACAUCUCUCUCCCCACUUCAAGUUUAGAUGAAAACAAAGGCUAUUGCAAUUGAUUAGUGGACCUUUUUAGAAAGUGACUCUCAGUAUUCACACAGAAUUGAAGAGGUUAAGCCGAGAUUGACGGGUCCUCGAGUCAAAACUUGCGGCCGCGAAUUGGAUUUGCGAUGUGGGAGGAUAUAUAAAGGCUACUGUUCCUAUGAGUUCCCCUUUUCAUAUCCAGAAAGAGCAAUGAUAUUAGGAGACCCUCUCACACUCAUGUGUGUAGGACUUUAAAGGAUCACCAUUAAAUUUAGUACAAAUAUCUAAAAAAGUUAUGACAUGGGUAUGGGACUUGGCUUUUUUAGAAAUCGUUGCCAAAUUCAAAGGUAAUCCUUUAUGAUCCUCCGCAGGUCUCAUAGAAUCAUUACUCAUCUAAAAAUACUUUCCUCUUGAUAAUUUAUUUUUGAAAUAGAUUUUAAACCCAAGUUUUUAGGAAUAUACGAUUUCUAAUGGAGAUCAUUAAUAUGUACAAUAAAUAAAUCCGAAAUUUAAAAAUAAUCAUUUAUGAAGAAAAUAUUUCAGCCAUCAUUUUCAAUAUUUUCUCGAGGGACCCACUAUUUACAUAAAUAUUUAUGAUGGAUGGUUUACGCGUGGGGGAAGACAAAUGUAUGAAUGUGUUCCCAAAUGCAUAAAACACUUUUUCACCGAUAAAUACACCAAGUUGAAAAUAAAAAUAAUUAUUGUUAAGGAUUGUAUUUGAAAAAUAUGUAAAAUGUUAAUACAAUCUUGAGACUCGGAUAGCAUUGUCUCAAACAAUGGUGACAUUUUGGCAUUGACGAAACCAAAUGAGGUAGAAGUCAAAAUUUUCCUUUAUAUUUUCUUUUUAAAGUUAGGGAAGGUAAAUACAAGUAUAUAAAAUAAGGGUGCAGUUGGGAUACAGAUGCAUCCGUAGCUGUAGAGGUAAGGUGCACUUUCAAAUUUUAUCAUAGCAUAUAAUUUUGAUGUAAAAUAUUACUAAGAUUAUCUCAAAAACUAUUUUUAUACCUAAUUAUAAAAUUUUAAAUUUAAAAAAUAGUUAAAAUCAAGUAGAUAUAUAAACCUGUGAAAAUCUUGAAAAUGGACGGUGUAGAUAAUAUAUUGUAAAAUGCACUAUUUCUGAGACUUAAAAUAUUUUUAUUUUUCAUAGUCAUAUAUCUCGAUGUCGAGAUGAUCAAUCAAAGGGUUUUUCAACAUUAAAACUAGCUUUUCCGAUGGAUUUUUAAGGUGCAUCCGUAGCUAUUGAGGUAAAGUUGCAACGUUAUAUAAAUUUUUUCCAUAAAAUAAAUGUAAAGCCAAAAGAUUUCAUGCUCUUGCUAGAACUCAAUGAGGGAGUAUCUUUAGGACCACAAAUUUUGCUGAUGUGACAUUUUCAUAUUAUAGAUUAAUCUCAAUAAAAAUUUCCAAAUCACACUCUCUAUGGGCUGGAAAAAUAAUGUUUCAAUAUAAAUUAGAAAAAAUUACAAAACAACACCUUAAAAUGGACUAUCUAUGCAACUUACCCCACCCCAAUUUUUCUCUCACUUUUUUCCCCAAACAACAUUUUUUUGCAAAUAACCCCCCCAACCCAAAAGUAUCAUGAAAUAAGACUAAACUACCCUUGUUUGUUUUCACACGGCAUUGUCUCUCUUGUUUUCACAUGCGCUCUGACAGUACAAACACUCGCUCUGGCAUUUUGAAUGUUCGCUCCGGCAAUACAGGUCUGAGCCGCAGCACUCCGGCAUUAUGAGAACUUGCUCUGGUAGUGCAAAGACACGCUCCAGCAUUCCGCUCGGGCAAUGAAGGCUCUGGAGCCACAACGCUCCGGCAAUGGAGGACCGCACUCCGACAGUAUAAACAAGCACUCUGGCAUUCUAAAUGUACGCUCCGACAAUGCAGGUCUAAGCCACAGCGCUUCGGCAUUGUGAGAAUGCAUUUCAGCAGUGCAAAGACGCGCUCCGGCAGUACGCUACUUGGGACCCUCGAAUUGUUUUGGUUUGUACGGGAAGGACAUUUCCAUCCAAAAAAGAACAAUUUUUUACUUUGGGGGGUUUUUGCGAGGAAAUGUUGUUUUGGGGGGAAAAGUGAGAGAAAAGAUUGGGGUAGGGGUAAGAUGCAUAGAUAGUCCAUUUUAGGGUGUUUUUUGUAAUUUUCCCUAUAAAUUAUACGUAAUCCCACUUCUCAACCAUUCGAUUUAAAUGGAUGACUAGGAUUGCUCAUGUCACAAUGUCAUGCUAAAGCACUGUUUGAUUUUAGUUUUUUUUACGUAACCUUUUUUAGUGAAAUUUGGGCCAUCCCAUCUUCUUUUCUGACGCGCCUAGAAAAAAAAAAGGAUUCCUCAUAAAAAUAAAUGAUUAAAAUACCCUUGACUGUUUCAGGGAUAUCCUGAUAGUUUUUUAUCAAAAGAAAUAUUUUUUAUUAUUUUUAUCAUAUGUGCCCUUAUGAAAUGCGUGCACGCAUCAAAUUUUGUUGCAAAAUUAUUUAUAGAACAAAUAUUAAAAAUAAAAUACUCUGAGCCAUCAGAUCAAGAUCUGACACUCAAGAGCCAACUUGUGAGAUUGUGACUCAAAUCAUCCCAGCCAUCUAGAGAUCUGAUGGCUGAGAACAGGGGUUCACAUAUACUUUAUAGAGGGUUGAGGACAAAUGUAGAGCUUUCCCUUUAAACAUUGUUUCAAUACUCACCUACUAGUAAUGUUCCCAAUUGGGGAACCACCUUGAGUUGCCCAAAAGCUACCAAUUCAAUAGUGUGAAUUGCGCAGUUUAAUGUUGGGGCUUUUAUAUUUUAAGAUUUUAUGGAUUUGGGUCAAAGUUGAAUGUUAUUUGUCUUGAGAGUUUUGGGUAAAAACUUGACUAGUAAGCUGCCCUUAUGUUUUUCAAUUUUCCAGUUCUUUAUGUGAAUUCUCCAGUACAUUAGUUGGUAUCAGAGUAGGUCUGUUCCCAAAGGCUAAGGGGUCUAUUGCAAGUUUGCUCAAUCUGCUAAGGAGGUUGAGGAGGUCAUGGUCAUGAUAGUGGUAUCAAAGUUACACAAGAGGAAUUCAACAAUCUGGAAGAGAAUUUAGGAACUAGCCUAUGAAUUACAUCGAUUGAGGCUCGAGGAACUAAUGCACAAGAUGCUGCUACAGAUAUGAAUUCAAUCGCAAUGAUGGGCCAGAUCAGCAAAAAUUAAUCCACCUCACACCCAAGGGGAAGGUAAUCUUGCUGCGUGUGAAGAUAGUUUGGUUCAUAGUUUUAGCCAAUGGAUUAUAAAGAAACAUUCUUUUCAUAAAAUUGUUUUCAAAAUCAACAAGUUGUAGAUUGGGAUUCGUCAUGAUUAUAUGACAUGUUCUCCGAUGAAGAAUGAGAUCUCAUGGCCUAAGAUGAAGUUGAACUACAGUGAAGUACGAGACUUCGUGGGUGAUCCAAUCUAUGAUGAGGCUCAAGAUAAGUCAAAGAAUUUCCAGAAGAGGGAGUUGCUGGUUAGGCCAUUGAACCCGAUGUUUAUGACAAAGUGCUUCCCUAGUUUGUUGUAGGGUUUGAGUCCGAUGGCUUUACAAUGGCGGCUACAUGUAAAAGGCUAAAACUUCAAAUGGAGGUUGAAGUGGACCAUGCUUUAAAGUUAGGGUUUAAGGUUUCAUAUCCAAUCUCUUUUUCAAUCAAGUGAAAAAGAAAUCCCCAAAUCGAGUUUUGGAGGUUCUGGUGAAUCAAUCAAGGGUUUAAACGAUGGCAGUGUGAUCAAGGAGCACCAUCAUGCUGGAAAAAAAGCUAUUUCAGAGCUCUAGGAUGUUUGAACUUGCUCCCCUAGUGUCUUCUACCCUUAACAUCCCAUUUGGAAGUUUCUUCAGUUCUUACUGUGUUAAAUUUUAAGCUAGUUAAAUUUGAUACGUUCAUACUAAUUCCUCAAUAUACAUAUCGAGAUCUGUCUUUUUGGAGAAUUAUCCUUGCACCCAAACUCUUUAAGAGAAAGAAGGAAUAGGUUGAAGAAAACUUCAAACCGGAGGAUAGGAUUUCUCGAACCUAGGGGAGUCGAAUGCAAACUGGCUGAUUUGUUUUUUUAAUUUUUCUUUGUUAAGAUUCCGAUUUAUAAUUUUGGGAUAUUUUGGCAUUUAUUUUGAGGGGGUUUUUUUUUUGUGGGAAUUGGUCAUUAUUGAAUUAGUUAUUUACAAAAGGAUAAAAGUGUCAUUUUGUGUUCAAUUUUAAUUAUGAGUUCAUCUGAUAAUAGAAAUAUAGUUUCUUUGGGGUUAGGUAAAAGUAUCUUUGGGAGUUGAAUAUUACUUAUCUUGAGAGUUUCGGUUAAACUGGAGUAACCAUUGAAGCUUAGCUUGUAAACUUUCACCACCAUCUUUUACCAAAUUUUAUAGUUCUUUGUUAAUUCUCUACAACAUUAAGACCAAAGUGGAUCUACCGGAUCUAAUAGAAACAAAAUAUUGCCAUGUAAUAAGAUAAGAAAAUGCAUAUUGUCAUUAUAGAAGAUAAGAAAGUGCCUUGAAAUAGUUGGUUGUGUUCAUGGAUUAUUGUUAAAAGUGAUCUGGUUAAAAUGUCUCAAUCCAUAAUCACAUCAAUCCUAAUUUAAUCGUCAAUGUCUAAUGCCUCUUGAAUUUGACAUUCAUAUUCUCCUUUGAUGUUUGAUACAAGACCAAGGUUUAAAUGCUUGGAUCCGGCUGCAAACUUUGCCCCUGCCUGCAGCCGAAUAACUCAAGCGAAUCUGAGCAGUCUAGAAUGUGUUUUAAAAAAAACAAAGAAAUAAAAAUAAAAAAAAUUAACAAAAAUUAACAAAAAUAAAUAAAAGGGGAUGGAGGAAGGACAACAUAUGGGAAGAGAGAGACUAUGUUGUGUGCAGAGAGUGACAGGAAAGAAGUGGUAGAUUCCUCCCCCUGUAGAAAGAGAGAUAGGGAAGAGGAAAGGGGGAGUUUUCACCCCUUUUUCUGAGAUCGAGAGGAAAAGAAAUUAAGAAAGGGAUGGCAGAUUUCCGCUACCCUUCAAAGAAAGCAUAGUUUUUUCUGAGAUCGAGAGGAAAAGAAAUUAAAAAAGGGAUGGCAGAUUUCCGCUACCCUUCAAAGAAAGCAUCGUGUAUGUCUAGUCCCUUGGUCAAAAUAUCUACUUGGGAGGAUUUUUCAAGAUGAAAUUUUGGGUCCCACCUAAGAAUCAGGAAAAAAAAUUGAAAAUUGAGUUUUCAAAUGCUUAGAGCUCACCCUCUAAAAAUUGGACGGCGUCUAUUCAAUUUUGAGACAUUAUUUUUUUCAAGUACAUAAAGGGUUAAGUUAGAUUUUUUUUUUUAUAUAGGUUAAAUUAUGAUUCGAAGAAGUUACAUCCCAAAAUUCAAGAUCUUAAAACUAAUCCUAAAUGGGAUUUUACCUGAGGAAAUAAAUAGAUAUUAUAUUCAUGUAAGAGCAGUGUUCGUAAAAUCGAACUGAAACGGUUAACCGGACAUGGGCUUGGAAGCGGUUUAACCGGUCUAACUAGUAAACCGCUGAUUCAACCACUCUAACCCGGCAAGUCCCAGGCGGUAAAAAAUGUGUUGAAAAAAAAUAAAAAAGAUACUAAAAAAAAUUUACUAAAUUAUGAAAAGCAUAUAAAUAAUUAUUAAAACAAAACACAUUCAAAUGAAGUUGAAAAUAAAUGAAAACAAUAGAUUUAAACCCAUUUUGUAUUUUCCCAGGGCUAGUUUAAAAAUUUUCUAACAAAGAUGAGAAAAAUAUAAGAGUGAGUAUUAAUGACCAAAACAAGUUUUAAUCUUUACCAUGAUGUAAAGAAUAUUUAAAAAUGCAUUACAAAUCAAAUUCUUUAUUUUUGAGAAUUUAUAUAUAUUUUUUAAAUAAAAAAAAAUACCGGUUGAUCACUGUAACCACCCAAAACCGAAACCGACCAGUGGCCGUUUCCGAUCUAACCGGGCGGUUAGCGAUUAGAUUCAAGCAAUUUUGCGAACAAUGUGCAAGAGUAUAAUGUCUUUUGGCUUCAUCUGUAUCUCUCACUCACAUAGUCUAUAUAUCAUGAGUCUCACUUCAAUUUCAUUAGUGCCUGGCAUUUGAACUAUAUUUUACUUCACACUGCCAUGAAGACCUGGAAAUUUUACAAGGUCAGUUUCUUCUGUUUUUUUUUGUCCCCAUAGCCUUGAAUAUCCAAUCUCCAUAUAAGAUGAGGUCUAGAUGCAUCACAAUAGCACAUAUUAUUGAGUGUAUGAAAGACACAUAGUGAUCAUUUUAAUCACAUACAUACCUACCACAAAAUCAAUGAAAUAAAUGCCCUAACAACUAAAAAGCCGGUCAUUUAUUAAAGGGUAUGGUUUACAUGAUGUUGCAACCUUAAACAAACAAAUUAGUACGCACCUUCGAAUUUUAUCAUAUAUAUAAUUUUGGUACUUCAAUUUUUGGAAUCCUGGAACCUUGGCACCCUAGCAAGGCUCUGCCUAUUGAAUAUGCCUUCUCAAAUAAGGCUCCUAAUAUUUCCAUAUUGCAACCCUAGAUAGGGUUGGCAAUGGGCCGAGCGACACUGCCUGAUUGGCCUGUCCCCAAAAGAACAUAAGGCUUGGGCCACAAUCUGUGAUCUGAUGGCCAAGCUAGGGUGAGUGCCACUCCGUAUCGCCCUGGCCUGGCCCCUCUUUUUGCUCUUCAUUUGUUUUUUCUUUUAUUUUUUAUUCAUUUGUUUUUGGCUUGAUCUAGCCCGUCCCAUUUCUAACAGGGCCAAACCUGGGCAGCCCUAUGGGGACGAGGGCUAAAGUUGGCUCGGCCCAUUGCCACCCUUAACCCUAGAAAAUGGUUUUGCAUUCCGAUUUUCUCCUCCCUGUGUUUGAGAUUAAUUAAGCCUUAUGAACAUGUGUGUGUUUGAGAUUAAUUAAGCCUUAUGAACAUGUGUGCGUUUGAGAUUACUUAAGCCUUAUGAACAUGUGCUUUUCAUGAAGGAUGUAAUGAUGUAUCCAUCACUUGAAUAAAAUUGUUUACUACAGCAAGUAUCCAUCAAAUAAUUUCUUACUAAAAAAUUUCCUAGUCCAAAAACCCCUCAAUUGUCCAAUCCUCCCCAUGUUUUUUAUAAUUUGAAAUUUUCUCAAUAAAAAUUACCUAGUCCAACUUGGAAUCGUUCGAGUUAUAUAGGGGAUUCAGGCACGAACAUUGCUUUAUAUGGAAUCAAAAUGAAGUACUGGUAGCACUUAAAAAAUGAGCAAAAUUUCCUGAACUUUAUGAAAGCGAUGCAAACCACAAAGUAAAGGCUAUUGCUAUAAAUGGUUAGGAUUUUCCUUGUAUUCCUUUUCUUUUUUCAUUCCACCAAUUUGUUUGUUGCAAUUUGCAAAUUUUGUUCAGCAUCUUACCAAUGCGAUUUCAUUCCAACACUUGACACAAAACGCAUGCCAAUAACCAGAUAUAAAAUUAGAAAUGGUGACCAAGCAAAUGCAUGUGCUACGUCUAAUGUCAGUGCUCUCCAUCAAGAUCCCUUUUUUUCUUUUUCUUUUUUUUGUGAAGGUUAUUUUGUGGCUGCAGUUAAGGCAUUUGUCUGUUGUCCAUCAGAUCUCAGGUUGCCCGCGUCGCCGACCAUCUCCAAUUUGCUAAAAUUGGCUUAUCAAAGUGGUUGGUCAGAAAUGAAAUGAAAAUGUCGCACUAUGCCAAUGAUACUGAAAUUAUUUCCUGUUUUGGUGAAGAAAAAAAAGAGAACUUUGAGUCACUAUACUGCGAGUAUAAUUGCAUUGGGGAUGAAACUACAGACACAGUGUUGUAAUUAUCACAAAAUACAAGGACAGUGGCACAUGUAGCUUAAAGGGGGAAUUUAUGGACAUUUAUUUCAUGCUCUAUAUUUCCUUAUUUUGGGGUUUCAUUUAAAUGAAGAGGCAAAGAGUUUCAGGUAGGGGGAGGGAAGGGAAGGUAAUUAGUAACUAGUUACCCGUUGUUCCAAAUUUUUGAAAUGUAGAGAUAGAGAUAGAGAAAGAGGAGAGAGAGAGAAGAGAGAGUGGGUGGGCUCUUAACUGUGGGUCAUGUUGAUAUUUGAAGGGGGCAAGGAUAAGGUAGUUAGACCUUGAACAAAUGUUGCUUUCACACUUAUUUUAAUGAGAGAAAGUCUUAUUUACUGGCAAGGGUAAAUGACCUAGCCCCUUUAUGUUGUUCUUGUUUUUCUUUCGGGCAUUGUUCUAGUGUCUCAAACCCCACAGGUGAGAUGUUUGCCGAAGGGAAGGUGCAUUAUGGGGGUGUUUUCGUGAGAAUCUUGGGUAGGGCAGUGGGGGUUAUUGUGAAGGAUGUCUUUAGAUAUUGUUUUGUGAGGUUUAGUUGGUAGAGAGUUGUGGUAUAGGAUUCUUUGAGGUUAGAAUUUUUGUUGUAUUUGACAGUCGAGGCGGUCCUCGUUGGAAGUCGGGAGUACUAUUUGUAUUUUUCCGUAUUUUCGUCUGCUUUUCUUCUUAUUUUACUUCUUAUGGAGUUCUGCUGUCUUUUUCUCUUUUUAUUUUACUUCUUAUGGAGUUCUGCUGUCUUUUUCUCUUUUUAUUUUACUUCUUACGAAGUUCUGCUAAUGAAAUUAAUAGUUAACAUUGAACAAAAACAUGAGAAAAAAGAGAAAGGACCCACCUAAUAAACUAAAAUGAGCUUUUAAUUUUAUGCGUGCAAUUUUAGGACAUGAUUUUGCGCAGGCUGAUCCAAACGAUGAAAUCGAAUCUUCUUUUCUUUUGCCAUUUUUUAUUACUACAGAGCUAGUCGUUACGUAGGUUGCAUCCCCAAAAUUUGGAUUUCUAAAAUUACGCUUAACUCAGACAGGAAUGCAAAUUUAUAUUUUGCCCUCAUGGAAGUAUAUAAAAUUUUCAGCAUUUUACCUUCGUUUUUUUUUUAAAAAAAAAUAUUUUAGUUUCUCAAGAAGCUACAUGAAAUUUAGUAUGCCAUGGAAAUCUGUCUAGGGUUUUAUCUAAAAGAGCAAAUGUGAAAGAGGCUUUUACAAGACCUAUCAUUUGUGCCAAGGAAAUGUCCCAAAUUAUAUAUACAAAGCAUGUUUCUAUUGGGAAAGGAGCUAGAGUUGUGGUGGUAGUACUCUAGUCAUCGCGUUGUGGUUUUUAUUUCUACUGACACCACGCUAUUAAUACUUUCAAAAAACUAACUCCUAAACUAUUUGAAAAAAAAAAGUAGGAGUCCGUCUUCCCCACUAAAUUAACAAAGAAAAAAGGGCUUAUCUUUAUCUAAAGCACAUUUUUGUGGACCAUAAAAGAUUAGAGAGAGAGAGAGAUGGCUCAAACUAUGCAUAACAAAACCUAUGAUUUUCUUUGUCUAAAAGAUGAGAGAGAGAGGGGUCGGGGGUGAAUGGCUCAAAUUAUGAACAAUUAAACACAUUGAUUUUCUUUGUCUAACACAUGGGGUUGGGGACCAUAAAGUUUAAGACUUUAAACUCAUGUGAUCCUAAGUGUAACGUCAACAAAUGGCUUUGUUAGAGGGGUCCCUAUGUCCCCUUUGUGGGAAACACAUUUGACAAGCAAAGCAAGCACCAACACACACAUACCCCCUACUCCUCCCAUAAUUGUCAAGCACCCAUAGAUCCAUCUACACCAAAGCUCGCAAAAAUAAAGAAUGGAGAGAAAGGCUUUCCUUUAUUGUUAAUUUCACUUUUUUUUUUAAUCUUAAAAGCCUUGCCUUUAUUUUUAUUUUAUUUUUUUAAAAUGCUAAAAUUCCUGCUUUUAUUCCUAUGGUUAACACAUGAAAACCUCAACAACACCCACCUUAGUUGAACAAUGAAAAGUUAAAAUUUGCCAAAAUUUCAAUUGGAAUCUCUAUAUCCUCCCCCACUUCAGUGGUAAUAGAAACCACAUAAAACUACUUUCCUUUAUCUUGUUCUGUUUUCUUUUAAAAUAAAACAAGGUUUAAAAUUAUAGAAACCAUAUUGCAACAUUUUAUUCUUUUUUUCUUUUUAUAAAAAACAUAAAAUUUUUGACAAAAUUCCAGGCUCGCUUGGUUUAUAUUUAAUUCAUGUAGUUCCAUUCUCCCAUCCCAACCUCAUGAAAGAAUAAAAUAAGUGGAUAUUGAAAUGAGUUAAAUAACCACUAAUUAUACUUGAAUUUAAAAAAAAAUAUAAAGGAGAUGCAGAUAUGAUUAGUCUAGGAAAAAGUUUAUAUAAGAGCGAGGCUAGUCUAAACAAUCAAAUUAAGACGUACCUCAAAAAUUCUUUAGAAAAUGUUGUUUCAACGCUAAAAAACCGUCAAUUUGAUCAUCUCAACCUCAAGAUGUAUGGACAUGAGAAAGAAAAAACAAAACAAAAAAAUUUUCAAAUAUUGAAAGCAGUACAUCUUGUAAUGUAUUAUCUAAAUCGUCAAUUAUCAAGAUUUUCAAGUGUGUUCAUAGAUCUCCUCGACCUACACUAUUUUUUAACUUAUUUUAUUAUUAGAGAUGAAAAUAAAUUUUUAAGCCAUUAUAGAAAUUUCUAAUAUUAAAAUAAUAUAUUUUGGCACUAUUUAAAGGCGCACCCUAUUUUGAUUGUUUAGAGCCUCGGCCAUGUACAAACCACACCCUUUAGUCUAAUGGAGAGAUGCCCGUUCUCCAGAAAGUUGUACCUGAAUCUAAUUUACCUUAUUUCCCUUUAAUAUGAAGCUGAAGUAUUUUCUUUCACAAUGAAAAUAACAAUGAACCAAAUUGUUCAUGUGGUCUCAUGGGUCAAACACCUAGAUUUGAUGUAUUCCAAAACUCUCAAAUCACGUUUACAUCAAUCUAAUGCCAUUUUUUUAACGAAGACAGUAUCUUAAAGUGCGCCAAAUCAAAAUCUGCUCCAAAGGUGACCAUUAUGAGAGAUGCCAAAAUUAGGAUUUUAAGUUAAGAGAAUCUCAUUUUCUUGAAAUUUCUCUCAGGGUUUAUACGAUAAAAGACUUUUAGUACAAAGAGGCCACAAUUGAACUUAGUCAUUGGAUGUGAAAUGCAAUUGCAUAAAGUGUAUCAUAGUUUGAUCAAUUUUUAUUAUUGGACAUUGUGCUCAUUCAUGGACAUACUCCUAACCCACCAGAUUUCACAUUCAAGGGUCGAUAACUAUUGUGACUUUUUUAUUANNNNNNNNNNNNNNNNNNNNNNNNNNNNNNNNNNNNNNNNNNNNNNNNNNNNNNNNNNNNNNNNNNNNNNNNNNNNNNNNNNNNNNNNNNNNNNNNNNNNNNNNNNNNNNNNNNNNNNNNNNNNNNNNNNNNNNNNNNNNNNNNNNNNNNNNNNNNNNNNNNNNNNNNNNNNNNNNNNNNNNNNNNNNNNNNNNNNNNNNNNNNNNNNNNNNNNNNNNNNNNNNNNNNNNNNNNNNNNNNNNNNNNNNNNNNNNNNNNNNNNNNNNNNNNNNNNNNNNNNNNNNNNNNNNNNNNNNNNNNNNNNNNNNNNNNNNNNNNNNNNNNNNNNNNNNNNNNNNNNNNNNNNNNNNNNNNNNNNNNNNNNNNNNNNNNNNNNNNNNNNNNNNNNNNNNNNNNNNNNNNNNNNNNNNNNNNNNNUUUAUAUCAAUGAAACGCGUAACUAGGUCUCUAGGCUUUCGGACCAAUAAUAUUAAAACCAUAUUUUCGAAGCAUUGUUUUGAAACUGGAAAUUGAGUCCCAUUUAAGAGACUAUGAUCCAGAUCGGCCACUUAUCAAGAGUAAAAAAAAACAAUAAAACCUAAAAUUAGAAAAAAAUAAUAAUAAUUUAAGCCAGAAUCGUCCCAUUUUUUACCUUAAUAAGUAAGGAAAAGUAUAUAUGAGACCAUUUACUUUUGGUAGAAGGUGAUCACAAUUGAUCUUGACAACUGAGAGCUCAAACUUUAAAAGAAAUUUUUUCGAACUUUAUGACACAUCCAAACUAUCAGAUUUCACAUCGAAUGUUUAUAAGUAAUUGUGACCUCAUUGUAUACAAUCCCAAUAAGUAAUUCCUCUGAUAAAAUUGCAGUAGUUCUCUAAUAAAACUGAGGGAUUCACACUGAAUCAGACUGAUUCCUAAUUCUAUAAAAAAACUUAUAAGUCCUUAACUGGACCCCAAUCAAAAUCAACAAUCCUCAUUUCAAGACCAUAAGUGUUAUAGAUGGGAUUCUGAAUAUAUCCCUUGUGAAGAGAUUCCAUACGAGAGAAAACAAAAAAAUAGUAUAUACCAAAGGAAAAUUGUCUCAUGCGAGCUAGACCGCAUGAUUACAUAUGCGGUCCAAAAAGUGUAAAACAAACCAUCUUGCAAGUAGGCGUUUCAUCUAAAACCAUGAAAACUAACGGUCCAAAUGUUUUCUUACUAGAAUUAUUAUUUCUAGUUUUUUAAAUUUAUUUAUUUUUUUAUAUUCAUAAUCUCCAUGUUAGAAAUUAUAUAUCCUUAAAAUUUAACUUCAAAAAUCCAUCUAAAAUAUAUAUUUAUUAAUAGAUCCACAUUUCAACAUAUGCGGGCUUGGCCGCAUAGAAACCGCGUCCAUAUGGUAAUGCCCCAAAAUACAAGAUGUCUUUUUGAGAAAAGCCUAGGGUGGGGUUGUUUGGCUACAUCUUUUCAAAAUUUAUCCAUCAUUGAAUUAAGGCCACAAAUAUAUUAGUAUAAUAAGAUAUGUGUUGUCUUGGCCAAGAAUAUAAAAUGCAAUAAAGCAUGCGUAAAGAUCUCUUAAGACUUUAGAGGUCAAAAUGGGUAGUGAUUUCGUCUACUUUAAUCACCGUCUAAAGUUCAUCGCACGAUCAUGAUUGUUUGGUAGUAUUUUAUUUUUUAUUAGUUUUUUACAAAUCAAAAUGAUAUAAAAUUUGGAGUAUGGUUUCAUAAAAAAUGGAAGAAUCUAUGAAAAAUAUAAAAAAUAAAAUAAUUUAUAAAAAANNNNNNNNNNNNNNNNNNNNNNNNNNNNNNNNNNNNNNNNNNNNNNNNNNNNNNNNNNNNNNNNNNNNNNNNNNNNNNNNNNNNNNNNNNNNNNNNNNNNNNNNNNNNNNNNNNNNNNNNNNNNNNNNNNNNNNNNNNNNNNNNNNNNNNNNNNNNNNNNNNNNNNNNNNNNNNNNNNNNNNNNNNNNNNNNNNNNNNNNNNNNNNNNNNNNNNNNNNNNNNNNNNNNNNNNNNNNNNNNNNNNNNNNNNNNNNNNNNNNNNNNNNNNNNNNNNNNNNNNNNNNNNNNNNNNNNNNNNNNNNNNNNNNNNNNNNNNNNNNNNNNNNNNNNNNNNNNNNNNNNNNNNNNNNNNNNNNNNNNNNNNNNNNNNNNNNNNNNNNNNNNNNNNNNNNNNNNNNNNNNNNNNNNNNNNNNNNNNNNNNNNNNNNNNNNNNNNNNNNNNNNNNNNNNNNNNNNNNNNNNNNNNNNNNNNNNNNNNNNNNNNNNNNNNNNNNNNNNNNNNNNNNNNNNNNNNNNNNNNNNNNNNNNNNNNNNNNNNNNNNNNNNNNNNNNNNNNNNNNNNNNNNNNNNNNNNNNNNNNNNNNNNNNNNNNNNNNNNNNNNNNNNNNNNNNNNNNNNNNNNNNNNNNNNNNNNNNNNNNNNNNNNNNNNNNNNNNNNNNNNNNNNNNNNNNNNNNNNNNNNNNNNNNNNNNNNNNNNNNNNNNNNNNNNNNNNNNNNNNNNNNNNNNNNNNNNNNNNNNNNNNNNNNNNNNNNNNNNNNNNNNNNNNNNNNNNNNNNNNNNNNNNNNNNNNNNNNNNNNNNNNNNNNNNNNNNNNNNNNNNNNNNNNNNNNNNNNNNNNNNNNNNNNNNNNNNNNNNNNNNNNNNNNNNNNNNNNNNNNNNNNNNNNNNNNNNNNNNNNNNNNNNNNNNNNNNNNNNNNNNNNNNNNNNNNNNNNNNNNNNNNNNNNNNNNNNNNNNNNNNNNNNNNNNNNNNNNNNNNNNNNNNNNNNNNNNNNNNNNNNNNNNNNNNNNNNNNNNNNNNNNNNNNNNNNNNNNNNNNNNNNNNNNNNNNNNNNNNNNNNNNNNNNNNNNNNNNNNNNNNNNNNNNNNNNNNNNNNNNNNNNNNNNNNNNNNNNNNNNNNNNNNNNNNNNNNNNNNNNNNNNNNNNNNNNNNNNNNNNNNNNNNNNNNNNNNNNNNNNNNNNNNNNNNNNNNNNNNNNNNNNNNNNNNNNNNNNNNNNNNNNNNNNNNNNNNNNNNNNNNNNNNNNNNNNNNNNNNNNNNNNNNNNNNNNNNNNNNNNNNNNNNNNNNNNNNNNNNNNNNNNNNNNNNNNNNNNNNNNNNNNNNNNNNNNNNNNNNNNNNNNNNNNNNNNNNNNNNNNNNNNNNNNNNNNNNNNNNNNNNNNNNNNNNNNNNNNNNNNNNNNNNNNNNNNNNNNNNAUGUAUAGGAAUAUGAUGCAACAAUCUUAAAAAUCCAUAUUAUGGUUAUUUGUUUGAUUCAAAUUUUGAAAUAUAUAUUCUUUUCAUUCUAAUGAUCAAUCACAAAAAAAGAAAAAAUUGAAAACACAACAUAAAAAGUAUUUUUUAGCUCAAUUAAUAUAGGCUGUUCAUUUUGGUGAGAUGCUUAGAUCUAGGCCUUAGAAGAAUUUUUUUAUUUCCAAUUUUUUUAGAUGGCUUUAUUAUCAUUAGACGAACAAUGUCAAAGAAGAAAAACAGUUAUUUUGAGUUUUUAGAGGGGACCUAUUUUGACCAUAUUUAGGGUUCAAAUUGAUUUUUUUUUUUUUUGGCGAGGGGAUUAAUUAUUGAGCAAUGAUCCAAUACAACGGUUGUAUCAUAGUAUAAUGCAACGACACUUCUAGAAAACCAUGUUUGUGGUAUUUGUACAACCCCAAAUUUUACACGCUCUCUCUCUCUUCAUCUCAAUAAUCAAUCCUCACCAAAAAAAAAUUUAAAUUUAAACCCUAGAUAUGGUUAAAAUGAGUCCCUUGAAAAAACAAAUCUAGACCAUUCAUUUUAUAAAUUUCAAUAUCUUAGCCUUUAUAAACUGAAAAUCAUUUUUUAAUUUUUUUUAAUAUUGUUCAUCUAAUGAUAAUAAAGUCAUCCAAAAAAAUUGGAAAUAAAAAAAUCCUUCUAAGGCCUAGAUCUAUGCAUCUCACCAAAAUGAACGGCUUAUGUUAAUUGGGCUAAACAAAUGCUUUCUACGUUGUGUUUUUAAAUUAAUUUUUUUUUUUUUUGUGAUUGUUCAUUAGAAUAAAAAAAAUAUAUAUUUUAAAAUUUGAAUCAAACAAAUGGUCAUAAAAUAAUUUUUUAAUAUUGUUGCACCGUAUUAAUAUAUAACGGUUGUAUGAAAUCAUUACCUCUUAUUUAUUUAUAUAUAAAUAAGAGACUCUUAAGAAAAAUCGAGUUGGGACCCACACUAAUGAUCCGUCCUAAAAACAGUACAGUAAAGGUCUUACAAAUUUUCCCAUACAAAAACAGUACAUGUCAUACAAAUUUUCACCUACAUGGUCACCAACUCUUAAAAACAUUGCACCAACUUAUUAAAAUUGAGCUGGUUCGCUAGUUCUGCGUACACCAAGAGAGGAAACCUCCAAUGUCAAAAAAUAAAUGCUAGUGAGAGAGAGAGAGAGUGUCCUAGUGCCCGGAACCUAGUGACGGAGAGAGGGUGUGUGUUUUGAGUCUUGUCUGGUGUGCAUGUGAUAAAUAAAGGUUCACAUUGUGGGGUGGCAGUCAUCCAGAGAGGCAAUAUUCAAUAUUGGAUUAUUGUAGGGGGGAGAGAGAGAGAGAGAUUCUAUCUGGGGCCCCGUAUUGUUAAGGGUAAUUGAUUCAAUAAAUUUCUCUCUCUAGAGAGAGAGAGAUUCUAUUUGGGGCCCCGUAUUAUUAAGAGGGCAGGCAGUUCAUUUCGUUUCAUAAAAUUUAUCUUUCUCUCUCUAAAAUUGUUAAAAGUUUUGGGCUUGCGGUGGACUGAUGUUCUGGAGUGUUGCAGAAGCAACUGUGACAAUGAACGCCGGCCCUGUCAUGCUGUACCACCUGUGCCACUCCUUCCCCUCCACGUCCGUUUUUGAGUCGCUUUGAAGAGAUUCAUCUCGACAAUAAUAGCAACGAAGCCAUUGUUUUAGAGAGAGAAAAUGAUGCAUGGAAUGUAUGUGAAAGCAGCGGCGGUUAAAAACCAAAAUUCAAGAGAGACAAAGUGUGUACUGUUUAGACUCCAGAGAGAGAGAGAGGGGACUUUUAGAGAGAGAAAGAGGGGACCGUAAUUAUGGAUUUGGUAAUGAAAGUGUCAAGUCCCCAAAACGGUCAAAAAGAUUUCAUCAACAGUGGACAGUUAAAAGGCCAAAAAGGAGGGAUAUAUGUAGAGAGUGAAAGUCGAAAACAAAGAGGAAAACAGUCCACCUGCAGUAAUUUGGGGGGUCAUUCUUUCAGUUUCGCUCUCACUCCUGCUAUAAACGGCGAAUACCCAUGAAUUCUUAAGGCUUUCAGGACCCUCUCUUCACUCCACUUUCUAUCUCUAACCCACCAACCCUUUUGAGGCCCUAACUUUCUCUCUCUAACCCACCCAAAUGGAUCCAAAGUCCUCAAAGCUCCCGCCCCAUGAAGUUCCCAAGUUCCAUCAAGCCCUUGGCCUCCAGCCAGAGAAGAGAGAGAACAGCAACUCCACCAAAGGUGGUGGAGAACCCAGAGAUUUGCCGAUAGUUGAGGUGAUGAGUGAGAAAGAGGAAGCAAAGAAACAGUUAGCCCCAAAAAGAAGCUCAAACAAAGAUAGACACACAAAGGUGGAUGGAAGAGGAAGAAGAAUAAGAAUGCCUGCUCUUUGUGCGGCUAGGAUCUUCCAAUUGACAAGAGAAUUGGGGCAUAAAUCCGAUGGAGAAACCAUUCAAUGGCUGCUUCAACAGGCUGAGCCAUCAAUUAUAGCGGCGACCGGUACGGGGACUAUUCCAGCUUCUGCCCUAGCCUCUGCAGGUCCCAUGGCUAACCAAGCAAGCUCUGCUUCGUCUGGUUCAAAAAUGGAGGAAUUGGGUAAUAGAGCGAAUUGGACAAUGGUGAGUAAUCUCCAUAGAUCUCCACUAACGAGUAGCUUGUGGCCUUCAGUUGGGGGAUUUGGGUCUGGUUUUCUUCACCACUCUGCACCAUCUAGUUCGAAUUUAGGGAGCGAGAACGCGAGCUUUGUGCCUCGAAUUGGGUUUUCGGGGUUCGAAAUGCCGAGCUCUCAUUUAGGUCAUAUGAAUCUUAGCUCUAUUUUGGGCAAUACCUCAGGUGGUGGAAACCAUAAUCAGCAACUUCCUGGUUUAGAGCUUGGUCUUUCACCUGAUGGCCAUAUUGGGGUUUUGAGUACACAGGCUUUGAGCCAAUUUUAUCAGCAAAUUGGGCAGAGUAGAGGGGGAAGCAUGCAUCAUCAGCAUCAAAAUCAGCAGCAGGGUCCUUCUUCGAAGGACGAUUCUCAGGGUUCCAGACAGUAGAUAGAAAGUGUGAAUUUUGGGAAAAAAUUUGGUGGGUUUGAGAGGACAUCAGGGGUUGAAUUUUCCAGCUAUUUUCUCCGCCCUCUCUCUCGAUGCGCAGGGUUCUAGUGUUUCCUAUGCAGCCCAAGACCUAUCAAUGGCUUUUGUGUGGAAAUUUGUGGUAUGCCCUAGUUGGCCCUGCAAUUUCUCCUCCAUCUCUGCAUAAGCUUUGCCAAAUUCACCCAGUAUGGUAUUCUCUCUCUCCAUUUUUUUGGGUAUCACUUUAAACUACUGGAAUCUCUCAAUCGAUAAGGUUCUUAUUAUUAUUAUUAUUAUUUUUGUGUGUGAUUUGGGUUUGGCAGGUUGAACCAGGAAAGCUGAAUAGCUUGCGAUUGCCCCCUAUUUUGAGGUUUGUUUUAGAGGUGUGUUUAUAAGAUUUUAUAGCCAUUAUUGAUCAUUUGUUUCUAGUUAUAGGUGGCUUUCUGAUUGGCUUUGUGUGAGAAGGAAUUAAAAGGCCUGUAACUUUGUGUGGGAAGGAAUUAAAAGGCUUUGACCUUUAGAAUAUUUGAGUUACUGUAAAAAUUCUCAUAAAGUAGAACGAUGACAUUGUAUUUUAUUAUGGUUGAUAAUCAGUAAAUUUAAAUACUGGUUUGAGGGGUUUUGUAUACUUCUCUGAUUCAAUAUUCAUCCUUUAAUAUUUAGAUUUUAAUCGCACUUCAACCGGAGUUUUGUAUACUUCUCUGAUCCAAUAUUCAUCCUUUAGGAUUUAGAUUUUGAUCACACUUCAACUUUUUGCAUGGCGCUUAAUUUUGUUGUCAUCGUUGUCAUCAUGAUCAUAGUUCUUUGUAUACUUCUCUGAUCCAAUAUUCAUCCUUUAGGAUUUAGAUUUUGAUCACACUUCACCUGUUUGCAUGGCAUUUGCAUAGUUCUGAGUACUUAUAUAUUCUUAAUUUUGUUGUCAUCGUUGUCAUCAUGAUCAUAUCAUAGUUCUGAGUUAAUAUGCAUUCCUAAUUUUGUUGACAAGAUGGUUAACACCACCAUCGCACCUCACAUGUCUGUAACCACUAUCACACUUGUCUUCAUUAACCAUUCACCAUCAUCAUUGUCAUCAUGUUCAUGCCAUCGGAGUCGUAGCUAUCUUUAAAAACUGAUUUAUCAAACCACUCAACAUGUAGGGCUCAAAAAUUGAAGGAGCAAUUUUCGAUUUUUCACCCAUCAAAACCAGAAGUGUUUUUUUUUUGGUAAUAUUGUUAUUUUCAAAUGCUAAUAUCGUAGUUAAAAUCAUUUACUUAUUUUCAUUCGGAAAAUUUCUCAAACCACGUUCAAGAGUUUCACAACUUCACAUUUCAUUCUAUCCCUUUGACCUACACUCCUACUUUCUGAAUGCCCUUACAAAAGAGACAUCAUGGCUCAAAAAUUGAUGCAGGGGUAAUUUUCAAUUUUUCUCCUCCAUCAAAACCAAAACCAAAUUAGUUUUCUUUUUUGUAAUAUUAUUAUUUUCAAAUACUAAUAUCAGUUAGCGUGUAUACUAUGUUCCCACGUGCUCAAAGUUUACAUUUAUUCCCUUAUUCGAGUGACUGAAGCGUAUUUUGUUGAUAUUAAAUUUUGGAAUCCAAUUUGGAAUUACAGGAUGAGUAUAUAUUUAGUAGAAAAUAAAAGAGGAUUUUGAAUAGCUAAACACUUAGAUCUAUCAUCCAAAGUUGGACAGUUUGUGUGUAAUCUGAGUGCAUAAAUUUUUUCUCAUAGCAUUCUUUUUUUCUUUUAUUGUGUUUGCUAGUUUGAGUAGGUCAUAUCCCCAAAAUUUGUGUUAUAAAAGUACUCUUAGCUAGAAUUUGCUUAGUGAGCAAACGAGCAUUUUGCUAUUGCGGAUAUAAUCUUUUUCAUAAAUUAUUUGGUUAUGGAUUGCCAAAAUUUGAAAUUGCCCCACCAACCAUUUCUAACCCAUUAUGAUGUGUCCUUCAAGGGCUAGCCCUUAGUCUGUGUGUAAUUUGAGUGCGUAAAUUUUUUGUCAUGCAGUUCUUUUUUUUUCUUUUAUAAUUUUUUGUUAUGCAGUUCUUUUUUUUCUUUUAUGCUGUUUGCUAGUUUUAGUAGGUCACAUCCCCAAAAGUUGUGGUAUAAAAGUACUCUUAGCUAGAAUUUGAUUGAGUGAGCAAACGAGCAUUUUGCUAUUGCAGUAUAUAAUCUUUGUCAGAAAUUAUUUGGUUAUGGAUUGCCAAAAUUUGAAAUUGCCCCUCCAACCAUUUCUAACCCGUUAUGAUGUGUCCUUCAAGGGCUUUUAGAAAUUAGUACAAAAGAAAUAGGUGAAAUAUUAAAUAGUAAAUAUUGCAUAGUUUUGUGGUGGUUUGAUAAAUUUCCUAUUGCAUUAUUUCAUUUUGGGCACUGAUUAGGCUUGCCCUUAGUCAAGAAAAAUAACUCUAUACAAAAAUAUUUGUUUAAGCAUCAUUUGAUCACCAUCAUCGUCAUCACCAUCAUAAUAAUUAUCAUGAAUUAUGUUGCAUUAGGGAAUGCUUUAUUUUCUUGCCUUUUCUAUUGCGUUUGCUUGUGUAAUUUCAUUUGUCCACUUUUUUUUUUUUUGGAUUGUAUACAAUGAGACCAUUUACCUUUGAGACAAGGAGGUCAUAAUUACUUACAACUAUCCAGAUAGCCUGGGUAUGUGACAAAGUUCAAGAAAUUUUUUUUUGAAGUUUGAGUUUGGUCAAUGAAAUAAAUGCAACCAUCAAAUUUCACAUCCAAUGGUCAAAAUAAAUUGUGACCACCUUGUACCAAAGAUACAUGUCAUUGUAUACUUUUCCUUCUGUUUUUUUUAUUCUAAAAAUUAAAAUCAUUACCAAAUUUAAAUGCAGAUUGAUGUGCUCUGGAAGUUAUGCAUGAUUCAUCUAUUGAUGGGCCUUACAGACUUAUUUUCUAUUUUAGUGGCUUCGUGCCUUGUUUACUGCUUGCUUAAAUUCUAUUAUAACUUAUUUUUUACUAGCUUACAUUCUGAGUGACUUUAACUGCAAUCUGUUCUUCUUCAAGAUGAUUAGUCGGCAUACCAAUAUCUUUGCUUCUUAUAUCUGUCUAUUUCGAUCCAGUACCUACUAAUGCAACGAAAAACCUUUGUUUUAUAUUUAGGAUCGUUCUUCUGGGUUACUCUAAGUAUCUUAUUUUAAGUUGUGCAUUGCAUCAUGUCGAAACACAAUCGAAUUCAUUUCUCUUCGUUUCUUUUAUUUUCUUGUUAUUUUUCUGGUUUUUGACUGUGCAUGAAGAACUAUAUUUCUUGAGGCAUCAUUUUUUAAUAGUAAUCUGAUUUCAGUUAAACAAGUAGUUUGCAUUCUAGUUAUUUAGACUGUUGAUUCAUCACUAUUUCCAAUUUUCAGAAGUUAUCAAUGUUGAUAUAAUACUGCUAUGAUUAUGUUUGAAAAUCUAGUAAUAUUGGGAUGGCCACGAAGUACAUCUUUGAUGAAAUAUUAUGAGAACUAGUUAUUGUAGGUGUAUCCAAUUUUUUUUACAGUUUAGGAUAACUAAGAGAUUACAAUUUAGGGUAACUAAAAUAUUAUAAUUUGAUAGCCUGGAAUUUGUUAAAGUCAUCCAUAGAUUUGAAUAUUAAUCCCUCACGUUCUGAAGUGAAAAUCAGGUGGAACUACUAAUCUCCGUGUGAUAUUAACUAUUGUAUAUGUUUAAGAAGAGCAGUUUAAGAGAAACAAGGUAUGCUUUUGUCAUCAUUUCAUGAGAUUAUUUAGUUUAGUUUGAGGACUCUAUGCUAUGAUGAUAUGAGGAAUCCUAAUUUUCAAUUGAUGAAAAUGUCGAACCCAACCGACCCGAAAAGGGUUGAUUAUGUGUGUUAUAUCUUUUGUUCAAUAGCUGGUUUAGAUUUUGAUUUUUGAUUGGAUUGUCGAUAUCUAAGGAGAUAGAUCUGUCUGGCGAAUUCUAAACCAUCAACUCUAUAAACUACUUUAUUUAAUCUCAUACUCUAGAGAAGCAAAUAAGCACCCUUUUUGUAGAAGAAAUUCUUUCUUUUGGUAGACCUAUAUAAUCAGCACAACUUCAGAAGAGAAAAGGUAGACAAGAAAUUCUUUCUUAUGGAAGACCUAUAAGUCAGUGGCUUUUUUACAAGAAUAUAAAUAUUUUGUCUCACACAAACAAAAAAAGAAACAGAAAAGUAAAAAGACUAAGAAUAUGCACAUCUGGAACACAUGAUAUACUAAUUAACUAGUUACUAGACUUUUCUGAUAGGAUAAAAAGCAUAGCUGGAUAAAAGCGAACAUAUUCUAUGAGAUCUAGAUUGUCAACUCGACUAGUACCUCAAUAUCCUAAAGUUUUAUUAGACAAAUCACUCAUCCCAACAUAUGUAAAGCUUUACCUUCACCGACAAACCACUCAUCCCCAAUAUAUGCAACGCGUUCCGUGGAGCUACUCAUCCCCAACAUAGGCAAAGCUUUCCUUGGGAGCCAGCGGAGCAAGCAGCAUUCAAAUAUUUGUCUUUGAGCACCCUCUUGCACUCAUUCAUGCAUUGAAACAUAGUGCAAGGGUACAUUUCUAUACCAAACGCGCCAUCAACGACACCAGGCCCCAUGACAAGAAGAACAAACACUAUAACAGCAACCAUUUCUGAUGCACUUUUAGUCUCCAUUUUGGAAACUCAAAAACCUAACAAGAGUUUAAGGACCUAAUAAGCACUUGCGAACGGAUGGUUUCUACAGAAUUGGGAUUUGGAGGGCCUAAAAAGCAAGUUUAGCACCGAGAUACAAAAUAUUGAUGACGAAUUCGACUCUCGAAAUCUUAGCUAAAAGUGGCUCACUCUUGAUGCUGGCUUGUCUCCUUCAAGUCAAGCAAGAUAUAUAGGCAAUGCAAAAGGCACGUCAUACGCACUGUACUUUGCUCAUAUCAUUCUAAUGCAUUAUAAUGGUUGUGAUUAUUGGCAUUUAAUUAAUGUGAUCAGCAGCACUAAGUAAAUCUAAGUUUUGGUUACCAUUGUAAAAUGUUUUCGUCUUAAUGGGGAGCACGCCAACACAAUAAUGGGAUCGUCCUUUUGAGAAGAGCAGCCAAUGGAGUGAGGCCAUAUGUGUGUCCUCCUGACACGUGUGGUCCAAUAGGUGAACCCAAUGGGGGCCCUUUGCCUUGUAUUCUUAGUCUUAACAGUGUUUGGUAUAUAGGCCAAUGAUGUUCCUACGUAUAGACCCCAUCGUGUUAUGGGGUGCACGUGAGCAAAGCCAAUAAGAGAGGAGGGGAGGUCUACGUGAACCAUUUUUUAUUUGCCACGUGUGAGAAAUGUUAUAGGUGAAAGUUGUGUUUUGUGAGCAUGUGAAUUUAGGGCAAAAGGUUGAGACCCACCUCAUACACUUAGAUGUAUGGAGAUUUGGGGUUAUUAUGUUAGGGUACUGAUGGAUAGGAAGUAUACUCGAUAUUUUUUGAUACAAGAUGCCCUUGCCGCACUAUGUAAUAACCUUUUUGUUAAUAGGGUAUUUUAGAUAAUUAAUUAGAGGUAAAAUUGAAAUUCUUGAUAGAAAGAAUAUUAUAUAAGAUGAAGUUUCUAUAAGGCCUAGGCUUUAUAAAAACAAAAUAAAGCCUCACCUCAAAUCCUUAUCUAGAAAGCACUUUAGGCAUGGCAAAUCUUUAAGACUGUUCCAAAACAAUUUCCAACCUCAUCAACAAAAUUUGAAGCUAAAAAAUGGUAUAGAUCUUGCGCAUCUAUGAACACUUAUUUUUAAAUUGGAAUGGAUGGUCUACAUGAUUUGUUGCAAUAUAGACUAUUUUUAAGACUUAGAAAUCUUAACUUUCUUUCAUAACCAUAACAUUCAAGCUGAAAUAAUUGAAUUUAAAGGCUUUUCAAUACAAUUGCAAUUUUUGAGAAGGUAUGAGGUGAGGCUUUACCUAUACGUUUGGAGCCAUAUCAAAACAUUUUCCUCUUUAUUCUGACUUGUAGCGAAGGAUGAUGUCAUUGUCAUACCACAUUUUUCUAUUAUUUUUGACUUGUAGCGAAAUAUGAUAUCAUUGUCAUACCACCUAUAUGGAGCAAUGAUUGUUUUUUAACAACGGAUAAAUGUCAAAAAUAUCUAUUUUAUCUCUCUUGAUUUCAAAAGUGCACUUAUUAAAAAAAAUUAUAUUAUAAAACAAGGGUGCAUGAAUUUUCAAAAAGUUGAUUAUAUUACGAGAAUACUCGUAUGUAUAAGUACCCUAACAUAAUCCUUCUUUAUAGGUGAUCAAGAUUUUUAACUACUUUUUGUCCAAGAUCUUGGAUAGUAGAGAUAAGGUUUGAGAAAAGGGUGAGACUUAUAUAAGGCACCCACCUUAAACAAUCAAGAGGCACUUUUAGGACAGAUGCAUUUGGGUGCUAGAACUCUUAGAGUGGCUCUCAAAAUUUGUUUUUACUAGUAAUUAUGGAAUUUAAAGCUCUAGAAAUAUAGAUAAUGUGUUACAAAAUACUUUAUUUUUAAGAUUUGAAAUCUUUUCUUUCUUUCUUUUUUUCGUAUUUGUACAUGUCGAUGAUCAAUUUGAGACUUCGUAAACCUCAGACAAACCUUUUUCAAUAUAUUUUUAGAUGUGCCUUAGUUCUAUAUUAUAAAAUUCAUACCUUAUAUAUUUUGUUUGUAGGGGAAAUGAAAGCUGAAACUAAGCUGAAAUUAUACCUUAGUCGAGAAAACUGAAAUUAAGUAGCAUUAAGGUUUAUCAUACUAUUUUGUUUGGAGAAAUCCUAAAUUGAAGGUAGCGGAUCUGUGUUAACCACACUUUCAAAAGAGAUUGAAUUAUUGGGGAACUAGGACCUGACACCAAGCUCAUCGCCAAAGGUUCAUACAAGUGUUUCAGAACCCAAAUUGGUAGAGCGUAUCAUUCACCUAUAGAUAUGUGCUACAUAGGUGAUCUUGAUCAAAUCUAAAUCAGUUCAAAUUAGUAGAUCCAAAAAAUAUGAAAAAUAAUUAAAAUAAAAUAAAAACAAGGAUUUAUGAGAUGCGAAUAUAGAGGGAAUUUAAUAAAUAUUAGAUAAACCUAAAAAAGGAAAAAUAUAUAUGUUUUUGUGUUUUUUUUUUGGGGGGAGGAGGAGUCGGUCAUCUAGGGGGAACCGAAAUAGGACCCAUACCAUUAAGGAAUUGGUUUGGUCACGAUUCCCCAUACUGAUCGAAAAUCGCUAGAUCUUAAAACACUAGGCAAUACGAAAACAUCUAGUUUGUUUGAUACCCUAUUGUUAAUAUCUAGAUAAAAAACCCCUGUUGUUAAUAUCUAGAUAAAAAUAAUUCUUACUGAGCUUUCUUUCUCUCAACAGAAAGACAGCUUUGUGCGUUGUAAAUCUUCUUGUUUUAGAGUAGUCAAUAGAGUGUUUGAUCUUUUAUAUGAUCGCACUCUCAACCAUUUCACGCUAUUAUAUAAAGGUUAGAACUAAUCUUAUUCAAACUUGAAAUGGGACCUCAGCUUUUCAUCAAGGCACAAUGGAAUCCUCAAAUUCUCAUACUUCUACUCUUGAGACUCCUAUUUGAACGCACUUUGAGAGUACAGGUCGGAUCGGGCUGGAUCCGAAUCUAAAUGGUAUGUGUCGGAUCGGGGUUUAAAUCGGAUCCUGGACGUUUAGAUCUGGAUANNNNNNNNNNNNNNNNNNNNNNNNNNNNNNNNNNNNNNNNNNNNNNNNNNNNNNNNNNNNNNNNNNNNNNNNNNNNNNNNNNNNNNNNNNNNNNNNNNNNNNNNNNNNNNNNNNNNNNNNNNNNNNNNNNNNNNNNNNNNNNNNNNNNNNNNNNNNNNNNNNNNNNNNNNNNNNNNNNNNNNNNNNNNNNNNNNNNNNNNNNNNNNNNNNNNNNNNNNNNNNNNNNNNNNNNNNNNNNNNNNNNNNNNNNNNNNNNNNNNNNNNNNNNNNNNNNNNNNNNNNNNNNNNNNNNNNNNNGAAUCUAGGUCAAUCUGACAAUCACGGAUGUCUGGUAGUGUUUGAAUUUUAGUUUUUUUUUCUAUAAAUCCAAAUUACUUGAAAUUUUAGGUGCGUAUUCAUAAAAAAUAAUUAGAUCUUGGAAAAAUAUCAAAAACAUAUUUACAUAAAAUAAAUUCACCAAAAUACCCCCAAAACUUUUUGAGGGGUAUUUUGGUCUUUUUAUUUUUUACGAAUAAAUUUUUUUAUAUUUUUAUUAGGUGCGCCUUGAUGAGAAGAAAACACACCUAAAAUUUCAAGUGGUUUGGAUUUGUAGAAAAAAAAAAAAAAUUAAAACACUACCAGACAUCUGUGAUCGUCAGAUCGAUCCAGAUUCAAUCUGGGCCAUUGGGCUCAUCUGUUUAUAUGAGUUAGUGGGCUAAUCCCAUCUUUUUCUUAUAUACAUUAAUUAUUUAAAAAACUCGGGUUAGAUUCAGAUUAAAAUCCGAAUCAGAUCUGGAUCGGAUUCGCUUGAACCCAGAUUCAAUCCAAAUUCCAUUAUAAACCUAACUUGGGUAUGGAUCCAAAUUUUGAGUCUAACCUCAAUUCGAAUAAGAUCUGAGAUCUAGGUUUCAAAUCGGGAUAGGGUCAAUUCUCACCCUUAGGUACUUCCAAUCUUUCUAAUAUUGCAUUCUUACAAAGGGAGGACUCCAACCUUGGUUCGUAUUAAUAUACUUUUGAGAAAGUGAAAAUAUUUCCACAUCUUGGUUCACAUGAAAUUACUUUUUCGGAAAUAUUUUCACGCAAACCAAACGUGUUUAAGUCUAAUUCCAUUUUGCCAACUCAAACCAACUCCACCAACUCAAACUAACUCCACCAAGCUUCUACCCAUGAGCAUGUAGAAGUAAGAACGUAUCAUUGUUUGUAGGACUUCAUUCAUCAUAUACAACAUGACUGCAACCUACUGUUGGACCCUCUCAGUGGGGCAAUUGAGAAAGGGGUAUGCUAAUCACUAAAAUUUGUUUGAUCUACAUAAACAUACAGUGAGUUUAGAGACAAUCUUUUCCUCCAAUGUCAGGGCUAAAUCAUUUAUAGCUAAAAUGCUAGAUUGGCUUAGGCGAAACUCAACAUAGUCCUUCUAAACAAUUAAACAUCCUAUCUGUCAAUGGGGAACACUGAACUACAAAUGUUGAUAAUAUAAGAUAAAUUCUUGUGUCUUUGAGAUGCAUGAGAGGAUUGUGACAACAACUAAAGCUGCAAUUAUAUCUGGCUCGUACUUUGAAAGAUUUGUAGUAUAUAAUCACAUACACAUAAAUGAUCUUCGGAGUAAAUCGACCAUUGUACUCAUUUUAACUAAAUAGGCCUUUGUGGACAACUACUCUUUUUAUGUGUAAAGGCUAUGAAAUGUGGACCAUACUCCUUUUCUCUCAUGGAUAUGUAAAGGCAAUGAAAGGUGGACCAUACGCCAUUUUAUGUCAUGGAUAUGAGGCUGAAUUAGCGUGACUGGAGUGAAAGUGGUGGUUGAUCACUCAAUAUCAACAGUGGUUUAAUUAUGCAGUAUUUUGCUGCUUGAAAAUAAAUAUAAAAAUAAUUUAAGAAUCGAAUGUAUAUAGAACAAUGUGUAAUGCAGUUCAUGAUGUUAUUUUCUUAAAAAGCUACCCUUUAGUAAGGUGAUCAAACUGGAAUUUCAAAAAGAUUAAAUUUUAAAUGCAGAAGAUAUAACGACACAUAUAACCAAAACCAAAAGAUUACAAAUCCAUCAUCAUAAACAAUAUUAAAACACAAUUAAUAAAAAUAAUAAUAGAUAAUCAAUAAAAAAUUACACAUCACAAUCAUAAUAAAAAAUUUCACACAACAUAAUAUUGAAAUAAGAUACCUCUUUAGUCUUCUCCAAUGCCUCAAAAUUUUCUACUCCAAUUACCAAAACUUUUAUUUUACUAAUCAAAUUUCUUCCCAUUUUUUAACUUUACCGUAAAGAUUAUGAAUUUGGUAUCAUAAAUUUGUUGCUUAUUUGAAAUUAUAUAAAGAGACAUUUGAAAGGCUUCUAUAAAUAAAAAAAAAAAAAGGCUUAUCACAAUAAAAACAUGUUAUUUCAAUUAUAUUAUUCCAAUGUCUUAUCAUGAUGAAACCAAUGUCUAUUCAUGUUAGAAGACAUGUGAUUCCUUUUAAAUGCCAAAUGCAUGCAAAAUAAGUAGUUAGUUAGAGUAGGUGCACACUAAAGAAUAACUAUAUUAAUGCAAAAAAUAAAAAAUGCAUAUUUUAUUAUACACCUAGCCAUUCCCCAAAAAACUCAAAAUAUCAAAGAAAACUAAACUAAUUUUUUUUAGAAUAGAAUGAAAAUAGAAGGAUAAAAAAUAUCUUUAAUUUGCAUGAGAACUGAAAUGUCACACACCGAAAAAGUGCAUAUUUGAUUGAACACCCACCAUAAUUAUGUAAAAUAAAUUAUCGCAGUCAUAAUCAAAGUAAAAUAUGUAAAUAAAUUAAAAUAAACGUUUAGUUAAUAUUUAGUCAAUAUUUUAAAAAAUCUAUAUAAAACCUGUUUAAGACCAACAUCACUCAUAUAAGCUCUACAAGGCAUGUUAUUCCCCAUUGAUCUACAUUGGCAAUAAAAUGGAUAAAAGCAAGUUAGAAUAUUUAUCAAAUACCCAAAUAUGCAAAAAAUAAAGUAAUAAUCCAUACAUAAAAAAAAGAAGAGAAAAACAUAAAUAAUUUAAAAUAUUAUAUAGUUCACAACAAUAAUAAAUGGAAAAAACUAUAGUAAGCCCAAAAUUUACCACAGGGACAAUUUUAUCAUCAAUUCACAGUCAAAUAGUGGAAGACACGCACAUCGUAUCAAAUAUCAACCUAUGCAAUAUACAAACAAAAAAAAGAUGUUAAACAAUUAUAAAAGAUAAAAUUGAUCAUAUUUCCAAUGAUGAAAAUAGACAAAUAAAAAAAUAGAAAAGGUUCCUUUAGACCUAGAGGGCAUCAGAAAACCCUGAAAUUGACGAUCUUGAUCGUGCCCGUUAUGGAUCUAAAUAUAGAAAAAAAAGAUACUACAGGUCUUAAAAAUAUUGUAUCUUGCUACACAUUAUCUAGAUAUUUCGUACACAUUAUCUGGAUAUUUCACUUUCAUGUGCUCACAGAUCUGCCAAUUCAACACCAUUCCAUUCUGAAGCUUCAAAUUUCAUAUUAGAUUUUUUUUGGGCAUCACAGGAGUCAUUAUUUAAGGAUGCAUCAUCUGGGGCUUUGUUCUACACUUUCACUUUUGUUCCUGAACCACAACUUUAUGCAAACCAUAGGUACAUCUCUCUUAACAACAAAAAAGCCAUGAAUGCAUCUCUCUCCAGCAACAAAAGAAAAAAUAAAAAUAAAUAAAUAAAUAAAAAAUAUAUAUAUAUGUCAUGAGAUGUUUUCCUCUUAUAUUGUUCAUCAGUUUCUCUAUCUUCUGUUGCAAUGGCUGUCCAGCUUCACUCUAUCUUUUGCCAAUGUUAAUCUCUGUAAAACUGCAAAUGGGUUUUUUUUCCUCUUUAAAGCUGAAAUUGGGUUUCUCCCCUUGCGUUUCUUUCUUGAACACUGUAAAUGUAUGUCUUUCUCAUGCAAAUGGUUUCUCCCUCCUCUGUAAAUUCUUAGGAGAAAGUAAGAAUGAGAUAGCUUAGGUUCCUUGUCCUCACAAUUAUCUAGGCAAAACCUGGGUCAUUGGGAUGAACACAGUCAGCCGCAGUUGAAUUGUCCUGUAAUAAAGUCUCAGUGGUUGAGUUCCUACAUAACAAGGUACCGUCUGCGAUCCUUGGGUCAAAGUUGGCCACUUUGGUAUUAGAAUCAAGAGGGAUUGAAUAGGAACUUGAGGUUCCAAGCAUUUAUUCAUGACAUUUAGCCUCACAGAGAGCAACCUUUCCUUUCGAAAUCUGCUCAUCCAAUGGCCAAUUGAUCUUGCCAAGCCUUCAGAUGAAAUCUUCAUCAAUUCAUUCCUGAGUACUCUUAGUGUGGUUUGCAUCCUUGAGCUGAGCCUCGAGUUCUUGAAUCCUUUUUCUCUGUCCCGGUGUUAUUAUCUCUGCUUCAGCAAUCUUGGAGACCAUGCUUGCUUGAAGCGAAGGAUCAUGGAGAGAGAGCCUCUUCUUUGGUCGCUGCCAAGUCUUGAUGAAGGCACAGAGCCUUAUGCUCAGAGACAAGAAUCCAUGCAGCCGUACCAUUGACUAUAUCAGAAGAAGCCUAGUUCAUCUCUGGAAUUAUCAGAUACCAGAAAUAUACUUAAUUAUCAUUCAGAUACACGCCCUUCUCUUCUGUUUCCUUUUUUUUGGUAUUUUAUUUUUUCCAAAUUAGCUUUUAUGCCCUUCUCUUCUGUUUUUUUUUUUUGGUAUUUUAUUUUUUUCAAAUUAGCUUUUAUGGUAGUCGUAUUACAGAACCGUGAUAGUCUUUGUCGGAUACAACCAUGAAUUGAGAAGAAGAGGGUACAGAGAGAGGGAGAGAAAUCCAACAAAGAUAGUUUUUUUUGGUAUUUUAUUUUUUCCAAAUUAGCUUUUAUGCCCUUCUCUUCUGUUUCUGUUUUUUUUGGUUUUUUUUUUUUCAAAUUAGCUUUUACGGUAGUCGUAUUACAGAACCGUGAUAGUCUUUGUCGGAUACAACCAUGAAUUGAGAAGCAAAGGGUACAAAGAGAGGGAGAGAAAUCCAUCAAAGAUAGAGAAAGUGACGAUCUACUCAAGUCGGAAACUUGUUUGAAGAAGCUAAAUUAAUCAGAUACUUGUUUGAAGAAGCUAAAUUAAAGAAUGGUCAAGGUCUGAACUGUUGUGAAAAUGUAGGAAUUGCGACUGGAAAUUGAGGAUGUGGAGAAUUUGGUGGAGACCCUGAAUUGAAGAGCAUGGUUCAGUGGCUGGCAGCUUCUCCGAUGAAUGAUCUCUCUCUCCAUGCUUCUCUUCGUAGUCUUAAGCUCCAUUCGAAUCCAAUAAUAUUUCUCUCAUUUUUAUCGUCCACCAUGAGAAAGGGAGUGACUUUAUCCUCCAAUCGCUUUCUCUCUCUAUCUUUGUUGGAUUUCUCUCUCCUCAAUCUCUCCACUCCUCUAAAGACUAUUACGAUUUUGAGCAUCGUGAUACCUCUCUCGGUCUCAUGCCACUUUAACUGCAGCCGUGCCUUUAAACAUUGCGACAUCAUUAUUUUGAUAAAAAAUUAAUAUAAAUAGUAAAAAAAAAAAAAGUGUGAAUGAAAUUUAAAAAAGUAUAGUUUUUUUUUUUAAUUAGCCCAAAAUUAAAGUGUGUUUCUGAUCAUUUCCCUUAUAUCUAUAAAGAAUUUACAGUAAGAAAUGCAGCAUACCUCUUAACCCAGCUCAAUGUAUAUUACAACAAAAAGAUUAAAAAAAAAAAGCUAACUAAAAAUCAAGAUAAUUUAAGACCAUACAAAUUCUUUUUUUUUUUUAAGAAAAUAAACAUUGAAAUGAAGGAAUUUCAUAUCACUCACAACAAAAAAUAAAUAGGAAUGCACAAUGAAAAGCUCUAUUGAGAAAUUAAAAUAGGAAGGAAAAAUUCAAAGCUCAAAGAUUACCAUCUAAUUCAAAUGAUAAGAGAAAAUACCAUGUAAAAGGUUGAAACCUUUUACAAAAUCAUUAAAGCGAUCAAAUUAUCUCAAUUAACAUUUGCGGAUUAUUUCUUCUUUUUGUUUCACUUAGAUAUCUCAUAAAAAAAUAAAAAUAUUCAAUUGCAGGAUUGAGAAGGAGAAGGAAUAAGGGGCAUAUAAUCUUAUUCUCCAAGAGCCCCAACUAAAUGAUGAAAAAACCUCUGCUUAUUGAGGAUCAGAAACAAGGACUGUACUAUUCAAUGUUCCUAACGAGGAAUAAUUAGGGGUAUUUUUCCCUAAUUAUUCAUCAUUAUUAAACAACCCACAUUGAUUUAUCAUACCGUUCUAACCCUUUUUCUAGUUCACGUUGCAUCAACAUAAAAGUCCAUUAGGCUGCAAUGUGAUAGGUGGCUUGGGGUGGCAAUGUCAUAGCAAAAGUUGAAUGAGGCUUUUGAGCAACAGCAAAAAAUCUUUGCUUUUUUUUGGAAAGUUGACCACAAAUUUCAUCGCCUCAAAAAGAAAUACAAAAAAAAUCACCAGCAAAGAUGGGUAUACUCCCCUUUUAGCAAGAACAUCAGCCUCAACAUUACAUUUUAUAGUAAUGCACAAGUCAAAAAAAAAAAAAAAAAAAAACCUAUAAAUUUCAUCGGGGCGGCUUUAUCGCUCUUUUUGCCCACGUAAUAACGUUAGAGGAGUCCCUUUCAAUUGUCUUAUGACUAUCUAACUUCAUAAUUAUUUUUAGGACUUUCAAAAUUCCUCUCGAUUGAGCCUCAUUAGUAUUCCCAUAUGAACUUGAGAAUGUUUUUAAAAUACCACUAUUGUGGUUUCUAAUGAGUCUUCCAAAAUUAGCUGGACCUGGGUUGCCCACACAACUAUCAUCAAAAUUAAGCUUCAACCAUUCAAAGGAUGUGGUUUCCAAGUAGUUCUAAUUAAAUUGGAGUAUGGACACAAUUUUGCCACUUCCAACGGAUUUUGAAAAAUCUGACUUUUGGGUAUACUAGUGCACUCCUUAUGCAUCGAGAGCCAAUCUAUUGCCAUUGCUAAAAUAUUUGAUUUCAAAACAUCCAAAUAUAAGAACACGCCUUCAAAAAUUCUCCUAUUGUGCUCUCUCUAUAUAUUCCAUAUUAUGCUGGUCCAUAAAGAUCGCCAUAGAACAGUGCCAAUCUUUGGAAGACCCGGGUGCAUCCAUUAUUGAAGAAUAACAUCCAUUGUUGAAGAAUAAUAACAAAAUAUCCUUGUUGUUGAAGUGAAGAAAACUAUAGGCCACGCUAGCUGCAAAUAAACUUGUAGUGUGCUAAGGCUAGGCUCAGUCAACUCGAGCCUAAAAAAUUAGGACAUGCUCCAUGAUAUGGGCCUUGAGGGCUGGGCAACCACGGUCCAAGGGUAGAAUUGGGCUUUGGUGAAGGCCAGCCUGGUUUGACCCAAUUGGGCCCUCUAUUUAUUUUUUCAUUUGUUUUAUUCUCUAUUUUAUUUGGCCCAACCCGGCCCCGUUCUGAUAGGGUUAGGGCUAGGCUUGGGCUUGGACUAGGCCUUUUGGCCUUGGUAGGCCUAGGCCAACCCUAUGGGGACUAGGGCCAACGGUGGCCCGGCCCAUUGCCACCCCCUAUUAGACGGUCCAAGUUGAUUUAACCUGUUUUUUAAUGAACCCAAGAGAAAUAAAUAAUUAUGUAGUUUGUACAAGGUGCCCAACUUAUACUACUAGUAAGGUGUAACUCUAAAUUUUACAAAAGAUGUAGUUUCAAUGUUGAAAAUCUUACGAUGGCUUGAAAAUUCAUGUUCUAUCCUAAUUAUAAAUUUUUAAAUUUCAAAAAUGGAGCAAACUGAGUAGAUUUAUAAAUACAUGAAAUUCUUGGAAAUAGUUGGUCUAGGUAACUUCUUAUGAGAUGCACUAUUUUUAGAGUUUGAAAUUCUCUUUGUUUAUAUCUUUAGAUCUCGAAUUCAAGAUCAUCAAUUGGGUGGUUUUCCAAUUUUGAAACACUAGUUUCAAUUGGAUUUUUAGUGUACACCUUAUUUCUAUAGUAUAAUAUUGCAACCUUCUAUAAAUUAUUUCAAAAAUAUUAAUCUCUUAUUAUGGACCAUAAAAUUGCACAUAAAAAAGAUCUCCGUAAAAAGACUAUUUUGAGAGGGGUGUGGUUUGCAUAAGGUUGCAAUGUUAAACAAUAAAAAAAAAAAAGGUGCUCCUCCAAAUUUUUUUAUAAAAUAUAAUUUUGAUAUUAAAAAUUCUUAUGAUUGCUUGAGAAUAUAUUUUUAUCUCUAAUUAUAAAAUUUUAAACUCAAAAUAUGAUUCAAAUCAAGUAGAUUUGUAACAACAUGAAAAUCUUGGAAGUGGACGGUCCAGAUAAUGUGUUGCAAGGUGUACUAUUUUUGAGACUCCAAAUCUUUUUUUCUGUACAUCUCGAUAUUGAGAUAAUCAAUGAAAAUUUUUUUUAAAAUUAAAAUAAUUUUUUCUUAUGGAUUUUUGAGAUGCAUAUUAAUUCUAUAUUUUAAGGGUGCAACCUGAACUUUUUUCAUUUCGAGCGACGGAGUAAAUGCAUCGCAUGCUCUCGUGGACCUCAGAACCAAAAGAAAAUUGGAGGGAAAACCCAACCCUGAGAGAGAGAGGACUUUAAGCGAGGAGCGGGAGGGUAAUGAAGCACCACUCGGAAAAAUGGCGAGAAGGAGGCGACUGAGAUUGCAGGUCUCUUCAGACGAAGAAGAAGAAGAAGAAGAAGAAGAAGCAGUCGAUGGCAUUGAAACCCCAAUUCGUUCAAAUCCCCAACCACCACCCCAAGCACAGAGCAGUGCCUUUGAAAUUUCAGACGAUGAAUACAUGGACGUCGAACAAUCACUCUCCGCCCCCUCUCCUCCUCUUCAAGAUGAUCUAAACCAGAAUUUCACCGGAAUCCAGUUAAAUUCUGGCGAUUAUCCUGGCCAAAAUCAAAAUUUCAUUGGAACCCAUUUCGAUUCCGGUGAUUUUUCUGGCCAAAAUCAAAAUUUCAUUGGAACCCAUUUCGAUUCCCGUGAUUUUUCUGGCCAAAAUCAAAAUUUCACUGCCGUAGAAUCAAAUUCCGUCCCUUUCUCUGGCCAAAAUCGAGAUACCGGAAUUCAUUCGAGUCCUGGUGAGUUUUCCGGCCGUUCUGGUUCAGUGGAUGUGGUUUUUAGGGGAAUGGGGCUCCAGCUCAAGAGAGAGUGGCUGGAGUCUUGUUUUGAGGGUUUAAUGGCUUCUCAAAUAGGGUUUUCUCAGAAGAGUAGUCUCGAGCAGGCCGAGCUUUACUUCGCUCAGUUCCUUGUGGCUGAUAUGAAUGAUGUUGGUAAUGGUGUGCUUCCCUCUAAUGUCAAUGCCAUGCAUGGCACAGAGAUUGCUGGCCCUUUUAUUUUGCAGGUAAAAUUCAUUGAAUUCUUAUUUGUCUUAUCUCACUGCUAUUUGAACAGUUUUUGUUAGAAUCUUAGGUCUGAAAGCUUGAAGCACCAUUGAAAGAUAGAGGAGAGAAUUUUUUUUUUCAUGGGAGAUUAGCAGUUGUUGCUAUGAUGUGCUUUGUGAACUAUGAAAGUUCGAGAUUUAGAGUUGUAUAUGUUGGGCUAUCUUGAUUUCGCUGGUAUGAAUUCUGAUUAUUGGAGUAGAGAUUUAGAAAUGCAUUUGUGUUAGUUUUCAAAUUCGAUAACAUAGAGGGACAUGAACACAGCGCACAUCCAAGCAAUUCUACAGAGAAUGAGAGAGUGAAGCGCUAGAGAAUGCACAUUCAAUAAUCUUAUUUUAUUUAAGUUGUUAUUUGUCCAUAAUCAUCAAUGUUAAUGUUAUGAAAUACCAACAAAAAGAAAGCUGAUGCCUCACUGAGCAAAUUCUAUUGCCCACAUUCUCCUGGUUCUCAAUCAUUAUAUAUAAUGCAAAAACAAAGAAAAAUCUUAAUUAUAAUGAGAUUUUCUUAUUACCCCAAAAAAAGACAAUCUAUUCAUGAUGAAAGGCUUAUUUCAAAACAUAAUGCUAUAUUGUUUGGUUCCUAUAGUAUGGAUAUUGUGGGAUAAAGUAAAUCUGCACUGGUAUGUGUCUCUUUAUAAUAUUUCAUUAUGGUGGUUGUAGAACUGACUUUUGCACGACAUGUUCUUUGGGGCUUUUUGCUUGACUUGGCCCAGCCAUUCUACCCAGUGUUUUACUAAUGCUGAUCCAUGUUGGGAGUCUGUGGGGACCGACCAAGUUCCUAGUCAGAACUGGGAAUUGGUCUGAUUUUGGUACACUCACUUGGUUCUAUCAGUGAACUAGGCAAGUAUGUCAAGGAGCUAGGCUAUCUGGAUUGGCCGAAUUGCCCAUUUCACACCUAUUUUAUUUUUUUAUGAUUUUUUCAAAUUUUUUAUUUUUUGAAAAUAUCAGCUCAAAUCUUAUUUGGAUCGGACUCCUGCACCGUAGAAUAGGUGCUUUCUGGCCUGGAUGGGCGAUCAAAAUCUGUUCAAUGGGUGAUCAAUCUGCCCCCUGAUCUAGGUUUUAAACCACUGAUUCCACCUAUUGUUUUUGCCCUAGAAAAAGGUAAAACAUAUAGAAUAUUCAGUUUACGAGAGAGUUCGCUUAAUGCUCAAACCAAUUUGUUCCUUAUGGCCUGUGCUAUAGCUACCAUAAAGCAACACUAUACUAAGAAAACAAAUAAUGUUAAUGUGAAUGUCUAUCUCUUUGAUAUGCACUGAUUUCUACUAUUAUUAUUAUUAUUAGAAUUAUUAUGUGUGUGUGUGCGUGUGCGUGUGUGUGUGCGUGUGCGUGUGCGUGUGUGUGUGUGUGCGUGUGCGCGUGUGUGUGUGUGCGUGUGCAUGUAUAUGUCCAUUACAUAUAUUUGUUCGGCUUCUAUAAUCUGCGAAUUUUCAUACAUCCAUAUGUGGGUGUGCACUGUGUACGCAUGUCUGAGUGUGUAUGUCGGAAUAUUUCUCUUGUGAUUUGAGAUUCAAGUUGCUUUACAACUUCAGAAGGAAGUAUAUAUGUGUCUAACAUUGGUUUAAAUUUUCUUGACAGGUUGAUGAAACAGUUAACAUUAGUUCUCCUCUUAAAGACAGGUAUAAGGAAGUUGCUGCUGGUCCUAAGAGGUGCCUUAAAUUAUCAAUGACAGAUGGUGUACAACGUAUAUUUGGUAUCGAAUAUCGCCCUAUUAAAGAGCUUAUGGUUCUUGCUCCAGCUGGUUUAAAGGUCUGAUAUGCUGCCCUUCAUCGCAGCAUGUGGGAUUUCUAAUAAUUAGUACUAUUCUACCUCUCGAUAUCAAAUUAAGUGAUAGUCAACAUUUUUGUCUAUUUUGUAAGUUCAUCACCCAGUUUUAGGGCAUGGUUACUUGCCUUGAAUCUAUUACUGAUACAGAGAGAAGUAUUAUGGAUUAUUAUAGAAGGGUAUUGCUUUCCCAAUUUUCAGCAAAUAAUUUUAGAAAGUAAAUACUUCGGGAGAGUAGAGGUAAGAAGGACCUAGGAAGACAGUCAGCCAUUUUUUUCUUGUAUUUAUAAGCACCGAGCAAAUUUCUAGUGCAUUGAGGGAACCUAUAUGUUUUCUGAUUGCCAUUUCGAAAGCUCAAUGGUUGUGAAUUAUGGUUUUUCAACCAAGUUUGGACUUCUUGUUUUAAAUGGGUGUGGAUGUUUGUUUUUUUCUUUUCUUUUUGAGGUUAGAAAUGCUUUAGGCUUCUUGAUGCUUGAGUAUUUUUAUUCUGGUUCUAAGAAUUAUAACUUUCUCUUCUGACUCCCUGUUAAAUAAGCAGCACUUGUGUAGUUCAGAAAACAUGCGACUUCUUUACAAUGUAAAAGGAAUCUUCUAUAUGAUAUUCUGAACUUGUUUACAUUUAUUGAGAAUGUGUCCCUAGAGAAUCUAUUAUAUGAAAAUGUGCCACUAGAGAAUCAUGGACUAUCUACCUUAGGCGAUAGAUGGGGGUGCAAAGCGGAAGACUUGCCAUCGGCCUACUUGGGUCUGCCGCUGUGCGUUGGCAAGCCCAAAACUAGUCAAUGGAGCCACAUUAUCGACAAAUUCGAUUGCAGAAUCGAGGGAUGGAAGGGCAGAAUUUUAUCAUCUGCAGGUUGCCUAACUCUCAUCAAGGCCACCCUCUCCAACAUCAUAUUUUUCCAGAUGUCCCUCUUUGAUGCAGAUAAAGAUUAGGAAAAAUUCAAAAUGUUUAGUGUUAUUAUUAUUUUUUAGUUUUUCUUAGGGAUAGGAAGUGCUGCACUGGGAUUGAGGGUUGGAUUUUAGGAUAAACUAGGCUUAGUUGGUUUUAAAGAGAUAAAUUAAGCAUGGUUGGGUUUUCAGGAUAUACAAUUGGGAUAACUUGGGCUUAUCUAAAGAAGUCCUACUUUUAUGGACUUAAUUUAGAAAGAGAUUUUAUGGAGGAUCACUUAGAGAUUCAUGUGAGAGAGAAAAUAGGGAGAUGGAGAGAGAGAAAAAAUAGGGAGCUUGGGAAAAAAACGUGGAAGUUAGAGAGUUUUAUGGGUUUUUUUAUUUCUUAUUUUGUAUUUAAAGGAAAGUCCCUCAUUGUAAAGAGAGAGAUUGGAAUUCAGUAAAGUUGAUAUUGUGAAAAGAUCUUUUUGGGGUGGAUUCCAUUGCAGACCUUGAAAGAGGGUAUAUUCUCUCAAACUUUUAUUUUAUUUUUAUUUUUUGGUUUGUUAUUAUUUCUUCCUGCAUCAGUUGGUAUCAUAGCCUUGAGAUAAAAAAUCUAUUCACUAUAUGGAGUGUUUGGAUUGACUCGAGCAAUUCGAUAGACACAUGGAAGACCUUCGCAGAUCAGUAUAACAAUAUCUACAAAAUCGACAAUUCAAUGGAUACAUGGAAGACCUUCGCAUAUUAAUAUAACAAUAUCGACUUAGUAUAUUGUAACAAGAGGAAAAAGAAUAUGAAGAGGUAGAUCUCGAUGCAAAAGACGAUCUUGAUACCCAAACACGCAAGAAAUAUUGAAAAUCAAUUGUGAAGAAAAUGAUAUGUUUAUUGCAGCUUAUGAAACACCACCCUGUGAGCCUAAAGGAGAAAUCAAGAUUCAAUUUGAUAUUUCAGAGUUUGGUGCCUCAAACUUCCACUAUAAAUUGUGUUGGAUAUAUCGUUUAUUUAUUGAAGAAAAAGUAUUGAAGCGCUUGGUGGGACUCCAUCACUAGCUUUUGUGAAGACCUCUAAAAGAUUUGAAUUCUAUAAACUCGAGGUUGAGCUUCUUCCAACCUGGAGAGAAUUCGAUAAGCUCGAGGUUGAGCUUCUUCCAACCUGGAGAGAAUUCGAUAAGCUCGAGGUUGAGCUUCUUCCAACCUGGAGAGAAUGAUGCAGAUAAGGAUAAGAAAAAAUUCAAAAUGUUUAGUUUUAUUAUUUUGUUUUUAGUUUUUCUUAGGGAUAGGAAGUGCUGCAUCGGUAUUGAGUUUUUUUUUAUUCGUCAAAGGGUUGGAUUUUAAGAUAAGCUAGGCGUAGUUGGUUUUAAAUAGAUAAAUUAAGCAUGGUUGGGUUUUCAGGAUAUACACUUGGGAUAACUUGGGCUUAUCUUAAGAAGUCCUACUUAUGGACUUAAAAUUUAGGAAGAGAUUUUGUGGAGGAUCACCUAGAGAUUCACGUGAGAGAGAAAAUAGGGAGAUGAACAGAGAGAAAAUAGGGAGCUUGGGAAAAAACGUGGAAGUUAGAGAGAGAGAGUUUUAUGGUUUUUUUUUUAAUUUCUUAUUUUAUAUUUAAGGGAAGGAUGUCCCUCAUUGUAAAGAGAGUGAUUGGAAUUGAGUAAAGUUGAUCUUGUGAAAAGAUCUUUUUGGGAGUGGAUUCCCUCGCAGACCUUGAGAGAGGGUAUAUUCCCUCAAAUUUUUAUUUUAUUUUUAUUUUUUCGUUUAUUAUUAUUUCUCCCUGCAUCACUCUUCCAUAUGCCAUCCUCGGUGGCCAACUGCCUAGAGCAACUCAUGAGGAACUUUCUCUGGGUAGGGGGAAUAAAGUACUACCUCAUCUCUAGGGGCCAAAGUUUGCACUCCCAAGUCCCUAGGAGGCUUAGCCAUCCACAAUCUAAAAUCCAAAAAUCUAGCCCUUCUUGGUAAAUGAUGGAGAAUCACCUCUUGGAAGACAUCAUCCAACAUAAAUACUGUGGGAGUCAGCCUGGCUUCCCAAUGGUAGGGCCACCCCCAAUCCUUCGGGGGAUUGGAGAUCUUUGCUUCGCAGCUUUCCCCUCUCUUCGUUAGAAAUAUUCGCUUCCAUCCUCAGGCUAGUCACAAAGUCCUCUUCUGGUCCGAUUUAUGGCUAGGCCAGGCACCCGUCAUGGAAAGGCUUACCCACCUAUUCCUUGUAACCGGAGCCCCCAGGCCAAAGUAGCAGACAGUUUCCAGGCCUUGGGCCCUGGUAGGGUGUGGAAUCCCACUUUCAGAUGACCCCUGUCGGACCAAGAGGUCCCAGAAUUCCUGGCUCUCUCAUCCCUACCACGUUCAACCUUCCUCCGACCCCUUGGGAGUGAUAAGAUUACUGGUCCCCAGCCCCUUCUGGCGUGUUCUCAGUCUUAUCUUUCGAUGUCACUCUUCAAUUGCCCUCUACCUUGCCACUUCACACCCUUCCAUUGCGGCCAAAGCCUGGUUGCCUCUUGUCCCUCCCAAAUUCCAAAUAUUCAACUAGAUCACCAUUUCCGAAAGAGCCGUAACUAUAGACCAACUCCAAAGAAGGGGACUGCAAUUGCCUAACAGAUGUACCAUGUGCACCGUGGAGUAAGAGACCAACAGCCAUGUCUUCAUCCACUGUGACAUAGCCAGCACUCUGUAGGGGAAGAUACUCCAGCUUUUUCAUUGGUUGUGGGUGACUCCGCAUUCAGUCCCUCAACUUUUUCGUUCUUUCUUUCUCCACCGUGGUCCAAAUAUGGCAUUGCACUGGACUUUCCUGCUCUCAAGAAUUUUGCCGAUAGUUGGGGUUGUAGGGCUGAAAAGCUCCCCUUCAAUUACCUAGGACUGCCACUUUGCAUUGGUAAGCCUAAAAAGAGGGAGUGGUCCCACAUCAUGGACAAGGUUGAUCGAAAACGGGCAGGAUGGAAGGCCGGUUUCUAUCCCUGGGGGUUAGGCUUACUCUAAUCAAGGCCACUUUGGCCAAUACGCCAAUUUACCAAAUGUCUCUUUUCCACAUGCCAGUAGCAAUCAGUUCACGCCUAGAACAGUUAAUGCACAGAUUCUUCUGAUCUGGGGAGGCAGUGAAUCACAAAUUCCACCUUAUCUCUUGGGACAAAUUAUGUUAGUCGAAGAGGUGGGGAGGUCUCGGGAUUCGAAAUCUGGGGAUGCACAUUAUGGCAUUAUUAGGGAAGUGGUGCUGGCGCUUGGUUACUCUUAAGAGACCAGUUGUGGAUCGAUAUACUGAGGUGCAAAUAUCACCUCCCCUCUUCUCCUUGGUUACCCACUUGCACUACCAACUACAGGUCAUCGGGGAUUUGGAGAUCAUCUGUUCCGCUUUCCCGUAUUUCAAAUCUGGCAUUCGGUUUCAUCCUAGAGCAGGUAGCCACAUUCUCUUCUGGAAAGAUCUCUGGCUUGAUCAUUUUCCCAUUAUGGAGAGAUACCCAGCUCUCUACUCUCUGGCUCAAUUUCAAGAUACUACAGUGGCAGAGGAAAUGACGGAGACUGGGUCAAUAUGCUCCUGGAACCCAAUUUUCAGAUGAGCAGUAAAUGACGUUGAAUUCAAUCAAUUUGCGGACCUCUCGGCUGAACUUCAAGCUUGCUGCAUAGCCACUCAAGCUGUGGACCGCAUAAUCUGGGCCCAUGUAGCCUCAGGGAUCUUCUCGGUCUCCUCUCUUUGCCAAAAAUUGACACAGAGUCUGCCACAUUUCCAUUUGCCCCCAUUUCAAUAGUAGUGCAGGCUUGGUCAUCUUUCACUCCUCCUAAAAUACAGAUCUUCAUGUGGUUGGCGCUCUCCCAUAGGGUGCUCACUAUUGAUCAGCUUCAAAGAAGGGUAAUUCCUUUGCCCAAUCGAUGUGCUCUGCGCAUGGCAAACAAGGAGACCAAUGCUCACCUGUUCCUGCACUGUCCAUUCGCUUAUAACCUAUAGGAAGAACUUCUACACCUUUUUAAAGUUCAGUGGGUACUCGCGGCUACUGUACCUCACAUGUUCUCUUCUUUCCAGCCUCUCCUUUGUGCAUAGGCAGGCAUUCUUCUGCAAAAAACCGCAGUGGCAGCCAUCUUAUGGGUUAUUUGGAUAGAACGAAACAAUCAAAUCUUCUGGGGCGAGCAUACUUCAUGGUAUGGCACCUUUGUCAAGCUCAAAUCCUCCGUGGUGUUUUGGGCGACCAACCACUAGAGUUUUAAAGGGGUUUCUGCUGCCGCCUUUUUUCAGAAUUGGGAGGCUGCCGUUCAGCACAACCGAAGGCGUCCAUCUCGGGCAGCUUUGUGGAGACCCCCUGCCCUGGGCAGUUUCAAGCUUAACUUCGACGGGUGGUUCUUGGGAAAUCCAGGGCCAUCGGGAGUUGGCAUGAUUCUCAGUGAUCACCAGCUCAACUGUCACCUCUUUCUCAAAGUCCAUCAGUCAUACCGACUCUACGGAAGAGUAGGCAAUAGCACUUUUGGAAUGCCUCAAGCUUAUCCAACAUCUCGGAAUUUAUUCCCUUACGAUUGAGGGAGAUUCCAAGAGCGUGAUCACUUGGGCAUCGAACCCCCAGGCCAAAGUAGCAGACAGUUUCCAGGCCUUGGGCCCUGGUAGGGUGUGGAAUCCCACUUUUAGAUGACCCCUGUCGGACCAAGAGGUCCCAGAAUUCCUGGCUCUCUCAUCCCUUCCACGUUCAACCUUCCUCCGACCCCUAGGGAGUGAUAAGAUUACUGGUCCCCAGCCCCUUCUGGCAUGUUCUCUGUCUCAUCCUUCUAUGUCACUCUUCAAUUGCCCUCUACCUUGCCACUUCACACCCUUCCAUUGUGGCCAAAGCCUGGUUGCCUCUUGUCCCUCCCAAAUUCCAAAUAUUCAACUAGAUCACCAUUUCCGAAAUAGCCGUAACUAUAGACCAACUCCAAAGAAGGGGACUGCAAUUGCCUAACAGAUGUACCAUGUGCACCGUGGAGUAAGAGACCAACAGCCAUGUCUUCAUCCACUGUGACAUAGCCAGCACUCUGUAGGGGAAGAUACUCUAGCUUUUUGAUUGGUUGUGGGUGACUCCGUAUUCAAUCCCUCAAUUUUUCCGUUCUUUCUUUCUCCACCGUGGUCCAAAUAUGGCAUUGCACUGGACUUUCCUACUCUCAAGAAUUUUGCCGAUAGUUGGGGUUGUAGGGUUGAAAAACUCCCCUUCAAUUACCUAGGACUGCCACUUUGCAUUGGUAAGCCUAAGAAGAGGAAGUGGUCCCACAUCAUGGACAAGGUUGAUCGAAAACGGGCAGGAUGGAAGGGCCGGUUUCUAUCCCCAGGGGGUAGGCUUACUCUAAUCAAGGCCACUUUGGCCAAUACGCCAGUUUACCAAAUGUCUCUUUUCCACAUACCAGUAGCAAUCAGUUCACGCCUGGAAUAGUUAAUGCGCAUAUUCUUCUGAUCUGGGGAGGCAGAGAAUCACAAAUUCCACCUUAUCUCUUGGGACAAAUUAUGUCAACCGAAGAGGUGGGGAGGUCUCGGGAUUGGAAAUCUGGGGAUGCACAUUAUGGCGUUAUUAGGGAAGUGGUGCUGGCGCUUGGUUACUCUAAGAGAACAGUUGUGGAUCGAUAUACUGAGGCGCAAAUAUCACUUCCCCACUUCUCCUUGGUUACCCACUUGCACUACCAACUACAGGUCGUCGGGGAUUUGGAGAUCCAUCUGUUCCACUUUCCCGUAUUUCAAAUCUGCAACUCGGUUUCACCAUAGAGCAGGUAACCACAUUCUAUUAUGGAAAGAUCUCUGGCUCGGUCAUUCUCCCAUUAUGGAGAGAUACCUACCUCUCUACUCUCUGGCUCGAUUUCAAGAUACUACAGUGGCAGAGGAAAUGAUGGAGAUUGGGUCAAUACGCUCCUGGAACCCAAUUUUCAGAGGAGCAAUAAAUGACGUUGAAUUCAAUCAAUUUGCAGACCUCUCGGCCGAACUUCAAGCUUGCUGAAUAGCCACUCAAGGUGUAGACCGCAUAAUCUGGGCCAAUGUAGCCUCAGGGAUCCUUCUCGGUCUCGUCUCUUUACCAAAAAUUGACAGAGUCUCCCACAUUUCCAUUUGCCCCCUUUUCAAUUGUAGUGCAGGCUUGGUCAUCUUUCGCUCUUCUUAAAAUACAGAUCUUCAUGUGGUUGGCCCUCUCCCAUAGGGUGCUCACUAUUGAUCAGCUCAAAGAAGGGGAAUUCCUUUACCCAAUCGAUGUGCUCUGCGCAUGGCAAACAGGGAGACCAAUGCUCACCUGUUCCUGCACUGUCCAUUCGCUUAUAACCUAUAGGAAGAACUUCUACGCCUUUUUAAAGUUCGGUGGGUACUCCCGGCUACUGUACCUCACAUCUUCUCUUCUUUCCAGCCUCUCCUUUGUGCAUAGGCAGGCAUUCUUCUGCAAAAAACCGCAGUGGCAGCCAUCUUAUGGGUUAUUUGGAUAGAACGAAACAAUCAAAUCUUCUGGGGGGAGCAUACUUCAUGGUAUGGCACCUUUGUCAAGCUCAAAUCCUCAGUGUUGUUUUGGGCGACCAAUCACUGAAGUUUUAAAGGGGUUUCCGCUGCCGCCUUUUUUCAGAAUUGGGAGGCUGCCCUUCAGCACAACCAAAAGCGUCCAUCUCGGGCAGCUUUGUGGAGACCCCCUGCCCUGGGCAGUUUCAAGCUCAACUUCGACGGGUGCUCCCUCGGAAAUCCAGGGCCAUCAGGAGUUGGCAUGAUUCUCAGUGAUCACCGGCUCAACUGUCGCCUCUUUCUCAAAGUCCAUCUGUCAUACCAACUCUACGGAAGAGGAGGCGAUAGCACUUUUGGAAUGCCUCAAGCUUAUGCAACAUCUCGGAAUUUAUUCCCUUACGAUGGAGGGAGAUUCCAAGAACUUAAUCACUUGAGCAUUUGGCUCUUCUUCCCCCCCCCCCCCUUCCCCUCCCUCCCCCUCCCUCCCUCCCCUCCCUGGCAUUUGGUUCACCUUUUUUAUGAGAUUAACCACCUUUGCAGGGAUAUACUCGUCUUAUGAAAGCAUACUUGGAGGGAAGCAAACCAGGCGGCAAACACUCUAGCUAAGGAAGCGGCAGCAGCAACUAUGGAAGGCCUUUGGAUUACUAUUUUUGGAAUGGCGUCUUAUUCUAGGUUGCUUUUGAUUAUUAAAACCUUCAAUAAGAAGGAUUUUUGUUUCCUUUCUACUUUUUUACUCCUUGUACUUGGAGCUUCCGUGUUUGUGGAUAGCCCAAACUUCUCUAUCAAUUCAAGGUUAACUUUCUCAAAAAAAAAAAAAACUUGUUCACAUUUAUUGAUUGCCAAAUAGGUUUGGAUUUUCUCUGCUAUUAUCACAAAAUCUCAUCACUCGAGUGGUGUAUGGAAUAAUAUGGAAUUUGCACUAUUUUCGUUACUGAUAGGGUAAUGCUUCUCGUAAUGUUUGUAACUGUGUUUUCCAUUUGAUUAAAUUUUAAAAAUUUUAUCCUUAAAUUUUGUAGAUUGCAAUUUGUAAUGUACACGUACGACGAGGGCUUCUAAUUCUGGUGCCUGAAGUAAUUGAAGUUCUAGGAGGAUUUGUUGACCAUCUGGAGGCAGCACGCCAGAGGCUUGUUGAGGAAGUAAAUAAGCCACCGAGAGGUCAAAGGUUAGAAUGAAUCACAAAGAUUGUUUCUAUUGAGUUUGUUGAUUUAUGUAGACUUAUAUAUUAGAAUACAGAUUUAGUCUCAUAUUUUGCAUUCAUAGGUUUUACGAAAACAUUCCAAGUCUCUUGGACAUAAAAAACGACUUCGAUGGCAUCCAAUGUCGAUAAGAAUUUAAAUAGAUCUUGUAGUGCGAUUAUUUUUUCUUAUUUUCUAUUUUGAGUAGGGCCAUGACUAAUUUUGUUCUAAAGAUAAUUCAUUCAAAACAGCUCUAACUCCAUAUUUUAUAAUAACUUAGUUGGCUACUCAGUUCAUCUCCUGCAAUUACCUAUACGCAUUUGUGUAGUAAAUUAUGCCAAUAGUUACUAGUCAUAAAGAGAAAAUUCAAAUAAUUAUUAUUUUCUGAAAAAUGGAGUUUAAAGAAUUAUUUGCUCCCAUUCAUCUGAAGUUGUCUCCUAGUCUCUUUGUAAUAUUUGUCUCAAUGUAGCUUUGCAUUUCAUGCAGAUCCCGUAGAGGAGAGGAAGCUCCUUCUUUGUCUUCCAGAGCUCGUCGUGCUGCUUGGCCGCCCAAUACUUUGAACGAUCAAUCUGCACCAAGCACUAGGGCAGCACCUGAUAUAAAUCUUCCUCUCUCCUCAGCUCAAGGUAUCACUAUUAGGUAAUUUAAUUUCCAGAUAAUGUAUGUUGCAUCUUUUUUCCAUCAACUCAAUUUGGUCUCCUUUUUUUUUUCUUCCUUUAUUGAUAAUUCACCUCAUUUCAUCUCUGAUUUAUUAUUCUUUGCAACCCAUCUCCUUACAUUGAUUAGUGUUUUUUUUUUUUCAUCUUUUUUUAUCUUGUAGUUUCUCCAUCAGCUGCACCGGUUCGGGUCGCCCGUCAAAGAACAAUUGAAGAGUUCACCACUCCAAACACUAGGACAAAUGAGAGAAGUCACCUGUCAACAUCAGCUACCCCAGAUGGUGUUGCCUACGAGAGAAGCCAGCAAGAUUUCUCCAACCGUGAAAGUGUAAGGGAAGGUCUCAGCACCUCUGCUAGAUUGAAUCAAGGAACUAAUAAUACAAUACCAGCUACACCUCAUGUGAUUGUUCAUGAAAGAACAAUGGAAGAAUCUGCCAACCCUAGUUGGAUGAAUCAAGAACCUAAUCAUUCGACAUUGGCAACACUUGGAGGGCUUGUACAUGAAAGAGUAAUGGAAGAAUCUGCAAAUCCAACUAGGCUGAAUGAGGGAACUAAUCAAUCUACAUUGGCAACCCCUAGAGGGCUUGUUCAUGAAAGAGUAAUGGAAGAAUCUGCCAACCCAAGUAGGCUGGGUAACAGAAUUGCUCAACCUGCAUCUUCUACACCUAGAGUGGCUGUUCAUGAAAGAACAGUGGAAAAAAAUACCAACCCAAUUAUGCUGAAUCAGGGAAUUAAUCAACCUAUGGCAGCUUCAUCUAGAGUUGCUGUCCAUGAGAGCAGAAUAGAAGAAUCUACCAACCCAAUUAGGCCAAGUCAGGGAACUAAUCAAUCUACAUCCGCAAUACCUGGAGGGGUUGCCAAUGAAGUUGUACUGGAAGAAUAUACGUACACAAGUAGGUUUAAUCAGGGAACUAUUCAAUCUACAGCAACAACUAGAGGGGUUGUCCAUGAAGUUAUAAUAGAAAAAUCGACGAACCCAAGUAGGUUGCCUCCGGGAACUAAUCAAUCUACAUCACUAACACCUAGAGGGGUUGUUCACGAAGUUCUAAUGGAAAAUUCAAGAAAUCCCAGUAGUACAAUAUUGGAUGAGGCCAGCAACCCAUCCUUAAAUUCUCCCUCAAGUGAUACGUCGAUGACCGAUGCUGAUGCAGUUGAGCACCCGAUCAUUCUCAGCGGAGAUAAAGAGAUGCCCUUCACUUAUAUGGCUUGUUUGUUGGCAAAGUGGACCACGAUGAAGGACAAUGUAUCAAGUACUCGAGGCAAAAUCAAGGUAUUCAUUUCUGUUUUCAGAUGAUGGUUGUGUUUGAACUGCUUACUUUUACCCAUUCUUUCCCACUAUGAGUUCUGCAUGUUUGAUAUGUGUAAUACUAUACUAUGUACCAGUUGAUGAGGAAGAAUCAUCUGUUGGAGCCAUCACCAUCCAUCAUAUCAUUUGUGAUGGUGAUCCCAUUGGAUGGUGAUGGAGGGUGUUACCCGCAAGUGGGAUUGUUUUUUCCAAUUGAUUCCCCUCUCCAUCACUGUCCAUUAUUUUAGUGGAUGGUAUUGAUCAUCAAUUCCUGAAAUUUGCAGUGCUUCUUGACCGGUGUGAAAGGAUUUCAAUUCAAGGGUAGGAGUAAGUUCGAGCUCCAUGCUUAUAUCGAUGAUGGAAGUCUCAUCUCUGAGGUCCUCAUCGAUCACCAUGUAAGUUUGUUUCCUUGCAGUUGAGACAUUGCUAUUCGUUCAAAUCAUUAAAAAAUCUGGAAAUUGGGUCUCACAAGUUCACUUCAUUAAUGCCUUGUCAUGGUCGUCAGGUUGUGCAAAGUGGAAUAGGCCACUCCCCUGAGGAGGUGACUGCCUCACUUUCAUCUUCAAACAAAGAAAAAGUAGCUCUUAUGAAGGAGACCCUGAAGCAAUUCCAGCUUUUCUUGGCGAAAUUUGAGGUAAUUUUCCCAUAACUACUACAUAAACUGUAAAAAUACUCUGAUAAACAUACCUUGGAUCUUAGAACUUUCUUCUAUCCUGAUCGUGAGUUCUGAACCAACUCGAUCUUUAGUGGCUUAGAAUCAAGUCAUUUCGGUAAAUUUAGAUUACUUAAAAACAGUAAUUGGUAAAUUUAGAUUACUUAAAGAUAGUAAUUGAUGCACGUUAGCGUAACGGCUUUCACGCAAGACUAGCCAUCGCUUGUUGCAAAAAAACGGUUGCGCGUUAGCACAACGGCUUUCGAGCUAGGCUAGCCAUUGCUCGUUGCAAAAAAAUGGAUGUGCAUUAGCACAACGGCUUUCACCCUAGGCUAGCCUCAGUUCUUUCUAUCGGUAAGUAUGCUUCCCUUGCACUCACUUAUUAGUUUCUAGGGAACACCUUUACCUCUCUCUCUCUCCUGCACCUUACACAUUCUCUGCAGUAUCCACUCAUUGAUUGAGAUUCCAAUGUUAUUGAAGCAUUGAUCUCUCUGUCCAUUUUAUUGGUUGAGCUCGACGCAGACACGUAAUACUCUUUUUGUUCCAGUCUAAUUUGGUUAUAUCUUCUCAUAGGGAAUAAUACUUGUGGAAGUACGCCGAGACUCGCCUCCGGUGGUGCUAGAGAUGAACCGGGGAUGCCCAUCAUCAGAUGCAUGGCUACUGCUUGGAAGACUUAAAUUAUUCACUAAUCCUCAAACCACACUCCAUCGGAUUCCCGACCCUAUCUACAUUUCCCCAUAACGUCCCCAUAACUCACCAGCCUCAAACCACACGCCAUCGGAUUCCUGAUCCCAUCGACAUUUCCCCAUAACGUCCCCAUAACACACCAGUAAGCUAGUGAAGAGAGAGAGAGAGAGGAGAGAGAGAGUUGAGUAAUUUGAACUAUCUUUUAUUCAUUUGAGAAUCAUACAGAGUGCCUUGUACAUUCUUUGACAGAUAUUACACUAAUUUACAUGAAACAAAGUUCAGGAAAACUCUCUCUACGGACAACACUCACGACUUCAGGAAAACUAUAUCUCUACCGAUAACACUUUGGAAUCAUUUGUACUGUCGUUUAUUCAUUUGAGAGUCAUACAGAGUGCCUUGUACAUUCUUGGACUGAUAUUUCACCACUAAUUUACAUGAAACAAAGGUUCAGGAAACUACAAAGGUUCAGGAAACUAUAUCUGUACUGAUAACACUGGAGUUAGCUGUAAAUACAAAUAGCUCGGUGGUACUAACCUAGAUGAUUCUUAUUUAUGAACAUGGCUAUGGUUCGAAUAAUUAUGGCUUCUUACACCAUUGCUCACAGGUGCUAGCCUCUGAUGUGGCCAUAGCGAUUGAUUGAAACACUGGUUAAUCUGACUUUGUCUCUUCUGAUUGAAUUGAGGUGGGGUAGAGAACCUUCUCAGCUCCUGUUGCAUACAGGAUUUUCUUGCUUGGUGGGUACCUUGAUCCCCAUGGUUUAGUUACAUAGAGCAAGCGAUAACACCAUUCCAUCACCUCAGGGACCAAUAGCCUAUACCAGAACAUCACUCUAAACCAGAAUGGCUCUGUUACAUUUCUAUCUCCUAUGCAAGCACCCUUUACUAUCGCUUCUGCGCAUCCCUGUGUGUACCCAAUAGGCAUUGGGCCGACCUGAACCUGCAUGACCGAAAACAAUAUUAUUAGGACUUCUUUGAAGAAUAGCGAGCAUCAAUCUUUUAAAACUCAGCUGAGUCGGCUCGGAGUAGGCCGAGUAACUAGGCAUACUCAGGCCUCGGUACCCUGCCCAGACGAGUUCCUAUGUAAUGAAGUGAGGUCCAUGCUUAGUGAAAAUCUUUGCAACAGGGUCGGAAAGUAUGGGUCUUUUAAAUUCUUGAAUUGAAGUUGCAAAAUGUCGAAGACCUGAUCUUAAUGAAAAAUUUUGAAUUACAUUGAGAAAAUCCUUGAAAUUAAAGCUCACUUAGAUUGCUUGAAUUAGACUUAGAAAAUCCUUGAGACCCUAGCUUAGUAAGAACUCUUGAAUCUAAGGCAAGGAAACUUUGAGAUCCAAGCUUAGUUGGAAAUCUGGAAUUAGAAUCAUAAACUCUUUAAGAGAUAAGUUCAAUAUUCUUGAAUUGGAUUGAGAAACUCUGGGACCCCCUUAUGAUAGGAGAGGGUGAAGUUUCUCUCACUUCUCUCGUCUCCUCAUUGACCACCAUCUCUCCUUCCUUGUUCAGGAAUUUCCCUCGAGUCAUCUCUGACUCUAUCCAACCGGGAGUUGCAAUGGUGAUCCCAAUCUCGGGUCCGACUUCCAUCCUCAGUGUGUCAAAGAAGUUUAUCAUAGCUGCUUUACUGGCCUGGAAAACCGUGAAGGAGAAACUGUUAUGCCCAUAGGUUACAGAAAGAUGUUUUUUAUUUGACAAGGUUACAUAGGAAUCGACGGUAGUGCUAUGAAAAUUCAGCUGCUACUGUCUUCUUCCCAAACCUGAUUCUCAAGCUACAGAAAGAUUGGUUGAAAAGCUGUGCUUAAAACGAAUCUCUCUCUGAUAUUGUGAGGAGUGAAGGGGCCUCUCUCAGGCAUAGUGAAGAGUGAAUGGGUUUCUCUAUCGAGCACAGCAAAGAGUGAAUUGGUCUCUCUUACAUUAUAGAUGCUCAUGCGGGCUGUCGGCAACCAUCCUGCAGCAGAGGCAUUUGCCACAAUCUUUCCCCUGACUUUUCGUAGGUGAGGAAUGGCAUAGUAAGUCGGAUAUACCGAACCCCAGAAGUUCACAUCCUGACGAUAAACCACAGACCAUCAGAGAUUUGAAGAGAAGAAAGAUGAUACUGGUGACCAGCAGAUAUUUUAAGAGAAGAAAGAUGGGUCAAGCAAUUCUGCUCUUUCAACUUACCAUAACAGGUUCAAGCUUGGUUAUGUCGGUGACUUCUUCGAACAUGCAUAGACUUACAAUUCCGGCAUUGUUAACAAGAUGAUCCACUGCAGCAGGAAAAGAAAAAGCAUUCAAAUCAAAUGCCAAUUUCUCUCUCUCUCUCUCUCUCUCUCCCUCAUAUUUGUUAUCUUGCCAAUGCUUCUCUCUCGUUCUGAUACUUACAACGACCGAAAUGGUUGAUGGUUUCAUCGAUGAAUCUUUUACACUCAUCGACUCUAGUUACAUCAGCAUGAACAACGAUGACAUCAGGGGAGCCAAGGCUUCGUGCUUUCUCUGCAACUUCUUGAAGGCUUUGCUCCCUCCUGGCUAUAAGAACCAAACGUGCACCUCUUUUCGCAUACUGAUAUGCCAUAUGCUGCAUAUUAUUAGACCGCAACACCAAAUAUUGCAUCAAUUUUCCCAUAAGUGGAAACUAAAUAUAAUUAUUCAGUUCUCUCAACUUCCCUGAGAAGAAACAUAAAUAUAAAUAUGAAUCAGUGCUUUAGUGCUCUCUCUUGCUUGUGGGGGUUGUUGCUGUCGCAUAUUGUUUCACUCCCUAAACCCUAAACUUUAAAUCAGAUGGCCUCUCUCUCCUGAAAUUAUCUCAGGUGACAGAUUGAAGGCAUUUAUGCAGAGUGCUCUCUACCUCCCUCUCCAACUACUUCGGGUAUCCCAUGCAAGAAAACUAAAGAAAAUUAGGCUCUGUUGCAUAUGGGGUUUCUUGUUGCAUUGUGCCUCAUAUAAGUGGAUAGAAUUUGAUUAUAUUCCCCUCUCCACCUUCCUCUUUUAGUCGAUAAAUUAAUUCUCUCCCCCUUCAAGUAUCCAAAGACGGAGACUAAAUAAACUAACAAAGGUUCAUGUGGAUGUAACCUCCACAACACUGCAACUGCGACUAAUCUAUACUAACCUCCAAGCGAAAAAAAGGGUACAUAUGUUGUAACAAAAGAAACUGUAUAAUAAUAACGCCAUUCAAUUUUUGGUAUACUACCCCCAUGACCAAAAUCGGAUGAAUGUGUCAGGGGACAGUCUAUAAAACUUUCAAAUAUUGUGACACUUCAAUUCAUCAGAUUCGAUCAUAUAUAAUAUAACCAUUUACUUCUAGUAUGAAGAGAUCCCAAUUAAUAUUGACUGAUCGGAAAAAUGUACCCUUGACAAGCAACAAAGUCCCAACAUAAAAUUCUUAAAAAUGGUGGCACACUUCAAUCCAUCAGAUUUCAUAUCUGAUAGUUAAUUGUGACCUCCUUGUAAGACCUCCUUGUAAGGGUCUUAUAGUAUAUAAUCCCUAACAAAACCAUCUUGCCUUCAACCAUCUCAUCUUCAAGUUUUAGAUAGUUAGAUCUAAUGUUUUAAGAAUUCAAAAUUGGAAUUUUUGUUACUUAAAAUAUUCACUUGUUUAUUUGAAUGUAGAUCCGAAAAGUUGAAACCGAGCAAGUGCAUGGUCUGUUGGUGCUAGAGGGAGCAAGUAUAUAGUGUGCUCCGAUUAGAGGGAAUACAAUACAGGGUGCCACUGCGGGAGAAUGUUGUAUGCACUCGUUCUAUCCAUCUCUCCCCAAACACACUACAUCCUGUAUCCAGGACUUUGAAAACAAAAAAAACAUCGAUUCAAAAGUUCUCACAUAUGAGGCUUGCUGUUGCACUCUGUUCACAGAGAGAGAGAGAGAGAGAGAGAGAGAGAGAUCAUCACUCAUAUAUGAAGCUUGCUGUUGCACUCUGUUCACAUUGAUUGUGUGUAUGAGAGAGAGAGAUGCAACAUUCAUGUCUCAUAUAUGAGAUUUAGAGAGAGAGAGAGAGAGAUUACCUCCCCGAUGCCAGAAGAAGCCCCUGUUAUGAGAACAACCUUCCCUCUCAUGUCAUCAGCAAGAAUAGGGCUGAUGAGGUACAGGAAGAGCUUCAAAGUAGCAUAGGUUGGGUAGCACAGAGAGAGGAAGACAAUGGCAGUAGGAGGUAACACCAGGCUCAACAAAUUGUUUAUCACACCCAUCCUUCUCUCACCCCAACACCUUCUCUCCUAAAUUUUAUCUCAAGAACAGAACUAAAACUAUCAACUAAAAACUAUGUUAAAAAAAAACAGAAUUAAAAACUAUAUUAUCUCUAGUGGAGUAUUGUCUAAGCGAGAGACAGGGUUGAGAGAGAAAAUGGCACCUGGAGUACAAAUGACACUCUCUAGUCUAGGGUGGUGCCACCUUUGCAUGCUUUUCUUUUAUUUCUUACGUGAUUUUCUGGUGUUUAUCUUCUCUUAUUGAAGAGGAUGGACACAAACAAGAGAAAUGGGCUCAUGGGGGUUAGUGACAAUUAUCUUUUUCAUGGAUAUUAUUGUUGGUAAAUUGGGAUAUCAUUAGCAGGUCCUUGUUAUCAAAUGUUUAUAAGGUGUGGUUUCUAAAAGGUGGCAACCCUAAACUAAGGCGCAUUUUAUCAUGUAAUUUUUUAUACCAAAAUAUUAAAAAUUAACUGAAAAUAUAUUUUUAUAUCUAAUUAUAACAUUUUAAACUCCAAAAAUGAUUAAAAUCAAGUAGAUUUAUAAAUAUAUGAAAAUUGUGAAAAUUGACGGUCUAGAUAAUGUGUUGUACGAUGCACUAUUUUUUAAACUCAAAAAAACUUUUUUCUUUUAUAUUUAUACAUCUCGAUAUCAUGAUAAUCAAUUAGAGGGUUUUUAACAAUAAAACAUAUAGAUUUUUAAGGUUGCAACUUUAAAUAAACUUUUUACUUAUAAAAAUUUGAUUUAGAAGUUAAUAUAUUAAAAAGAAAAUUGUUUCAUGCGUGUUGGACCGCAUUUCUACAUAUGCGGUCCAAAAAGUGUAAAGCAUCCAUGAUGGAUGCAAGUAGGUGUUCCAUCUAAAAACAAUCGAAACUAACGGCCCAAAUGUUUUCUUACUAAAAUUAUAUUUCUAGCUUUAAAAAUUUAUUUAUUUAUUCAUAUUCAUAAUCUCCAUGUUAGAGAUUACAUGUCCUUAAAAAUUAAAUCUUAAAAUCCAUCUCAAAAGUAGAUUUAUUAAGAGGCCCGCAUUUCUACAUAUGUAGGCUUGUCCACAUAGAAAUCGGGUCCAUGAUAAAAAUGAAAACUAUACGAAGAGACUGUCUACUUUUAGUACGAGGUCACAAUUACUCUUAUCCAUCAGAUUUCAAAUUGGGUGGUUGUAAGAGUGUUAUUGACUAGAGUUAAAGUUCCACAGAAAAUUUCUUGAAUUUUGUGACACACUCCAAACCUUCAAAUUUGACAUUUAAUAUUUUGGAAUAAUUGUAACCACUUUAUAACAAAAAUAAAUGGUCUCAUUCUAUACAACUCUAUAAUAAAAUUAGAAUUUUUUGGUCAUGGAAUAAAUGUAAUUCCUUGUCAUAACCUUUUAUUGAGUUAAGUUUUUAAGAGCUUGCCAUAUUUAAAUAUGGAAAAAGGUCACUGAGUCGAGGCUCUAAACAAUCAAAUUAAAGCCCACCUCAAAAAUUUCACUAGAAGAGGUGUUUUUUAUGCCCAAAUAUCCUCAAAUUGAUCAUCUCGCCAUCAAGAUGCAUGAACAUGGGAAAAAAAUAGAUUUCAAGUUUUGAAAGUAAUGCAUCUUGUAACGCAUUUUUUUACCGUCAAUUUUUCAGAUUUUCAAGUAUUCGUGGAUCCACUCGAUCUACAUUAUUUUUUAAACUUUAAAUUUUAUAAUUAAGAUGAAAAUAUAUUUUAAGGCUAUCAUAAAGAUUUUCAGUACUGAAGCCACAAUUUUCGACACCAUUUGAAAGUGCAUUGUACUUUAAUUGUUUAGAGCCUCGGCUUUAUACAAACCGCACCCUUUAAAUAUUCAAAUAAAAUUUGAGUGAGUGUUAAAUCUUUUUCAAAAAAUUUAAAUUUAUAUGACAACGUUUUUAAGGUAUUUUUUGUGCAAGAGUAGUUUUCAAAAUUGUAAAUUCUAAGCUGUAUUUAAGGUUCUUCAAAUACUGUGUUAAAAAUAAUAAAAUGAUAAAAAUUUUGCUUCUUUAUAGGUAAUUACCUUACUAAUGAGAGUGGUGAGGUUUGUAUAAGGUGGCAAUCUUAUAUUAUUAAAAUAAAGCGCUUGAAAAUUGUAGUUUCGGUGCCGGGAUGCCUUGCCAUGGCAUGAAGAUAAAUAUCAGCCCUUAUUUCUCAUGAGAAAAUGAAGAUAUAUUCAACUUAUCGGCGAUAAUUCUUACUAAGGUGUUGGGGUGCCAUGAGUUCUAAUCUUACUGUGGGUUCCUAUCUAAAAUAAUCGAAAAAAAAAAAAAGAAAAAAAGAAAAAUAAAAGAGGUUAAAUUGUUGCGGCUUUUUAAAAUUGACUCAAACUUUGGUAAAAAUCGCAGAUUUGCCGUAAAUAAAAUAAAAAUAAAAUAAAAUAAAAAGCAUCAAACUGAUUAUCUUUCGUUACAAUACUUGUAGAUCUGAAAAAGUUGUAAAUUCACUGUACUUAGAUUCUUUUAAUUUCACAUUCUUUGGAGAAUAUAAAUAAAUUUUGGGGUCAUCACAUAAAUUUUUGAGCCAAAGUUCCAUUAAAAAAUGUGAGGCUCUACAUUUUAUCGUGAUGUACCUGGUAAUGUGCCUUUUUGUGAUGCACUUGGCCAGUAGUAGCAUACCGGUGUUACAACAUGAAUACACCAUCCACCAUCCGUUCUCGACGAUGGACGGUGAAGUUUGAUUACAUGUAAAUGGAUAUCCGUGCUUCAAAACUAAAAUUAAUUUUUAUAAGAUUGUGUAUAAUAAGAUCAUUUAUCUUAUUACAAAGAGGUCUAUUUACCAAUAAUGUACGUUAUAAUUUUUUAUAAAAACUUUGCCCAUAAAGGGCUUGUUUGAUUACUUGAUAAUGCAGCUUUUGAAAGUCAUGGAAGGAUUCCAGUAUUGUAGCACUUCGCCAUGUUUGUUAAACAGGAAGUGCUACAUUAUUUUGAAAGUUGUGGCUUCUAAAACGACAUUAAAAAAGUACACUAUAGGGGAUCGACAUAUAGAAAAUCGAUCUUUUAGUUUGUAUGUUUUCGGCUUUUUGAUAAAUAGUCUCUUUGUAUACUUUUCCAAUACGUGUAUGUAAGUGUGCAGCCUAAAACAACUUUUCAUAACAUAAAAUUUCAUUCCCAGGUAAUGACUACUGUUUAUCCUCCCAACCCAAGUGCCUCGCCACUUGUUUUCACCAUGGUUAAAUGACAUUAGCAAAUUUUUCAGUUGUGAUCCCUUUUGGUUACAUUCAUUUUGAACAUUUACUUUUAUCUGGUUUCUGGAUUAAUUAUUUAAGCAUUUUAAACUUGGGUGCAGUUUACAUAAAGUGUCAGCUUUAAACAAACUAAGACGCACCUCUAAAUCUUGCUAAAAAGAUAUAAAUCCCGUGAUAAAAAUCUUUAUAAUGACUUAAAAAUCUAUUUUAACUUCAAAUUAUGAAAUUUAAAACUUUAAACUAGUAGGGUAGAUCGAACAAAUCUAUAAAAACUUCAAAAUUUUAAAAAUCGAUGAACUAGAUAGUGUUUUAAAAGAUACACAUUUUAAUACAUGAAAUCUUUUCUUUUUUUUUCUUCUAUAUCUAUACAUUUGGAGGACAAGAUGAUCCAUUGCAGAAUUUUGGACGUUGGUACAACCUUUUCAAGUACAUUUUUUAAUUGCACCUUACUUUUAUAGUAAGGUUGAUGCCUAUAUAAUUUUUUUCCUUUGAACAUUGGUCGUGAUUUUUUAUCGUGGUUAUACCAUGUUCUUGCCUACCCAAGCUUAAUGGCAUGUUUGGGUACACUAAUUGUCACCAACAAUUCAUUUCAAGAAAAUUAACCAUGAUGAUAAAUUGGGAUUGUAUAUAAAGAAACCUUUUACUCUUUUUAUACAAACAGGCCACAAUUAUUCCUACUCGUUAUUUAAAUUGGAUGGCUUAAAAUGAGUCACAAAGCUCAAGAAAGUUUGUUUUUUAUUUCUGUUUGAACUUUGAAUCUAUUCAACGACACUUCUACAACGAUCAAAUUUGAAAUUUAGGGGGAUAAAAAUUAUUAUCACCUCCUUAUACAAAAAAUAAAUAGUCUCUUUGCAUACUUUUCCGUAUGGUAACUUGUGAUAAUAUAGCCUUAAAUAAAACUAAAAAAUUAGUUAUGGGUGGGGUUUGUAUAGAGCCGAGGCACUAAACAAUUAGAAUAAAACCCACCUUCAAAUAGUGUCAAGAAAUGUGGUUUCAAUAUUGAGAAUCUUGAUGAUAGCCUUAAAAUAUAUUUUCAUCUUUAACUAUAAAAUUUAAAGGUGCAGUUUGUAUAGAACCGAGGCUAUAAACAAUCAAAUUAGAGCCCACAUUCAAAUAGUAUCGAGAAAUGUGGUUUCAAUACUAGAAAUCUUUGACUAACCUUAAAAUAUAUUUUCAUCUUUAAUUAUAAAAUUUAAAGCUUCAAAAAUAGUGUAGAUCAAGUAGAUCUAUGAAAACUUAAAUAACUUAAAAAUUGACAAUCCAAAAAUAUAUUACAAGAUGCACUAUUUCCAAAACUUGAAAUCCAUUUGUUUCAAGUCCAUGCAUCUUGAUGUCGAGAUGAUCAAUUUGAAGAUAUUUGAGCAUCAAACAACAUGUUUUAGUGAAAUUUUUGAGAUAGGCUCUAAUUUGAUUGCUUGGAGCCUAGGCUCUAUAUAAACUUUUCCCAAAAUUUAAAGCUUCAAUGUCCAAGGAGCAAUCUAUGAAAACUUCGAAAUUGACGGUCCAAAAAUGCGUCACAAGAUGUAGCAUUUCUAAAACUUGAAAUUACUUUUUUUUUUUUCAUGUCCAUUCAUCUUGAUAUCGAGAAGAUCAAUUUGAAGAUAAUUGGGCAUCAAAACAAGUGAAAUUUUGAGGGGCGCUCUAAUUUGAUUGUAUACUGUUUAGGGCCUCGGCUUUUCCAAUAGUUAUGUGUCCGUUUGGAGGACCCAAAAUUCAGCUGUGUGGAGUACGCUGCGCUAUUGCCGUUAGAUUUUACCGGGAAGUUUAUAUGCUGCGUCAGUUUUGAAAAGUGAGGAAAGAGGAGAGAGUUUUUCAGAAGCAAGUAGAGAGAAAGAGAUGUUGCAGGUGAAGAGCUUGAGAAAGGCCCUCAUUCCUCCCUCUCUCCUCAUGGACCCAUCCCCUGCAAAUCUUCAGUCCACUCGCCUUGCUCUUCAUGUAAACCCUAACCCUAGUUUUACUCUGUUUCUUCGCUGUUACCAUUUCAUCAAGCUGCUUACUCUUCGCUGCUUUUUUUUGACAGGUUAAUGAAGAUGCCUCAUCUUGUUCGGUAUAUGUUGCUUCUGGGUGUUGCGUUUACAAUGUGGUGGUAAAUUAUCUCAGAAAACUCUAAACCCUUCUCAUUAAUUCUAAAUUUGAACUUCUUCAUCUUCAUUUUUAUCUUACGAGCCCAAUAAUGGCCACUUAUUUUUCCAUGGAAUUGUGACAUCAUCAUAUGAAAUGAUCCGAUUUUGAAAUUUUUAUUCAUAGAUAUCUAUGGAGGAUACUAUGGUUACAAGGGGAAAGGAGAGCCUUUUGAUUCCGGUGCCGGCACAAGUAUGAGAAUGUUCUCUCUUAAAGAAGUUGAUUUGUCAAAUAAGGGACAAAUUAAUGGGCGUUCUAUUUCUUUCUGUUGUUUUUGUGGGGUUUAAUAAUGUUUGAUUAGUUCCUUAUUUUUUGAGGAGCUUCAUGUAACAUUUUUCACAAUAGAUUGGUAUUCUUACUUUUUUUGGUUGUUUUUAUUGAGAUUAAUUGACUAGUUAAUUCUUUUUGAGGAACCUAAGAUAAGAUUUUGCAGACAAUCCGUGCAUCUUUGGUUAAACGGUGCCCUCAUCGUACAGAGAUCCAGAGUAUAGCACUUGCAGAUACUCAAUGUAAGCUUCAUCAAUAAUAUCGUAGGAAUUUUUUUUUUUUUUGGUGAGCUCUAUCAAGGUAUUGUUCUUAUUGUAUUGCAGUAGGCUUUUGCCAUAUUGUAGAAGUUAGUGCAUUUUUUUUUCGGUACCCAAAAGAUUCAGUCUUUGUCCAGCUUAUACAUUUAUUUUUUAGUUGUUAAUUUGUCCAGGUUAUUUAUAACCAAAUAAUAUCUCAACAAAAGGAUUAUGAGCUCCAAUUACGUAUAAUUCGAGAUUUCUUCAUAAAUAUGGAGUGGAUUCUUGUUCACCUAGUGUGUCUGCUACAAGAAUUGGAUUGCAUAUUCUUCGCAAAUGCUCCAUGGUUUUUGCAAAGCGCAGUGAACUGUAGCCUAUAUAGGCUCAAUCUAUAUUUGAUUAUGUGACCUGUAGUCCUUUUUCUAGGAUUAAAUCAACAUAUUCUUUAUAAUCAUGUCCUUUUUUGUCUUCUUUUAAUGGUUUCAUCCUAUCCUUUGUAGUCACUAUUAAUAAACAGGGUUCAAGCCUUUAUUUUUUUCUUUUUUUACUUUAUUUUUUCAUUGUCUUCUUAUAGGUGACAUGGGCAUGAUACUGGGAACAGUGGAUUCUUUUGGUCAUGUAAUCAUCUCUAGAUUGGAUCCAAGCAAUGAAGGUAAUAACUUUUUUACGGGUGCCAUCUUUAUAAAUUAUACAUAAAAGGUGACAAGUUGCAAGGAAGCUCUUCAAAGGAAAAUCUCAUUGAUGUUGUCAUUGUGCUGUAAAUUGAGCAAGAUUGAUCUCAAAAUAAUUUGGUGCACAAUAGGAUCUCAUUUAGUGUCUUUUAUAUCUAUUAGGAAAGUUAUACAUGCUUGAAUGGUGCAAGCAACCCCCCAACGAUUGAAGUUAAAAGGGAAGAAAAUGGAAGACCAUGAUUGCAUACAAUAUGUUAAUUUAGUUUUAAUUUUUUCUACAAAUUAGAUUAGCAUGAAAUUUUGGAUGUCCAAACUUCUCAAUCACCCCAGAAAAUGUAAAAAUAAAUAAAUUGCAAAAGAUAAUUGAACAAAAUACCCUAAAACAUUUAGGAGUAUUUUGGUACAUUUUUAUUUUUGGACUUAUUUAUUUAUAUAUUUUAGGUGUCCCCAGAUGUGGCGUACACACUUGUAAAAUUGCAUGUAAAUCCAAUAUGUUGAAAAACUUAAAAAUUCAAAUAUUGAAUACGAUCGUUGCCAUCCGAUUUCUUCCCUUGCAAUCUGAACUUUUGAAAGGUGCUUGUGAGGUAUACCCUCAUCUUCUUAUUUGCAUUUAUUAGGAUUUUCUUGGGAUGGAGUUCUCUUCAAGAAAGUAGUGAAGAAUAGCAUUACCUAUUCAUAAAUGAAACAUUUCCUUGGUUAGAAGUGGUUGUAGUUAAUAGGUGGUUUGAUCUUUUCCAAUAUUUCAAGGCUUUGAUGAAAUCAAUUUAACUAUGCUUCCAACUAUAAUUUCUUGUACUAGAAGUUCCUAACUCCAUCAGUUAUACAAACAUGCCUAGAGAGUAAGUGUAGAUCAACAAUUAUAUUUUCAUCAUGAUUGAAAAGAUAAUCAAGAACCAGGCAUAAAUUUUGCACGUAGUCUCUAUGAAGUUUGUAUGCUUGACUCUUUAGCAAAUGCAUUAGUUUUGCAUGCAUGAGUGCAAAAAGAAAAAUGCGUGCUGCAUAUCUUUCUUUGUUUUUAAUACCUAUAAAUGCUUAAAAUCAACCAUGUGUAAUGGCUUAUUCUAGUAACAUGUUCUUCUUUUCUUGCCAGAUGUUGAAAGGCUUACAUUUACAACUUUGCCUCAAGAUUUCGGUGUGGGAGAGAGUAGUUGGGCAGGAAUAUGUUUCUGUCCAAGUCGAUGGUCCACGGUAUAAUUGAAGAUAUGUGGCAUUGUUGUAAUUUCGGUUUUGUGACAUUUGUUUUUGUGGAUUUUCUAGAGCUGCAUUGCUUAUAUUUCAGGAAUUGUGUAAAAUGAAUAGAUAGGGCUUAAUUUUUCAGAGCUGUCACUUCAAUCACAUGAAACAUUUGAUAAUCAUAAGGAGUUUUUCCAGUUUCAUGCAGAUUGAAGAGUUGCAUCGGUGAAUUGUAAUCCUGGGCUAUCAGUUUCUCUUUAAUUCUUUUGAAUUGGUCUUAUUUUACCUGUGGUCUCCAAAUUUCUGAAGACAUCUGAAAAUAAACUUUUUUGCAUCAUUCCUGGUAAUGGUAGUCGUUUUAACCUAAAUUGUAUUAGCGUGAGAGAAGAUGUUCUUUAACUCGAAAGAAUUCAAUUCAAGAGGAUAACUAUCCAAAAGUUUUCACAGCUCUAUCAUAUAUUAUGGAAUCAUAAAAAAUUUGAUUUCGUUUAACUCUGUCUAUAGCUCACCAGAGGCUAGGGAAACCAAGAGAUGUGUAUGAAUGUGAUAUCCAGCAACAAAAAGAAAGUUAGAGCUAAGCAUCUGUUAGGAUGCGUGUUUUGGGGCAAUUAGUUAUUAGUAGAUAUUUGGAUCCAUGAACUGACUUUGUUGAUUUUUGUGUUGUAAGUUUAUUUAGAUAUAUAUGUUGUAACUAGGCAUCACUUUGAUCCAUGGGGAACUAAGGUUCGUCAAUUUUGAUCAGGAACUUAGGAUAACAUUGAAUGAAGGCUACCUGCUAGUUUGAAAUAGUACCAAGUAGGUUUUUGAAAUCAAGAGCCUAGGUCCUUUACCAGGGAAUCUACUAUCACUAUCCCCAUUUACUGGUUGAAAGUUGAAACAUUUCCCCAAUGCCAUGUUAUAAUGAUAAGGUAUGGCAAGAUUUUCGGAUUGUUUUGCCCAAUGGUUGUAGUAUUGAAUAUGGAAGCUGCUUAGAUUCUCAUGACCCCAUGCAUCCCUUAGUAUAAUUUAAAAGCAACAGCUGCUGAAUGUUAAUUUACUAGUUAUUGAAAGUUGGACAAGGUGAACAAGCAAGGUGUAUGCGGUUUUUAGUUUUUCUCUUUUCUACUGGCUUGAACUCACAGAAGUCCAAAUACAAUUAAAUCAACUCAAAAUACAUAACAAACAAUAACUAAAGAGGUUUUCACUUGCUGCCACUAAUGAAAUUUCUUUUAUUCAAUAACUAAAAAUCACAUAAGACUCUUGGGAACAAGAAAUAACAAGACUGCAAACCAUAGAACAAGAUGCUAGAAGAUUACCUCAACUGGACUUUGCACCCCUCACUCCGGAUCUCCUCCUCCAAUGGCGCAUGAGAUCAAUGGUCUAUCUCAAAUCUUUAAAGCAUGGGAAAUUCCCUUAAUCAAAUAAGAGAGCAAUGGAACAAGAUGGUGCAAGACUAAACCUCAAUGUCUAGUAUGGGGCGUGCCCACCUUUGGGCUACAAUGGCAAGGGCGUGCCCCCCUAUUUUUCUUAAACCAAUAUUUUCUAAGAGACAAAUGAGAGAUCUUAGAGAGAGAUGAGAGAGGGAGGUGUACCACCUAGAGAGAGAAGAGAAAGAGGGAUGAAAUGUGUAGAGAAAUAGGACCCCCGUGGUGCCUAUUUAUAGAUUUUCUCUAGGGUUAGGGUUUCUUAGGGUAACCAUCUUUAUGGAUAAUAGAUCCAGACCAAAUUAAUUAAUUCUAAAUUGUUUUGAUGGGUUCGGAUCCAAUUAUGUUAAGAAAUUAUAAUUUGCUGAAGCACUCCAUCUUCUGCAAUGGACUAUAAUCCGCACUCACUUUCUCAAACUAACCCAGCAGUUCUUAUGACCCACAGACCAUCGCAGAGGUUCUUGAUUGGGCUACCAAAGUUAGCCAAUAGAUGAGGGGACACAAUCCUAGUCUAUGGAGUACAAGUUCUCCCUUAGGGACAAGUCUGAGGUCACACAGACCUGGUGCAACCAUAACUCUAUGGUGCAUAGGGGUCAUCUCUCGCACAUGUACACGUAUCACCCUCAAUGGUGAUUUUCUUUCCCGACAUAGCUAUCAUAUGUACAUGUCGUAUAAUGGUUCAAGAUGAGGCUUUGGCCCUCGUCCUUACAGGCCUACCAUUACACACAAGGGUCACACAGUCCCUUGGCUCACUACCCUAGGCAACUCGACCUCAUUAAGAGCUAACGUUGCUAACCCUCAUCGGUUGUGCUCUAUGCCUAGGUAAUUAAGGGUUUUCCAACUCGAUUGGCCUAGUGCGUUGAGCCUAGUCUGAGUCUCGGCAAAUAGUAUUUGCCUAUCUUAGUCCUAUUGGACCAUACUCCCACUGAGUUUUUGUUCCACUAUUUCAAAAUAUUGAUUACAUGUUGUCAUAAGGCCUUUAUGGGCCACAAAUACCCAACAAUUACUUUAUGGGUCUCUCCUUUCUAUAGUAUAUUAAACUUUAGUAAAAGGACCAUGUGUAUGUGACCACCAUCUUUAGUUCAGCUGUAUUCAGUUCCCUUAGGCAUUUUUGGUUCUGUUGGAUUAGGAUGUUCACCUACCAAUCAUAUGUUUGAUCUCUUCCCUAUAUUCCCAUCACUUUGUGGAUCUUUUCAAUUAUUGAUAAUGGAUAAUCUAAAUUUUCCAGGCUGCAGUAGCUCGUAGCUUCUGCAAAAGUAUUGACAUUUACGACCAGGAUAUUCAUCUCCAAACUCUACGAACGUAAGUUUUUGGUGUUCUGGUCGAUUAGCUUGCUUCAUGAUUUUUUUAGUUACUUGAAUCAAAUUGUGCCACACUUUUCUGAUAUUGUGUGAUUGUAUCCAGUUUGUAGCAUAUUUGAUGACUUGCUUAUUGUGGUUUAAAUUUAUGUGAGAUUUACAGGAAACUUUGUGAUUAGAUUGUCUUCAGUAUUGAAAAACUGUCCUUUACAACAAUUAGAGAUGUUUAUAAUCUAUAAUGCACACUUUUCUUGUUUGGAAAAGUAAUCUGCAGAAGUGAUAGGUAGGGAGCUAACCUGAAGUGUCAAUAUACAAAUUAGUUCAUCAAGCCACUACUUUUAAAGACCAUUGUGUUGUUACAUGCAAAUUAAUUUAUUACUGAUGCAGGCAUGACAAGGACGAAAGAUGGGUCAUAGGAUUAUGGGAAUCAAGAGACUUUAUUUAUAUGUUUUGGUGUUUACUUUGGAGAUUUUUUUUUUUUUUUUGAGAAGUCACAUAAUGGGAUUGUAUGUUGUGUUUAUUUUAGUAUUUUUUAAGUUGCUUUUAUUUGGUAGGAUUAUUGUCUGAAUAUAUGCUGGCGAUAAAAAGGGAAAUAGAUGGAUAGGAUUUCAUAGGAUAUUUGUGGGGUUUUCAGGGUUCAAAGUUAUUACAUAAUGGUGUUUGGGAGUUAAGAGGAGACUUCGAUUGUUCUCUUGUUAUUGAUUUCUUUUGUGGAAAAAACUUUGAAGCUUGUGAUGCUUCUUUUAAGUUGAAUUCCUUCUCUAGUUACUUUGUGCAGAAUUUUGUGUUUGUUUUGUUGGCUCCCUGUAUGCUUUGAUAUUCUUUUUCAAGAAUGAAAUAUCAAGGCAUGCAUCAAGUGGUAUUAGAGCAGGGCUUCCUAGGGCAUCCUAGUUACAAUUCAAAGAUGACAUUGAAAAGACAAGCUCUUGCUGCACAUCAAGAUGGUAAACCAUUACCAAGUUCCCACAAGAAGUAGAUCAACUCAUGCAUGACGUGCAGCCAGUCUGGCAGUGGAAGGCUACUGGCAAUUGGAUAUAAAGAGUGCAAUAUUGAUUGUUCUAGAGAAAGAUCCACACUCAAACUGCUUCAUCAAAGAGGAGCCUCCAUACUGGUUGGUCCCUAUGAUUCAUGGAAAAUCUUUAUUUUCAUCAAUCAAUUUCACAUAGUAUGGAAGUGUGUAUUGGGAUUCUCCACCAAUCUUCAACAUAUUCCUAGAUGAUGAUUAGGGUAUUGUAGAGAACCUACUCCUAAUGAUUAGUUUGAUUGAGGAUGGAUUUAUCGAGGAUAAAUCCACGGAGAAAGUGAAGUUGCUUGCGUUGGUUUUGUUCAUAUAAUUCUCUCCAUCUGCACUUAUAGAUCCAUUUCUUGGGGUGUUCUUAGUUCUAUUUUAACUUAUAUGGAUCCUAGAAUUAUGGGAAUCAAGAGACUUAUUAUUUGUAGUUUCUGGGGGUUUACUUCUAGGACAACGAGAAAUCACAGCUUACAUUUUCUUUGGAUUUCUAUUUUGUGUUUAUUUUAAUAUCUUUUAAGUUGCUUCUAUUUAGUGUUAUUGUGAUACGAAUAGACGGUGGAGAUUAAAGGAAUGGAUUGCUAGAAUUUUGUAGAAACUUUUUAGGUUUUAUGGUUCAAAGUUAUUUAAGUAGUGGUGGUAGCAAGCUGAGAGGAGACUUAUUUAUUCUUAUUAUUGAUUCUACUGUGGAAUAAAAUUUGAAGUUUCUGAUGCUUCGCAUGUGUAGAGUUCCUUCUCUAGAUACUUUGUGCCAGAUAUUGUGUUUGUUGGUUUGGUUACUUGCAUUCUUUUUUUUUUCUGCUUUUUUUCAAGAAUAAAGUAUGAACGCUCAUCUCAAUUGAACUGCUAUGUCUAGACUAUCAGGCAUGAUGACACAUCACUGGACCUUGGUCAUCAUGGAACUCUUCCUCUUUUUUCUCUCUAUUUUAGUUUUAGAUAAAAAAUCAUUAGUAGGGUGGUAAUAUUGGUAUAUAAGUUCAGCAGUGCCUUGGUUGUUCUCUCUUGGUAUAUAAUUAUGUAAGUUCCUUAUCACAGAGAUGGCAUGUUGCGGUGAACUCAUUACUCUGGACUUAAUCUUGAGUCUUUUAAUACAAGAAGACACAUAUAGGGUACAUAUAGUAUUUUGAAUAGUUGAACAUGACUUGUUUGUACAGUUUGUGGCAUCCGGCUUCUAUAUGUUUCCUACAAAGUUUGUCCUAUGAGUAUGAGAAUUCUUCUAUUCUAGCCGUUGCAGAAGGCUGCCAGGUAUUCCUUCUAAUUUGUAAUUUAGAGUAACAUUUCUUUGCAUAUGUUAUAUUUACAAACGUGUUUAUUGAUCAUAAACGAAUCUAUUAGUUCAUAUUUUGCUUUUUUAAGUUCUUUAUCGCUUUAUAUACCACCCUAUUGCAGCUGACUAUCUGGGACCUAAGAACAAAGCACAAUGGUGGUUGUGUAGAAAGAGUUUCUGGCUCACUUGGACAUCCCUUUUAUGCUGUUUGUAGUUCCUCCAGUGGAACUGUAGCUAUUGGUGGCGCUGACCGGACAGUAACCAUUUAUGACAGUCGCAAGUUAGUAUUUUCUAGCAAAUCAAAUCUAUGGUUUUAAGAAGAAUAGGACACUAUCACAAUGUGUGUGUUUGUGUGUGGCAUGCUAACGUGCGUGUGUGUUCUUUGUCAUAUUAUUGCAAGUUUGCAGCAUAUAGAUUGCUUGUCAGAUGAUGGUAGGGUUUGUCUGGUAAAGGAAAUGAUCGACAUUACUCCUAGUAGCUGGGUAUGAGAAGCGAUAUCAGUAAUUACUGUUCACAAAAUCUUUGAUAAUUAAUUGUGCGAAAGAAGCUACAAUUUUAUUAAAGCAAAUUCACAAGAGGUUAUAAAAUCUGAUGGAGCAUCUGAUAUACGUAUUACCUAUGUAGUACCUAUGUUUGCUAAUGUGUCUGCACUGAAUUGGCUUGAAAAUGCUUAUCUAAUUUUCUAUUAUAGUUAAACUAGACAGGAAUGAUAUUUUAUAUGGCCUGAAUUUUGGUCGUGUUUGACAUUUUGGCUGCAGAUGGACAGCCUUGUCAAGAUGGGUAAAUUGCUCGAAAUAUGAGGUGAAUUGAGUUAUUAUAUACCUUGAGUUUCUUUGGCAUCUGUCUUUUAGAGCAUUUGCAUUCCAAAAUAACUGAUCUUAUGUUCUUUUAGUACUGGCAAUCCCCCAAUGCUGCCAAAUAGCUGCUCUCUUCUUUUUCCCCCCCGUCUUUGAGCAAUUGGUAAUUGUGAAAGCCACGUAAUAAUUCUUGUAAUUUUGACUUCAAAAGUUCCCAUGACACAAACCAAUGAAUUAGAUGAUUCUCUUUAUAACAUGGCAGUGGAGAUCAAGCUAAGAUCAAGAAACCAUUGCUAUCUUGUAGCCCACAUGGCAUUUUUUUUUCAUGGAUAUUGUGCCUGUGUCCCAUGAAGACAUUAUCAGUUGUUAUUUGAUUGCUGUGUUGAUUAUUCGUAUAACAGGUCUAUAAACGGUCAUAGUUUUAUUCUGGGGGUAAUUGCAGAUAACAGGUCUUGCAUUCUCCUCAUUUGACCCCGAUCAUAUUUAUGUCCAAGGUGUUGAUUAUGAGGUGAAACAACUAUCUCUUGCUUUUUCGCACCUCAGCACAUGAUUGAUUCAUCAUCCUUUUCAUUGCAAAAUUGAUCACCCUAUUUGUUGCUUUUACUUGCUAAUUGAUUGUGGGGAGUUCUUUGGCUUGCGAGGGACAAUGCUUGCUUCUUUUCAACCUUCCUAGGUUUUUUUUCCUUUUACAUAUUUGUAUUAAUGAUCUCCAAAAGAUACCUUUUGAGAUCUGAAAACCUAAGUGUCUGAAAUCAAGCGGCCAAAUAUGCAAUAUAAUCUUUGGGAACGUCGAUAUCCUGACAUUCGGACAAAGGAAAUUUCUAUUUCCAACAAAAUAUCCCAGUACUAUGUUUGAAUGAGUGACAGUGUGCUACAUAUUCUGUCAUGAAUAAAGCAAACAAAAACAUGUGCCAAAUUUUGCUUCUAACCUUACUGUCAAAUCUAUGUUUCCAAGCAUUUCUGCUUUAAUAGCAAAGAACCUCUAGGAACUAAGUUUGAUCCAAGUCCAACUCAAAGAAAGUGUAUUUUGUUAUAUGCCAAUAGCCAUUUAGCAGGCAAAAUAAGUUCAAUUUCUGCUGCAGGUCUGUUGCGGUAAAUGGCAAGGAAAUGAAAAAGCAUUUUCAUUUAGAGGGGAUUCUAACUGGCUAGGAUUCAGUAAGGUAUGCGCUUUUUGUUUCACAUCAAAAUGAGAAUUCACAUACGCUUUGCUAGUGGGCAUAUCUUUCUGUCCUUUGAAUUCUAAAACGUGGGGUUUGUUGGCAGUGUUCUAAGAUGGAUGUUUUAGCCGGAUGGUGCGAGUCUGGUAACAUCUUUGUGGCUGAUGUCAAGGGACCAAUAGAUUGACAUAUGGAGCCCUACCGGUUAAUUCCCCAUUUCGAUCCUCAGGAUUAGGUUUGGGAAAGUAUUGUUCCAAUAGGGAACAUGGUUUUUGGUAGACAAUGCUUUAGGGGGGCAUCCACAGCCAACAGCCAACAGCCAACAAUGAAGCGUGGAGAUUUAACUGAAAAUGGUUAAUGUCCCUAUGGGUUCUGCUAUGCUUAAUUGCAACCAUUUAUUCACAGAAAUGGAUGAUGGAUGCCUUCUGGAGUUCCAUGUACCAUUCUUCAUUGGACCAUGAUAAACCUUCCCCAAGGGUUUUCGCAUUUAGUACUCAGAUUAACUCUCGAAGAGAGAGUAUUGGCAGGAUUAAGUCCAAGGAGAAAUAGCUUGUGCCAUGCCACCACCCCCUUUGCCUUACCAUUUAUAGUGAUGAAUGCACCUUUCUGGUUUACCCUAUGUUCCAAAGAAUUGUUUGAGAAAAUAAUCUAAUUAAAAAAUUGAUUAAAGAAUUAUUAUUUUAUUGUGCGGAACCACUAGUUCCCUUCUAGACUUGGUUGUUUUCCUAUAUAUAUACAAAACCGAAACGGGGUGACCGAUUCUUGAGUCGAACUAAGCAGUUCCGUUCUGACUCAGCAUUUUUAAAAUCACUAAAUCAAAUGGAUUUUUUACUGUUUUCCCAUUUCCCCUUUCACAAAAUUGGUAGUGGAAAACAAUGGGACUUCCUAGAUCAAGUACCAUUAUUUAUUGGGCAAGCUUUCUAUGUUUCCCCUGCAGCAUAAAACUUAUGUACUUCCCCUUAUCCAACCCUCUAGUUUGAAUAGAGGGCUAAGAUUGCUUCAAUCACAAUAUCAUGUCUCUAUGUUAUUUUAUUUUUAAAUUUUUUUUUAUAAACCAUUUUGACACCAAAUUUUGGAUACCCAAUCUCCUAUUAAACUCGCACUAGUAAAAAAUAUUAAAAAAAAUAUUUUCAAUAAAAUAAAAUGAUCAAAAUACCUUUGAAAGUUUUAAGGGUAUUUUGGUCACUAUAUUUUAUUGAAAAAUUAUUUUAAAUAUUUUUUAUAGGUGCUCCCCAAUGAGAAGAUGGUACGUGCCAAAUUUCAUAUUCAUACAAUUUGUAUAAAAAAAAAUUAAAAUUAAAAUACAUUGAGAUGUCAUAUCUAAGAUCAAACGAUGAGCGGCUCUCUUGAUCAAAAUUAGAGGGUUGGAUGGUAGGAAAAGCAUAGAUCUUCUAUAUUGUAAGGGAAGUAUAAAAACCUUGCUUUUACAUAUUAACCGUCAUUACGGUACCACUCUUGGCUCGGCAUGUGAUUGAGUUAUUGAUGGAUUAUUGUAUUAGUGCUAUCAAUCGCGUCGGAACUUAGUUCUUUGAAUUAUUUAAUGAAGAACUGUUCUAAAAUGUGCUGCUUUCAUUCCACUCUGAUUUUAGAUGCUUUGAGGAUAACCUUCUUGCAGCUUCAUAAUUUUUAUUCAAGAAGAUUGUGCUUUAAGUUGUUUCUCAUUUAAUUUCACAAAAUUAUAACGAAACUUGACAAAACGUUAUGAAUUCUUACACGUAAUCAUAUUAAGUGUAUUAAUACAAGAAGAAUAUCAGAAAACAAAUAAGUGUGUUAAAACUUGUACCAUUGGUAUCAUUCUAAAUACAGCCUACCAUUUUUAGGGAAAAGGAAAAGGAUCAAGAGUCUAAACCCUAAAAAAACAUCCAUAUUUCCCGACUCGACAAGCCCUCAUUCAUCAAGGCAAUCUAAGUUGAAAGCAAACAUGAACUUCGGAAAGUUAUCCAUUUUUAGUGUUUGUAAGGAUUUUUUUUUAGGAUGAAGUUUUUGAGGCCUAGGCUUUAUAAAAACAAAAUGUGGCCUCACCUUAAAUUAUCGGAAACCAUUUGGGCAAUGGAAAUCUCCAUGAUGCAUAUAAAAUUACAGAUCUAUGAAUAAUUAUUUAUAGGGUGAAAUAAACGGUCUAGAUAAUUUGUUACAAUAUACACUAUUUUUAGAGCUUAAAAUCCUAAAUUUCUUUCAAAACCACAAUGUUCAAGCCAAGAUGUCGAAUACUUGAAUUGUAUUUUCAGAUGAGUUAGGCUUUCCUUAUUUUGAUAGGGUCGCCACCCUAUCAUACCAUUUUCCUUGUGUUUGUGCAUCACAUUUUCAUCUUUUCAAUAUAAUUCUGAACUGACAAAUCUUCAACUGCUGACAUUUGUGCAGAACCACCCAAGGUUUCAAAGUCACAGAAACACAUAGAAAGGGACUUCAUAUUUCGCUUAUAAUUAUAUAAAAAAUUAGAAGUACAAAACUAUAAAAUCUAAUAAAAAAAUAGAGCAUACAAUUUUUCCAACCUGCAAUCAAUAAUCAAAGUUAAAAGAAUAAUCAAUCCCUCCUAGUCAACUUCUUUCUCGAUACCUUCUUAUCUCUAGGAUGUUUAGAGCAACAUGGCUUGUUCCAGUUACUGAACUCGCCAUUGUCCCGAAAACCCUACUCUCAUUGGAAACAGCUGUAAAUCUGUGCUUAACCACCUGGUAAUCCACUGGUUUUGAACUGAUUUCAAGCAGGAUCAGCUUUUUCUAUUUUUCUUCAAAAACAGAAAAGUUUAAGAAUUUUAAACAAGGUAUAAGAUUUUCAAACAAAUAUAAAGGGAUAUCUUCAUGAUAUAUUACUCCAAAAAACAUAUAUUUUAUGGUGAAAUAUUCCAAUAAAUUACUUCAGCAAAAAAGUGUGCAAUAGGUUUGAAUUUCAUUUUAAUUUUGCCCGCAGAUCUCGUAGCUAUAACAAUUCACCGAGAUGAAUGCAAGAGAGAGCUGAAUGAGAGAGAGGCCCACAAUACAUACAAAUGGAAUCGCUGUAAACAAGGACGGCUUUGGUGAGUCAACCAACUCAUCAAUUACGGGUCCCUUGUCUAUCCAUCUGUAAGAUGGAGAUCAAAAAAUGUUACAUCCACUAAAAGUUAAAAUGGACAGGAAGAAAGGAAUUCAAAAAAUAACCUUUACGUUUUUUGAAAAAUAAAAUUUUCAAAUUUAAUCAUUGACGUACUUGACAUUAUUGAACUCAAAAAUUUUGGAUCGAAAACAUAUCUUUGAGAUAUAUUUUGUAGUGAGACCUCACAAGAAUUGUGGAGGUCAGCCGACCCGGCAAACACUUUUCCUCUGAACAAUAAGGAAGACCAAAAUAACAAGAAAAGUUCACAUGAAAAUUUAUAAAAAUAGAUUUUGAUUCCUAAAAAUGGAUCAAUAGAUUUCCAACAUAGUCUAAUAUUCUGAAAACACAAUAAAAACAAUAAAAUAAUUUUAAUCGGUAAAUUUUAACUCAAAACUAUAUACAAAAAUACCAUAAUCAAUGAAAUUGGUAUAAAUUUCAAUUCGAUGCCCUCAGAUCUAAUAGCUAUCAUAAUUCAAAUAGUGGCAUAAUGAAAGAUGUUCAUUGACUCAGAGAAGAGAGACAGAGAGAUGAAAGAUGAGAGAUGAUAGAGAGUAAGAGAGGCCCAAAAUGAGUACCGAUGCAGCGGCUCUCAAAAAAAAAAAAAUCCUCCAUCAUCGGGCAAUUACACCAAUCCAUCUGCCGGAAAAUUGUUUCAUGCGGGCUGGACAGCAUGACUACAUGCGGUCCAAAAAGUGUAAAGCAUCCCUUUUAAAGAUAGAUGUAAGUAAAUCUUCCAUCUAGCUACAAUAAAAAUUAAUGCUCCAAAUGUUUUUUUACUAGAAUUAUUAUUUCUAAUUUUUAAAAUUUAUAUUUCUAAUUUUUAAAAUUUACUUAUUUUUUCACAUUCAUUAUCUCCAUGUUAAAGAUUACAUGUCCUUAAAACUUAAAUGCAAAAAUCCAUCUCAAAAAUAGAUUUAUCCAAAAAUCCAUCUCAACAAUAGAUUUAUUAAUGAGCCCGCAUUUCUACAAAUGUGGGCUUCGCCACAUAUAAACCAGGUCCCCAUCUGAGACAAUAUAUCUAAAAAGGGGGAAAUCAAUAAAAAAAACCAUGUAGAAACAUACACUGAAAAAUGAGAAGUCAUUUUCAAUGAUCCCUUAAAAAAUGGGUAAAAUCAUAUAAGAUUGGGAAGUUCCUUUCUCCAUGCUUAAAAAAAAAAUCGAAAAAAUAAAAAAUACCGAAAAACCCAAAGAAAUAACAACUUAAUGAGAUUCUUGUGACCACAAGGGUGCUUGAGAUUCCUGUGACCAACCUACCUCAGGGAUAAAGUCUCGUUCGAAGCUAGCUUAGCAACUUAAGCAAACCUAAACGUUCUAGCUUACGAGUUCUAGCGAAACUCUCUAUCUGUCGAGCAAUAAUCCAAUGCAACGGUUGUAUCAUAAUAUAAUACAACGGCACUCCUAAAAAUUCAUGUUUGUGGUAUUUAUAUGACCUCAAAUUUUGCACACACACUUUUAAUCUCAAUAAUCAAUCCCCAAAAAAAAAAAAAAGAAGUUCAAUUUGAACCCUAGAUAUGAUCAAAAUGAGUCCCCUCAAAAAACGAAUCUAGACAAUUCAUUUUAUGAAUGUCAAAAUCUUAGCCUUUAUAAACUCAAACUCAUUUUUUUCUUGUUUAACAUUGUUCAUCUAAUGACAUAAAGCCAUCCAAAAAAUUGGAAAUGAAAAAAUCCUUCCAAGACCUAGAUUUAGGCAUCUCACCAAAAUGAACUCGAAAAAAAUACUUUCUAAUUUGUGUUUUUAAUUUUUCCUUUUUUUUGUGAUGGUUCAUUAGAAUGAAAAGAGAAUAUAUUUUAAAAUUGGUUCAAACAAAUGACCAUAAGAUGGUUUUUCAAAAUUAUUACAUCACAUUACUAUACAACGGUUGCAUAAAAUCAUUGCCCCUAUCUAUAUCUAGACUACACUUACCUAUAUUCGGUUUCCCUGGCUUGAUUCAUUGACCGAAGCCUAAGACGAAGCUUGAUUCAAUAAUUUCAAUUGUUGGUGACAUUAAUUACAUGCAUACAAACCCUAAAAUAAAUGAAAAAUUGUUUCUUGUGGGGACUGCAAUUUUAUACAUGCGGUCCAAAAGUAUAAAGCAUCCAUCUUAAAGAUAGAUGCAAAUAGCUGGUCUAUCUAAAAAAAACUAACACGCGAAGUGUUCUUUUAAUAGAAUUAUUAUUUCCAAUUUUUAAAUUUUAUUUAUUUAUUCAUGUUCAUGAUCUUUAUGUUAGAGAUUACAUAUCCUUAAAAAUAAAAUCCAAAAAUUCAUCGCAAAAAUAGAUUUUUGAAGCACCUCAUUCCUGUAAGGGCUCAUAAAACUGGGUCUAAAAUAAAUUUAUGAAAGAGACUAUAGGGGUCAGCACCAAAACAAACAGAGCGAAAAUGUCUGGCUAAAAAGGACAAGCAACCAACUUUUUCAAAACAAAAAAGAACAAAAAAAACAAACGUGUAAAUGUCUCCCUAAAAAAGGACAAGUACCAACUUUUUAAAACUAAAAAAACAAAAACGUAAGUCAAUGAGGAUUUGCCCCCUACCCUUUUUGGUGAGACAUUGGUAAUAAGGUGAGACAUCGGUAUUAUCACCGCCCCAGCCCACUCUUAAUUUUUCAAAAUAAGAAAACAUCCUUUGCUGCGGAAAUUACAAAAAAAAAUGAUCAAUCCCAUUUUUUUUAUUUUUUCAAAAUUGUCUUUUGAUCAACUCAAAUUUUAUUUUAUUUUUAUUUUUUGGUUAGUAUGCCAGUGCCCCAAGCUUUAAGGCUCAACCCUACUAAAAAAAAAACUAAAAAAAUCAAAAGCAAAAAAAAAAAAAAAAUGGAUUGAACGACCUUUGUAAUUCUGCUUAUAAGUGAACAUUUUGUAUUUUACCUAAAAUUUUAAGAUCCACACUUAAAUCACUCAAAAAAAAAAAAAAAAAAAAAAAGAAGAGGAAAGCUCCAAUACAUCUCUAGUCCUUCUCACUUGUUAAUUGAUUUAUAGCUGUACAGUGAUUCUUGCAAUUUAAAGAGAGAGGGCAGGGGUACAGCUCCAUUCUCUAUGCCCAUUUUCUUCCUAUUUAAACCCCAUAUCAAUGGAGAGUUCUCAAAGUGAUUUUUCAUAUUUUUAGAGAGAGCCUGAAGAAGUCUCUUUGUGUAAAGGUAAAGGAUUUGGAGGGUUGGAGAAGCAUGGACUUGGUCACUAGAUUCAUGAACCUGAUGUUUCCUCCCAUUACUCUUUUCUUCCUCACUCUCAUCUUCCCUAUCUUUGCUCUUUUCAACCUCUCACUCUCUCUUUCGCACACCCAAGACUGAGGAUGUGAGGCGGAAGGUCGUUCUCAUAACUGGUGCUUCCUCCAGCAUUGGGGCGGUGAAACAGAGAGCACUUUGGGCAACUGUAUCUAGCAUUCUUGUAUUGUACUUUUUGAGAAAGGUUUGGUGGUGGGUAAAAAGCAGCAUAUGUAGAGAGAGAGAGAGGGCCCAGUAUCAUUUUACUUGGUUUCCCUGAUAAAUUGAUGUGAAACUUGAUGUUGUGUAAUAAUAUGCAGCAUAUGGCGUAUCAAUAUGCAAAAAGAGGCGCAUGUCUGGUUCUUGUAGCAACGAGGGAGCAACACCUUCGAGAAGUUGCAGAGAAAACACGCAGCAACAGCUCACCCGAGGUACUCAUCCUCCCUGCCGAUGUAACGAGACUCGAUGGGUGCAAGAGGUUCAUCCAACUUAUUAUACAAUCCCUGGUAGAUGCGUCUGCUACAGCAGGGGUUCCACUGCCAAGAACGAGUCUAUAUAAUGUAAGUGAAAAUGAGUCUGUAUAAUGCAAGUGAAAUGAAUGACAGAGAGAGAUGUUCAAUCUCCACCCUGUUAAGAGAGGGAGAGAGAGAGAGAGAGAGAGAGAGAGCUGUUCACUCUACACCCUGUUAAGAAUCCUUGUUAAGACUCAUGAGACAGACCCAUUCAUUCUGCACCAGGUUAUAACCAUGAGAGAGAGAGACCUAUUCACUCUCCACCCUGUUAUGUUAAAGCCCAGAGAGAGAGAAGGUCCAGCUUUUCUCUAUUUUUUAAUUACUGUAAUACGCUUCAUGGUUUUCAGGCUAGUAAAGCAGCUGUAGUUAAUUUUUAGGAGACAAUGAGGAUGGAAAUCGGGGACGAGAUUGGGACUAAAAUCGCAACACCUGGUUGGACCGAAUCAGAGCUCAGCAAAGGCAAAUUCAUGAACUGCAACGGCAUACAGGUGGAUCAAAAGACAAUGGAUGAGAGAAAAACUACACCUAACUCACUUAACUGCAAGAGCGCCUCAAAAGAUCUUCUGAGUCUAAUGCUCACUAAGCUUUAGUGUCUCAGAUUUACUUUCUACUUCAAUAUUUCUCAGAAAGCUCUGUUCUAUAAGAUUUCCUCAUUCUGAUUCUACAAUUAUUGCUAAGCUUCAAUGGAAUCCUAACGAUUUUGUUCGAGCUGGAGCAGGCUUUCGUCAGUGUCAUGCCGGUUGUGCACGCAGAUGAAUGUGCAGAAGGAAUUGUGAAGAGUGCAUGUCAAGGAGAGAGAAACAUAACAGGGCCAUUCUGGGUCAGGAAUUUGUUCCUCUACAGGCUCUUGGUCCCUGAGAUGGUGGAAUGGUCCUUUGCCCUGCUUUCUCCCACUAAACAAGGGGGAGGGAGGCAACUCCCAAGCAAGAGCCUUGCAGAUGAUGCAAAAUCAAAAUAAUCACAUAAUGGAAAGGAGGAAAAAUGAGAUCUUGGCUUGGCACACAGGGCACUAAGUGAUUGGGGUUGGCUACAUGAAUCAUGAUCCUCUAACAGAGUAAUUGGGGUUGGAAAGGAGUUAAAAUAAAAUCGGAUUACUUCCAACCACGUCCUUUUGGGCCUACCCCUUGCAUUUUUCAAUCCUUACACUUGAAUUAACUCACACCUCCUAACAGGUGUUGUACUGGAUCGACGUUACACAUGGCCAGCCCACCUAAAUCUACCCUCUCCCAUCUUAUUGCCUAUUGGUGCCACAUCUAAACUUUCCCAAAUGGAUUCAUUUCAGAUUCUAUCCCUUCUUGUCUUGCCACUCAUCUUCGCUACACUCAUUUUAUGGGUGCAUUGUCUUUUUCCGCCCAACAUUCUGCCCCAUAAAGCAAAGUUGGUCUUACAGCUUUCCUAUAAAACUUACCCUUCAGCUUCAUUGGUAUGCGGCGAUCACAUAAAAUUCCAGUUGCACAUCUCCACUGUGCGACAUCUUCCUCAAUCGGUCCAUUUUCUUGGAUUAUCAACCCAAUGGAUCAAAAGUGUAGUCUUUUUUAUACUUAUUGGCCGUCAAUCUUAACUACUUCCUUGUCUCUACUCCUAUUAGUAUUAAACUUGCAUUCCAUAUACUCUGUCUUAGUCCGACUAAUUUUAAAACCUUUGGAUUCUAGAGCAUCAUUCCAAAGUUCUAACAUUGUGUUCACGUCAUUUCGGGUCUCAUCGAUCAAAACUAUAUCAUCUGCGAAUAACAUGCACCACGAUACGUCAUCCUGCAAGUACGUAGUUAAGUCGUCCAUAACUAAGACAAAGAGGUACAGGCUCAAUGCUGACCCUUAAUGCAGACCUAUUGUCACUGAAAACUCACUCGUCUCUCCACUAGUUAUUCUCACAAUAGUUAGCGCUCCAUCCUACAUAUCUCUCAUCAUGCAUAUGCAAAUGUAUAUUAACACAAAACGUAUAUGAGCAUAAAUGUAAUUUGGUGCUGAACCCAAUUACAAGCAUAAAAGGUGUAAUAUGUAUGGUAAUAUGCAUCCUUUACAUAGCACCAAUGUUUUAAAAUUCGGACCAUAGGGGUCGAGCCGGUCGCCCUCAAGUACCAAUUCGAACUUGCCAACAUUUAAAUCUUAGUUGUUUAAAACUUUCAAUGAGGUUUAGAAUUCUCAGACACCCUAGAAACAAUAUUUCUUUGAUAUUAAUACUUGAAAAUAUUUUGGGAGAAACUUUCUAAAUCCCGAUUCCGACCCAUCCCUACCAGUUCCAGUUCUAACCACGAAAGCCAGUUGAUCUAGUCCUACUUUGAAACACUCAUAAUAUGUGCAGGUUGCUAAUUCGUAGAUAAAGAAAACCAUGGUAUCAAGCAUUCAGGCGAGUACAAAAUUCACUAGAUGUAUGCAUAUGAAGCGUUCAUGAGCUGUCUAAAUAUUCAUGUAGACUACUUAGGCUGUUACGGAACUUAAUGCAUCCAUGACACCUGUUUACAUUGGUGUUCAUGUUCAUGUACAAGAUGCACAUGCAUCCAAGCUUUAGGCAUGCUCCCAUGUAAAUUCUGGUCAUGAAAAACUAAAACACUAUGUGAAUGAACAAAAAGAGCAACCACGUAAAUUCUGGUCAUGAAAAAUUUAAACAAUAUGUGAAUGAACAAAAAGAGCAACCUGCAGUUGUCUUUAAGAUCAUAAGAACCAGAGAACCAUCACACAUAAUUAUGAACAAUGCCCACACAUAGUUAUGUACAAUGCCUGUAAGACCACCCAUAGCGUCUGACAUUCAUUCAGCUACUUGCAGAAGGCCCAAAGGACAUACAUAUAGGAGGAUUAAUUUUGAAAGAACGGUUGAAGGAAUGUACCAAAUGCCAUCUCCUCAUAUCAAACCUGAUGCAACCGUCUCUGAGUAUGCCUCUGCCUCCUCCUCAUUGAUCCUCUCCCAAACAUUCAAAAUCACCGACCAAAGAGAGAGCUUUGGCAGGAAGGAGAAGUAGGUUGUGCCAUGCCACCACCCCCUUUGCCUGCACAUUUCUAGUGAUGAAUGUACCUUUCUGGUUUACACUGUUUAAAAUAUUGUUUGAGAAAUUAAUCAAAUCAAAUGGAAAAUUGUUUGAGAAAAUAAUUUAAUCAAAUGUAUGUCUUUACUGUUUUCCUUUUUCCCCUUUCACAAAAUUACAAAGGGACUUCCUUGAUCAAGUACCAUUACAGAUUAACCAACAUUGCACUACCGAUCUUGACUCAGCGUGUUUGAGUUACUGAUGGACUAUUGUACUAGUGCUAUUAAUCACGCCGCAACUUAAUUUUUCAAAUUAUUUAAUAAAGAAAUGUUCUAAAAUGUGUUUCUUUCUUCCCAAUCUGAUUUUAGAUGCUUUGAGGAAAACCUUCUUGCAGCUCCAUAAUAUUUAUUAAAAAAGAUUGUGCUUUAAUUUGUUUCUCUCAUUUAAUUUUACAAAUUUCUAACGAAACUUAACAUAAAAAGUUAUGAACUACUUCGUGAAAACUUGACCAUUGAUAUCAUUCUAAAAACGGUGGAUUUUUAAGAUCAAAGAAUCUAAACUCUUAAGACAUCCAUAUUUUCCGACACCACAGGCACUCAUUCAUCAAAGCAAUCUAAGUUGAAAGCAACCAUGAACUUUGGAAAGUUAUCAAUCAAUUAGAUUAUAGAGUUUGUAAGGAUUUUCGUUUAUGCAUCACAUUUUCAUCUUUUCAGUAUAAUUCUGAACUGACAGUGACCUUUAAAUCUUCAAUGGCUGACAUUUGUGCAAAACCACCCUAGGUUUCAAAGUCACAAAAAAACAAAGAAAGGUACUUCACAUUUUGCUUAUAUUAAAAAAUACAAGUACCAAACUAAAAACUCUACUAAAAAAAGGGAAAAAUAGAGCAUACACCAAUUGUUCUAACCUGCAAUCAAUAAUCAAAGUUAAAAGAAUAUACCAAUCCCUCCUUGUCAACUUCUUUCUAGAUACCUUAUUAUCCCUAAUAUCACUUAAAGUAACACCGCUUGUUCCAAUUACUGAAUUCGCCGUUGUCCCAAAAACUCUAAUCUCAUUGGGAAAAACUGUAAAUCUGUGCUUAGUAAUCCACUGGUUUUGAGCUGAUUUCAAGCAGGAUCAGCUUCUGCAACUUUUCUUCAAAAACAUAAAUGUUUAAGAAUUUUAAACAAGGUAUAAGAUUUUCAAAUCAAUCUAGAGCCGAUAUCUUCAUGAUAUAAUACUCCAAAAAACAAGUAUUUUACGGUGAAAUAUUCCAAUAAAUUACUUCAGCAACAAAGUGUGCAAUAAGUCUGAAUUUCAUUUUAUUUGUGCUACAGAUCUCAUAGCUAUAAUAAUUCACCUAAAUGAAAACAAGAGAGAGGGAAAGAGAGAGAUGAAUGCGCAAGAGAGGAAAAUGUUACAUCCACUAAAAGUUAAAAAGAGACGGGAAGAAAGGAAUUCAAAAAAUAACAUUUAUAUUUUUUGAAAAAGAAAAUUUUCAAUUUUAGAUCAUUGUCAUUCUUGAGAUUGUUGAACACUAAAAUUUUGGAUCCAAAAUACAUCUUUGAGAUAUAUUUUGCAAAGAGACCGCGCAAGAAUAGUGUUAGUCAGCCAAUUCACCAAACGCUUUUUCCUCUGAACAAUAUAAGCUUUCCAUCAAUGAACAAGACCCAAAUAACAACAAAAGCUCACAUGACAAUUUAUAAAAGUAGAUUUUGAUUUCUAGAAAUGGAUCAGUAUAUUUCCAACAUAUUCUACUAUUUUGAAAACACAAUAAAAACAAUAAAAUCUAAACCUAGAAAUCAAAUUACUAUGCAACACGAAUUUCAAGGGACUGAAUUUUAAUCAAAACUAUAUACAAAAAUACCAUAAUCAAUGAAAUUGGUAUAAAAUUUCAAUUCAUUGCCCUCAGAUCUCAUAGCUAUCAUAAUUCAUCGAGUCACAUAAUGAAAGAUGUUCAUUGAGAGCCUCAACAGAGGGGAGCGAGAGAGAGAGAGAGAGAGAGAGAGAGAGAGAGAGAGAGAGAGAGAGAGAGAGAGAGACGACGACGACGACACGACGACGACGACGACGACGUACGUAACGUAACGUAACUAACUACUACGUACGUACGUACGUACGUAACUACUAACUAACNNNNNNNNNNNNNNNNNNNNNNNNNNNNNNNNNNNNNNNNNNNNNNNNNNNNNNNNNNNNNNNNNNNNNNNNNNNNNNAGUAGAGGACGAGAGAGAGAGAGGCCCAAAAUGAACACCAAUGCAGCGGCUCUCAAGAAAAAAAUUCUUCCAUCAUCGGGCAAUUACACCAAUCUAUCUCAGACAGGAUAUGUAAGAAGGGGGAAAAUCAAUAAGAAAACCCCGUAGAAAAAAAUAAUGAGAAAUCAUUUUCAAAGCAUCCCUCAAAAAUGGGUAAAAUCAUGUAAAAUUGGGAAGUCCCUUUCUCCAUGCUUAACAUACAAAAAAAAACAGAGAAAACCCAAAGAAAAAUUGAAAUAAAAACAAAAGAAAGAGAGAAAACCCUAGAUGACAAAGGCUUGGAAUGGGAAAGAAAUGAAUUGGAAUCCAAAAUUGGAGAUAAUUAGUCCUCUCUUUUAGAAGGACUUCAUUUUUAGGGCAAAAAACACGAGAAACAUAGAGCGGCGAAAAAGGGCAAAG
rnacentral:lncRNA from 1 species